CUCGAUGCUUAUAUCUAUCUUGACAAUGUUUAUAUCUAUCUUGACGGUCUAGUAAUGGAAAUUAAAGACAUAGGAUUAUAAUAAACAGGUAUAAAUCGAGAAAAGAAAGGUGUCAAAAAAGGAGAUUCAUAUACCCGAGGAGGUAGUCGAUCCUUGGUUUCCCAGUACACCUUUGCUGCUUUUUCUAGCUCUUUCAAAGCUUUCCAGUUAUCGCUUGCCCUAAAAUCAGUGACGGAUUCAAAUUACAUCUAGGCAAGUAUAGAUCAAAUGCACUACAUCAUGUUUUACAGAUUCCUUCUUUUCAAGAACUGUUACAAACGUGUUGUAUCUUUCGAAAACGAGAACAACUAGUGGUCUAGGAUGGAAAGCAAAGCUCUCCCACUUAAGACAAUUGAUCUCCUUCACUAAACCGUCAUCAAUCUCUCCCUCUCAGUCAAUUUCAGUGCCAUCUUCGCCUACGACAUUUUUUAUAGGAUGUUACUUGAAAUACCCUGCUGCUUUGACCCCCCAGCCGACAUCAGCAUCCAGAGGCCAAUUGGCAUUAUCCUCCUUUACCAACAUCUCAUUUCCUCUUCAAUCAUCACAUUUCUCUUCAUCCCUGUCAUCAUCCUCGUCACCACUGUUGCUAUUGGAAUCAACGUCAUUGUAAACUUUAUCUUUCGGAAUUCUGCUGCCGCAUUGAUUCGAAAAUCUGUUCAAGCGAAUCACACACAAAAAUCUUCAACUGCUUGGGCUUCGUAGGGAUCACUUUAAGGAACUUCCUUCCAGAAUUUUCAUCGUCAUCUUGAGGAAAUUCUGUUUUCUCCCGCUGAGCUCUUCCUUUUGGUUUCAAACUAGGACUCUGACUAUGAUUCUUGUCGGGUUUUGGAUCAGAAUUCUCUGAACUGGAAGUGCAUACCAAUCGUUUUCCAGCGUAUUUGGUUUUCAAAGUCAAUGGAAACGGGAGGAAAUUUGAAAGGCAACAAGAAUUUGUUGUUUCAUGGAGAGACAACAUCGACAAAGAAUGUGUUGGUCUUGGACAAACAAAUCGACAUUUUAACUUGAGCUUGCUUCGUAAAAAUAGUAAAGAAAAUGCUCAAAACAACAAGAACACAAGAUUUGUCGGCCAAAAGCCUUGAAGGUUCAACGACAACUUUUAACGCCUAAUCCCUGUUGAGCAUCCCUAAGGAUAUUGCUCGAAUUCACUAUAAAGCCCCAAAACUGGACAAAGAUCGAGAAUAGUGUAAAAACAGGAGAGAGUUCAACGAAAUCAUAAUUACCUCAAACUCUCUAUUACAGCAAUCACUCACAAAGAAUUGUGUUCCCAUACUCUUCUCCAGAACACAAUAAUCUCACAAAGAAAUCACUCAAGAUCAGACAGUUGAUGACCAAAAUAUAAACAGUGACCAAAAUAUGAACACACAAAGAGAGUUUUCACGAAGACGGAAGAGGGAGAGUCAAAACCAACUACAACCCUAAAAGGCAUACAAGUGCCUUUUAUAUGAGAUAAGCCCAAGAGACGGAUCCAAUGGUGCAAAUCAUUCCAGGUGUCAAGCAUCCAAUUAAGACGUGAAUUUAAUCAAGUACGAAAAUACGUUAUUAUCUCUUCUAGAACCAUCUAAAAUUGGAUCAAUAAUGGACCAGUUUUGGACUUAAAAUCUUAAUGAACCAGAUUGAGUUGAGCUCACAAAAAUGAAGCAACCCAUCUUCAUAGAAUGAUCACCAAAAUUAUUAUGGACCAAGCUACACGAAGAUAAGGGUUGAUAUAGGGGAUGACCUAACACAAACACAUGGGAGGAUCGGCAUUCUUUAAUUCAUGCAGACCCAUGCACAAUGUGAUGGUCGUUUAACCGAGCUGUCACCAAAAUUCGGGAAAAGUGGCUUUUUCCAAUUAUUAUAUAACACCGAAAGGAACGUCUUUUUAUUCCACACUUGGAAUAAGUCAACCUAAAAUCUUCCUCAAAACACUCUGGUCAAAUCUCAAGACAAAAAGACAGAACCUGUUGAAGUCUCUCAGUAACUUUCCUUCUUUCUUCCGUCCAAGAGACGGGGGAACACGUAAAUCACUGAAAUUGGGAGCAAUUACGUGGACUCCUUUCACUGAACAGAAAUUAAGAAUGAAAUUGUAGCAAUUAUACGAAAAUGAAGCAAAAACUACAGGGCCAGACUAAAAUCAUUACGCCACAGAGUAAUUUCACUUAAUCAACAGGCAGCAAGAAAGGAAAAACAAUCAAGAUUAUGAAAAACAGAAAUCUAAGACAGCAUUUAAUGGAGUCCACUAAGUUUGCUAUUAGAUUCAAGAUUUACUAGUAAACGUUAACGAGAAAUUAAACAGUCGUUGAGUAGACAAAAAAUCAAACAACUGGCAUGCAACUAUCAACGGAAUCAUAAAUGACAAAUCCUAACAUGGGAAAUUCAAGAUAAUCAAACUUCUCUUCGCAUGCAUACGCGUGUGCUCACAUUCGAUUUACACACAGAUACACGCACAGGGAGGAGAGAAAAUUUACAUUUAGAAGUCAAAGAGCACAAAUAGAAACGGAGUUUUAAUUUUUCAGUUUUAUCGGGUGUCCAAAAUUACGAAGAAUUUUAAAAGAUUAUAACACUCCCUUAAUGUUAUAAAAACACUUAAAAUUACAAAAAUAGGGGCUUUCUAAAAAAUACCAAAAGGAUCUCAUUGCAUAUACAAACGUUUUUUACAAACUCCCUUAUUCACUACUCACAGUAGGGGCACAAAUCGACAUUUUAAAUUCACGUGAAAUCCGUUAAUUUUGUGAGAGUGAGUACACCAUUUUGUCAACAAGAUUUUGUAUAAAUAUCUUUAUCCUACCCAAAAAGGCUCUCUAAGUGUAUUUCCCCAAAUAUGGAAAGAACGGCAUUUUAGGAUCUUCUCUUACAAUUUUUCUUUUCUUUUCUUUCUUUCUUUAUUUCUUUUUUUAUUUUUUAUUUUUUUUUGUUUCACUUUUCGUCCAAGAUUUAUGGGGAGAAAAUUGUCCAAGUACUCGUCAAUUUAUUACCAUUAUUUUUUUCACAAGUUUCGAACACACUCUUGCUUAGUUGUUUGAAGUCUAGUGAUACACUCAAUGCGAGAGUGUAAAAAAUUCCAGUUAUCACUUGCCCUUUAACAAUCAGUGCCGAAUACUCAAGCAAUUAACAUAUCCAAGAUUGAAAUACAUUUUAUUAUCUUUGGAACUAUAUCUUGCAUGUUGUAACACUCAAAACAAUAAUACAAUCUCGACAUUAUUGUCUAUGACAUUUUUUAACGUGUUGCUCAAAAUACUUAAAAUGCUCUGAUCCCAACUUGACAUCAGAAUCCAAAUGCCAAUUGGGCUUCUCCUCCUCUACCAACAUCUCAUUUCCACUUCAACCAUCACCUUUCUCUUCGUCCGUUCAUCAUCCUCUAAAUUUUCCUGCCACCAACGAGGGUUGACCCAAGAUUAUAGUUCACUGGAGACGAGGCAAAAUUGUGUAAAAAAUAAUUGUGGUAAUUAUGAUCCAAAAUUAUGAGGAUUUUUUUUCGUUAAAAUGUCAAAAAUUAAGGGUUCAAUGGCGGCAAUUGCACCCAGUUGGACCCUUAACGGGAGCGCCCUGCAUUCCAGGAUUUUUGUGGAACUUCGCUUUUCUUGAACUGAGUUCUUCACUUUGGCGUUAGGUUUUUUCUAUCAAAUUUCUUUAAAAUGGCAGUGUGUACAAAUAGUUUCCUAUUUAUUUCAAUUCAUGAUCAUAGGAAGGUAUUUUACAAAAAAGGGGUAAAUUUGUCAAAAUGCACCAGUCAUUUUUUAAGCAAUUGAUUUAUAAAAAUUUUAAACUGUUUAGUUAAGCAAAGACAAUAUGACCGAGAUGGGUAACAUGUAAUUAACGUGAAAGUGUUUCAAUUGAUUAUUGACUAAUGUUAAAGUGUCAUAAAUUAUUAUUGAUGAUAGCUACGACCCAAGAUGGGUAAUAUGUAAUAAACAUGAAAGUGCCUUAAUUAAUUAGCGGCAACUAUUAAAAAUUGCUUUUUCAUAACUUUUAGGGUCCGUUUAAUUGCAAGAAUGGAAUUUGGAUGAAAAGAAAAUGAAUUCUAGGGAAUUGAAUUGCUUGAAACUUGUUUUACUAGGAAUUGUCAAUUAAAUAUGUUUGAUUGGUAUAAUUUUUCACUUAAAAAAUGUUGAAAUUUUUGGUGUUCGUUUGGCUUUAUUUUUCAUGAAAAUUGUCAAUUAAAGGGAUAUAAUUUGUUAUAAUUGUGAAUAGGAUUUUUUUCCAUUGUCGAAAAUUUAAAAAAUUUAAAAAAAAAGCUGAAAACCCCAAAUUCCCACUCAAACCAUGGGAAUUGGUUUUUCACAAAACCAAGGAAAAUCACUCACGUGGGGCGGGGGGAGGAAAACGAAUUGUCGGGGAAAAUCGAAUUUUCGGGGAAAUUUUUGCAAUCAAACAACGAAAAUGAUGAAAAAUGAAAAAUUUUCAUGAAAAAUUGACCAAAUCAAACAAGCUUUUAAUCUAAUUAAUGAAAUAGCAAAAAAGUCACAUGGGACCUGCUAUACGUCAAGGGCCACAUGGCAGCCCUAUUCAUCCAGGGGCCAUGUGACCCUGGACAAGUAGCUUUUCCAAGUCACAUUAGCUAUAGGUAAUCGAUUUUUUACAUUUUCAAUCAAUAUCAAAACUACCUAAAUAUUCAAAACAUCAAAAAAAAAUGCAUUAAACCAAAGUAUAAUAUUAAAAGGGUCAAAAAAUUAUUAAAAACCACACAUUUUUAGUUCUUACGCAAGGUUUCCUCCAUCACAUCAGAGACUUUAUUGACCUUAAUUUAAUUGGCUUUCGAGCUCUUUUCCUCCUACUCUCAUCAUCCUCCUUCUCUUCCUCAUACUCGAUCUCAAAUUUCUCUUUGUCAAUUUCAAAGAAUGUGGAUGGUAAAGUUUCACAUUCUUGCUCUACUAGAGUACUACGACUAGCUCGAUUGUUCUCGCCUCUUUUCUUGCCCCAACGCGGUCCAAAACCUGAAUAGUAGUAAAAUUCAUUCGAAUUUGAAUUUGACGUUGAAGCUGCCUUCUUGCCCAGUGGCUUGAGCGGAGAGUCAGCCACCACCUUAUCUUGUUUCUUCAUCGUUGGAAGAGACGAGUUGCAGUUUCGCACUUGAGAUAAGUGGUGCUUGUUCAAAGAGUUCCCUUCGGCCGCCUCCAUCUUGCAUUUCCGUGCUUUCCCAUCAGUCUUGACACAACAUACAAUAUGCUUUUCCUUCUUUAACCCGGGAUUCUCAGGCCCUUCCUCUGAGUUCUCAUGGGCAGAGCCACCCACAUUGCCGCCGUCGCCUUCACCUUCACCAUUGGAAUCAUGGGCGGAGCCAAUGCAUGCCCGCACUGGACUUUUGGGCAGAAUUUUUUUUUUUUUUUUAAACCCACUUCUAAAGUUUCAGAUAUCAAUAGUAGUGAAUAUCCAUAGUCUUUUUCCAAUAUUCGAUGUCUAGCUCAGAUAGAGAAGCCCUAUUAGAUCCAUUUCCUCAAAAUUCAAUUGACCCAAACCCAUUCAUUCAUUUGAAUCAAUCCAACCCUUUGUCUGUGAGCGAGAGAAUUCGUCCCUAUUCUAGCGUCACAAUUCCGGUUUGCUCAGAGUAUUAAAACUCGCAAGAAACAAGUGAAAUAUAUAAAUUAUGUUGUUUUUAGUAUUAUCGUACUAUUAUUUUAUUUUUUUAUCGUCAUUGCUUCCAUGACCAAAACCUCAACAUUCAAUGCCGAAAAAAUUUAGCCCGCGCUAAACUAAAAUCCCGGCUCCGCCCCUGAUUGGAAUUAUCCCAUUUUGCAGCUUUGCUUUCUCCAAACAGUUCAUUCUCCGCAGCAAUUUUCAGUGAUGCAGCACUAUUGAUAAAAAACCAGAUAGAUAUUUCACUCGAAAUUUUAAAAAAUCAAUAAUGCUGAUUGCAGAGCCCUAAUUAUUUUCUGCAUCAAUAAAGAGCUGGAAAAUUUGUAAGAUAAUCCAAAUUAUUCACAAAAUAAAAGGAUUACCUAUGAAAAGCUGCAUUAAGUUCUCCCAAGCUCCCAUUUCUCGCGAAAUUAUCAGUUCCACUGAUCCGCAUAAAAAUUAUUCUCUGUCGAAAAAAUAGAAACAUCCAAGCUAAACAAAUACAGUGAAAAUUCAAAUUCCGAGGACCAAAUACACGACAGAAACCCUUUCAUUUAUAGUUUUGAAUGAACUCGAAUGGUGGUUUUUCAGAAAACCCUAGAAGAAAAAGGAAUAAAAGCAAAAAUAAAAGUAAAUUUGACAAGAAUAAAAAAUGGUUUCCAACAGAUCUGUGUACAGAAUUAAAGUCAAGUCACUAUAGAUAAACUUAACUAACCCUGAACGACGGUGGAGGCGGUGGUGGCGGAGGAGAUGAUGGUGGCGAAAAGCUCAUCACGUCCCAAGGGGACUGAUUCAAUUUACAAAUAUGGGUUUGAAGAACAUUUCCAGAUUUCAGUGAAGAAGCUGCAUACAACAAUGGACAAAUUUUAGCGUUCUUCCGUAUUCUCAUGGUGGUUUGGUGGCCUUUUGGGGGAGUUUUUUGGUGGAUAGUCAGGGUAGAAACUCAAGGGUGGAGAGGCUCUGUGGGAGUGGGCAAAGGGUAUUUUAUUUUUUCUUUCUCUUUCUGAAUCUGUGUGUAUUUAUAUAUUUAUUGCUUGCAGAACAUUACAUAUCUAGACAACCACUUGUGGCCCAUGGGGUUUUGCGUUAAGAGUUGCGUUCUGUUUGAUUGGUCAAGAGAGAGAAUUCUUUGCACCCAUUCUUUAAAGGUUGAACCCCAACAUUAAGGGCUUCCACCGACCUUGCCCAGGGCCAUUGUGGAGGAGGUAAAUCGCAGGAUGUGCCUCCCAGGAGUCAGGGUGGAGAGCAUAUGGAUAGGCCAAGGCUGUUAACCCAUAUGGUAACUCCCGCUUGCAACAAAGCCAAUUCCACCUUGCGGGGAAUCGAACUCUACACACUGCCACGCUGAACCCUAUCCGUCCUCCCCUUUGCCACUGGGAGAUAUGCCCUGGGGGCCUUUGCACCCAUUCUUUAAAAUUCAUUUAGGGUGGUCUGAUUACAAGUAUGAAAUUUGCAUAGAAAGAAAAUAAAUUUUAGAUAAUUGAAUUGUCUAGAAUUUAUGUGUAUAUUUAUCCAUUUUUUUAUUGACGGGUAGAUGGGAGUGUGGAUAAAUGAGAAAAAGAGUGAAUUUUUUGAAAAAUAAAAUUCUACUCCCCUAAAGAAAAUAUUUUCCUUGAUUUUGAGGAAAAUAUGGUCACAAUGACUAAAAGUAGGAAAAUAUUUUUCAUGAAAAAAAUGACAAUCAAAUAGCAGAAAAGUAGGAAUUUGGAUGAUAAAAACACAUUUUCCAUGGAAAAUAUUAGUAAUCAAAUGCACCACUAUUUUCAAAUAUAUUUUUAAUAAAAAUUCUUUCGUUUUAAAUAAUUUUAAACAUGGACUCCAUUUUUUUUCUUAUUUUUAAUUGUACAUUCAAAUUUAUUCUAAAAAAAUUUGCAUCAAACAAAUCCUUUGUAAAAAAAUAGAAUUUAAUAUUUAAAAAAAAACAGAUGAAUUAAAUAGAAUCUCGUAAAUUUUUGCCCACUCUAGUUAAUUGAAAACUCCCAAAUUUUAUAUUCUUAAGUCAAGAAAAAAAUAUCUACAGAUAUAUUCAUAGUGUUAACUGUAAAGUCCCAAAAUUUAUAUUUGAAAAUUAAAGGGACAAAGUGCUUUCAAAAUCUAAAUUCAUAACUAAGAGUUACAAUUUAAAAGAAAAAAAAAAUCAGAUUAUAAUUAAUAUUUAAUAUUAGCCCUUGUUUGAGCCACAUUAUUGGAAUGAAAAUGUAUUUUUGAAUAGUGUAUUGAUGGAAAAUGUGUGGUUAAGAAAUAAGGAAAUGUUUUGGAUUUAUGUGUAAUAUUAUUUUAUUAAAGAAUAUAUGGUUGAAAUGAUAUCAAAGCACUGUUGAAGAAUGUAUUUUUUUGAAAAAAAUGUAGCUCAAACAGGGCCUUAAUAAUAUUAUUAUUAAAUUAAUUUAAUUUAACAACUGUACUCUACCCUAUCCAUCCUAACUCGACUCUCACUCCCACAAAACCUAAUUUACAAUUUUUAAGGCUAUUAAGUAUUUUCAUUUUCACAAUAUCUCCAAGGCGCAGCCACUCCCCAUAUGCUUAACUCUAGUGACUCUUCACGAUAAUUCACUCCAGCAAAUCUUCUCUUCGCUCUCUUUACACUACCGAGAGAUCACCAUAACGGUUUCAUCAACGCUGAGGAGGCAUCACUCUUCCCUACCAACGAUGUCGUCAUAGCAACGAUGAGUGAUCCUCCUCUCUCUACCUUUUGUUUACACACGACACUCUCUCUUCUCCAAUUUUUACAACAGCGACGCUGUGCUACCAUUCGCAGCAGCAUUGUAUCAUCAUUCAUAACAGUUCUAGGCGAUUCCAAGCAUUGCCAUUCAAGAUGUUGCUUCUGUAGCAACAAUUCAAGACAGUGUGCCUUCUCACGAGGUACCAUCUCCCCUAGAUAGCACAUCGCAGCCUUGCAUGGUGCAGUGUUGAUUUGAAAAUGGAAAUGACGCUAAUUUGAGUCCCGUAGCAAAGUUCAUAGCGCCGUUGUGAGGUGUUGAUCUGGACACUGCUAUGCGGUGUUCGUUGCGAUGAUCGUCAUGGUUUUAGGGGUCGUCGAUCUGAAAAUGGAAACAACACUAAUUUAAGUGUCGCAACAGCCUUUACAACUCCACUCUGAAGCGCUGAUCUUUGUAGUGUUCGUCGCGGUGGUGAUGGUUGUGGUUUGGUGGUGAUGUCGACGAUGACAUUGCUGGUGAUGUCAGCAAUGCUGGUGUAGUUGUGACAGUGCUAGUGGCGGUGACGAUCGUGGCGGGUGCAGGUGUUUGUGCUCAACCAAUAAAUUGGUUAAUUUGUAAUCAAUAAAGAAUAUCUAACCUAAAAAAUGUGAUCAUGACUCACAAUUUAUUCUUUUGUGAUUAAGAAAUAACUUGUAAUCAAUUAAUUUGAUAGUUAUCGAAAGUAAGUUGUGACAUAUAAAAUUUGUAAUUUAUAAUCGAUGACUUGUGACCUAAAAAUUUGAAUCAUGAUUUAUAAAAUGUGUUGUGACCAAUAAAUAAAUUGACCAAUAAAAUUUUUUUUUAUUUGUAAUCGAUGAUUAAAUUGUGGCCUAUAAAAUUUUUUAUUUGUGACCCUGAAAUAAUUUGAAUCCUAUAAACUUUUUGAAUUGUAAUCAAGAAAUAAUUUGUGAUCGAUUAAUUUGAUAAUUUGUACUAAAUAGUAUAUAAUUGUAACAUUAAUAUAUUUUAAUUAAUUGUUUUAUAAAUAAAAUUUAAUAAAUAUCUGAUUUUUGAAGUUUUAAACAUUGUUUCUUAGUUUGAAAUGGGACAUACUUAAUCUUUUAGAUACGAAAUUUUCUCUUUUUUUUUUUUUUUUAUUAAAUUGGUUGGUAUGGCCCAUUUAAGACAGCUAUGGAGGCUCGGUCCAUUUAACGUAAUGAAAGUCAAAGAUAUGAGUUAUUUAAAAGUCUAUAGAUUUAAAAUGUUAAGUUUAAAUAAAUUUGAUUAUAAAAAUUUAACGAAGCAAGGAAUUUCACAUAGGCAAUACGAGUUUGAAUCACCAUGUAAAUGUUUUUAUAUAAUAUUUUGAGUUAAAAAAACAUUAAGAACAAUUAUAACAAGUUAAUUGGAUGGAAUAAUUAUUUUUGUUAGUAGACAUUCAUAGAGAUAGGCUGCAAAUCACACAAAUAAUUUAUUUUCCUCCAUUUUUCAUCCAUGUCACUAGUCCUUAACAUAAGCCAGGUAUCGGUGCUCAUUAAAUCAUAUGCUGAUAAAUUUUUCAGAUUAAAUGAUGGUGGAGGAAGUGGGAUUAAAAUGGAUUGCAGAGGACCCAAAUGAAGAAAGUUGCUUCAUUUUUGUAAUUAGUCCUGAUUGAAGAAUUUAUAGUUCUUACCAGUUAUGUAACUUAUGUGUAAUUUUUAAAAGAUGUUAAUUUAUCUUUAUUUUUUUAAAAGACUUCAUAGUUCUUUUUCUUGAUGUGCUCAAAUCGUUAACUUACUACUCUGUAUACUAUUCAUCUGGGUGGUACAAAGAUGUAUCAACACCUUCGAAAGUAUUGGAGUUUUUGCCAAUAAAUCAUGAUUUGUUAACAAGUAAAAGCAGAAUAUCAGAGAUCUUUAGGAUUAUUAAAUCCUUUUAAAAUACCAGAAUGAUAAUAGGAACAUAUUCAAUGGAUUUUGUUGUUGGUUUUCCAAAGUCAGUAAAGGAAAGCAACACCAUUUGCGUAAUAGUUGAUCGAUUGACAAAAUCAUCUCACUUUUUGCCAGUCAAAAUGACGCUUAGUAUGGAUCGAUUGGUACAACAAUACAUUAGAGAGAUAGUUAGAUUGCAUGGGGACUCUGUAUCCAUUGUUUCAUAUAUAGACCCAAGAUUACCUCUAAAUUUUAGAAAAAUUUACAGGAAGCAUUGGGAUGAAACUCGUUAAAUUUCUACUUAAGACUCAUCCCUAUUUGACAAUUAUUAUUUAUAGAAAAUGGAGUUCUGAAUAAUGAUUUUUUGAGAAUGUGUAGUUAAAAAGUAUGAAAAUGCUUUUGAUUUACAAGAAAAAUAUUUUAUUGUGUAAAUGUGCAAUUGAAUAUAAGUAUGAGAAUUAAAGAACUUUUAAAAUAAUGUUUGUCAAAUGGGGUGCUCAAUUUAACCAGGUUAAUGACGAUAUAGCUCUCACAUUUAGAUUUUCACUAAAAAUGGAGAUCACAAGAAGGGGAAUAUCAUUUUUUACCUCAUCCUCCCUCAAAUAUGAAUUUAUAUUUAUUUUUCUCUCAAAAAUCUGUUUGUAGUUAAGUUAAAUUCAAUACAAUAGCAAAGGUGGAAAAGAGAAAGGUUUCUACACAAUUUGUUCAUUUAUAUUUCAAGAAAAUCAAAGUAGGCAAUGCUAAAUAUUUAAUAUAAACUAGAAUUUUUGAAGUUAUGAACAAAGAGGUGUAUACAUGCCAUAUCAAAGAUCCCAAGAGAUUCUUCGGAAUCAUUAAUUUAUCGGUAUUCAUCUACAUGAAAUGUCGAAUUCUUUUGUAUCACUGUAUAUGUGUGUGUGUGUGUGUGUGUGUGUGCGCACGCGUGCGCGGAGGUUGCACCAAGUUAUGUAAGUCCUACUAAACUUAAAUCUCACACCUUUAAUGUUGACAAGUUUUUAAGAUUAAAUGAUGGUCAAGGAAGUGGGAUUAUGAUGAGGAUCCAAAGGGAGAAAUGUACUUUAUUUAGGUCUGGACAAAACUUUCUAAUCGUUCCGAAUCGAACCAGACCUGAAUCAAAUUGAAUCGAGCGAUUCUUCUUAAGUUAGAUACUCGAACGGAAUCUAAAUCAAGAACCGACGAGUUUGAUUCGGUUCUCGAUUCUAGACCUAGAACUAGAAAACCGAAUAAAAAUCAAAUAUUCCUAUUUUUUUAUCUUAAAUAAAUCAAAUUAUUUUAUUUUUUAAAUAAAUUUGCUAACUAAUUAGCCUUAACCCAAAUAUAAUUUUCAUAUUUCUAAUUUCCAACCAAGGCCAAUUUAAUCAAAUUGACCUAUGUUUUACUUGAAUCUCUUAUUCAACCAUUCUCGAGAAAUCAAAUUGGAAGCUCGGUGCACCUCUCUUCAUUAUUGUGAGCUAAAUAUGAUGUGAACCCGCUUAGCGCGAUCACUACCAAAUCCACAACAAAUUGAGAAUCAAACCCAAGAAAGCCAAAGACAAGGUUUUGGAUUAAACCCAAUAAACUGGAACCAAGCAACCCAAAUCGCCGACAAUAUGCGGACCUCUUGAUUACGCAAUUUAAUUGAAUCUCACCCAGUUGAUUUGAAUGCCACAAGAUUAAUCUUGAUAAGUUCACAAGUUGUUCAACGAAGAACGAGAGAAAGCAAUUAAUGCCACACGAAUAAUAUUCAAUAAUAUGAGAGUUGUGAUAUUUUACAAUAAGGAAUAAAGUAUUUAUACUAUUCUAUAGAAUCCUAAGUAAACUAGGAAAAAUAUCUAAGAAUAAUGCAAAAUUCGUCCACAAUAGCCUAAUUAUGGUAAAAUCUACUAACAAUGAAAUUCUAUUAAAAUAAGGAAAAAACGCGAAAUUUGAAAAAAUUCGCCUCGGACUUGGCCUAUGCGGCUACAUAGCUUUAGAGCAUACGGUCGCAUAGUGCAAUUGGCCUAUGACUUUGGGACUUCUACUGGGUGUAUGCAACCGCAGGACUUUAGACAUGUGCGACCGCAUGGUUUAAUGCUCCAGCUCCGUUUUCUUCAGCUUUAAACACGUUGAUCCAAUACUCUUCAGUCUUCGUCCCCAACACAAAACUUGCUCCAUUUUGCAUCCCGAACAUUGUUUCAUCAACCCUUGCUUUGAUGAGCAAUCCCAUCGCCUCUUUCACGCACUUGGCCCUCAAUCGCGUCAUCGGCCCGUCGACUAUCAACGGAUCUUUCCUCGACCUCAACUCUGGACUUGACUUUGGUACUUGUGCUUCCUGGAUCACAUCAUCCCCUCCCUCUUCGAUAAGUUAGAAACAUUGAAAGUUACAGAAACACUAUACUCACCUGGAAGAUCUAUCUUAUCAGCGUUGUCAUUGAUCUUCUCAAUCACUUGGAACGGUCCAUCUCCUCGUGGCAAUAACUUUGAUUUUCUUUGCUCUAGGAAUCGCUCUUUCCUGAAAUGCACCCAAAUCCAAUCUCCCGGUUCGAAAGUGGCAUAUUUUCGACCUUUGUUUGUUUGUGUUGUCCGUUGAUUGUUCUUCCUCUCUAUUUGCUCCCUUACCUUUUCAUGGAGUGUCUUCACCAAUUCGGUUUUCUUUUUCCCAUCCAAGCUACCUCAUUCAUUCACAGGCAAAGGUAUUAAAUCCAUAGGUGUUAAAGGAUUAAAACCAUAAAUAAUUUCAAAUGGUGAAAACGACGUAGUAGAAUGCGUGGCCCUAUUAUAUGCAAACUCAAUGAAAGACAAACAUUCUUCCCAAUUCGUUAGAUUUUUAUUAACCACAGUGUGUAAUAGUUGUGUCAUUGUUCUAUUUACUACUUCAGUUUGACCAUCGAUUUGUGGGUGACAAGUUGUAGAAAACAAUAAUUUCGUGCCUAACUUAUUCCAUAAGACCCGCCAAAAGUGACUAAGAAACUUAACAUUCCUAUCGGACACAAUACUUUUGGGAACACCAUGCAAACGCACUACUUCAUUGAAAAACAAGUUUGCAAUGUUAGUGACAUCAUCGAUUUUGUGACAUGGUAUAAAAUGUGCAAUUUUACUAAACCUAUCCACCACAACAAAAUUGAAUCACGCCCCUUUUUAGUCCUAGGCAAACCUAACACAAAAUCCAUUGAAAUGUCAACCCAAGGUUCGCUAGAUACCAGUAAAGGUGUAUAAAGUCCAUGGGGUAAAACCUUUGAUUUAGCCUUUUUACAAGUUAUGCAACGACUACAAAUUCGUUCUAUGUCAAUCUUCAUUUUAGGCCAAUGAAAGUGUUCAUUUAACAUGCCUAAAGUAUUUGCUACCCCAAAGUGACCCAUUAAACCCCCACUAUGUGCUUCCCUAACCAACAAUUCACGCAUUGAGCAAUUAGGAACACAUAAUUUAUUUUCUCGAAACAAAUACCCCUCAUGCUUAAAGAACUUGUCAAUAGCCUCCUUAUUACAUGAAUUGUAGAUGCUAGAAAAAAUAAGAUCGUUUUCAUACAUGUCCUUAACAUACUCAAAACCAAGUAAUUUCGCACUUAAAGAAGUGAGAAGCACAUACCUUCGUGACAAUGCAUCGACUACUAUGUUUUCCUUACCUUGUUUGUAUCGAAUGGCAUAUGGAAAAGUCUCUAUGAAUUCCAUCCAACGUGCAUGUCAUUUGUUCAACUUACAUUGACCCUACAAAUGUUUCAAUGAUUCAUGGUCGGUGUGAAUAACAAACUCCUUCGGCCAUAGGUAGUGUUGCCAUGUCUCCAAGGCUCGAACUAGAGAAUAAAGCUCAUUGUCAUAAGUAGGAUAGUUAAGAGCUGCCCCACUUAGUUUCUAGCUAAAGUAUGAUAUCGGCCUCUUUUCCUGGAUUAAAACUGCUCCAAUACCUAUUCCUGAUGUAUCACACUCAAUCUCGAAAGUUUUGUUAAAAUUAGGAAUGCUAAAACAGGUAUUUUACAUAAACAUUCUUUGAUGGUAUUAAAUGCAUGUUCUAGUUCUACACCCCAUUGAAACUCAAUGCUCUUUUUGUCAAUUUCAGUAAGUGGUGUGACAAGUGUGCUAAAAUCCCAAACAAAUCGCCUGUAAAAACUAGCUAACCCAUGAAAACUCCUAACUUUGGUUAUGCUUUUAGGUGUUGGUCAAUCUUUAAUAGCUUUUACCUUUUCCUCAUCAACUUCAAUCCCAUUAGCACUCACCACAAAUCCUAGAAAUAUGAUUUUAUCCAUGCAAAAUGUGCACUUCUUGAAAUUAGCAUAAAGUCGUUCAUUUCUUAAAACCACAAGCACACAUUUAAGGUGUUCUAAAUGCUCUCCUAGGUCCUUGCUAUAGAUUAGAAUGUCAUCAAAAUAAACCACAACAAAUUUUCCAAUGAAAGCACGCAAAACAUGGUUCAUUAAUCGCAUAAACGUGCUUGGUGCAUUUGUGAGUCCAAAGGGCAUAACUAGCCAUUCAUACAGCCCAUAUUUCGUUUUAAAUGUUGUUUUCCAUUCAUCACCCUCCCGCAUAUGAAUUUGAUGAUACUCACUCUUAAGGUCAAUUUUAGAAAAGAUGCAAGCACCAUAUAAUUCAUCUAAUAUGUCAUCUAACCUAGGAAAUAUGUGACGAUACUUUACUGUAAUGUUGUUGAUAGAUCGGCAAUCCACGCACAUCCUCCAAGUUCCAUCUUUCUUUGGCACCAACAAUACGGUUACGGCAAAUGGACUCAUGCUCUUCCUUACAUAACCUUUGCUCAUCAACUCCUCCACUUGCCUUUGAAGCUCCUUUGUCUCCUCCGAAUUAUUUCGACAAGUUGGUCGAUUUGAAAUGACAGCUCCAGGUAUGAAAUCAAUUUGAUGUUCGAUCUUCCUAAUGGGUGGCAAUCCACUAGGCACGUCUUUCGGAAACACAUCGUCAAAUUCCUGCAAUAAAGAAGUAGCCAAACUAGGGAGAGAUGUGUUAGACUCCUCAAAAUUGAGGAGUGAUUCUUUAUAUACCAAAAGAAUCAUUGGUUGUCUUUCCACUAUCGCCUUUUUCAAUUCACUUCCUUUUGUAAAGAAAUUAACUUUUGACUUUUCUCUCCUCUCGGAAGAUUCUCUUUCUUUUCUCUCAUGUGGCCCCACUCUUUUUUCUUUCUCACCAGCUAUCUCACUAUUUUCUCUCUUUUUCUCUAACUCUCUCACUCUCUUUUCUUCCUCAUUUUUCAAUUUGAUUUGGUCCUCAUACACUUGUGCCGGUGUUAAUAGCGCAAGAGUGAUAGACUUUCCCUCUUUCACAAAACUAUAUUUAUUUUUAUAUACAUCAUGCAUUGUUUUCCUAUCAUAUUGCCAAGGUCGUCCCAACAAAAUAUGCCCCGCAUGCAUAGGGUCUAUGAUGUUUUAAUAGUGAUAAUCCCAAUUUUUCCACUACAUUAGUGCUAGCUACGUUUGUACAACUUCCACCAUGAAUUAUUACACAGCAUACCUUCCUGUUGACGUGACACCGUGUGUGGAAUAUAUUUUCCCGCUGCUGCUCCAAGUCAUCUGCCUUGAUUUGAGCACUAAGUGCUCACCUCGUGACCAACAACUCCCCAACUACAUAUUCCGUGGUGUUUUCCUCGUCAAUGUCCUCCAACUCUGGCAUGUCUUCAUAAUCACCUUCACUCUCGGUCUCUACUUCCCCGCUGUCCCGCAAAAUCAUGAUUCUUUUAUUUGGACAUUGUGAAGCAAUGUGUCCAACUCCCAAGCAACGAAAACACUUGACGUCCCGAUUCCUUGAUGGCUGGGAUUCUACCUUUGGUGUAGUCUUGCUAGCUCCUUCCUCCUUUCCUCUCGGUACCUCCGGUCUUGCUCUUGCAUUAGCUCCAUCUCCUUUAUUAUUUUCCCACCUCGGCUUCCAAGAAGGAUUAGAAACUGAAGAUCCACCUUGAUACCUUGCUGUCCCCUUUCGCUUCAAUUGUUUUUCCAUCUUCAUGGCCACAUGUAGCAUGUCUUCAAUCUCCACAUAAUGUUGCAAUUUCACUAUAUUGGCAAUGUCCCUAUUCAACCCCCUCAAAAAUCGAGCCAUAGUGGCUUCCCUAUCCUCUUCCACGUUCACCCUAAUCAUAAGUAUUUCCAUCUCCUUAUGGUAAUCCUCUACGCUCCUAGUGUCUUGAUAUAGAUGUUGUAACCGUUGAUGAAGCUCCCGAUAAUAGUGAUUAGGUACAAACCGUUUCCACCUUAACAUCUUCAACUCCUCCCAAGUAUUUAUAGGUUGUGCCCCAAUCCUCCGCCUCGUCAUCACCACUUGAUCCCACCAAGUUAUUGCAUAGUCGAAGAACUCAAGAAUCGCAAUUUUCACCUUUUUCUCCCCCGAGUAAUUGUGGCAAUCGAAUAUCAACUCAAUCUUCUUCUCCCACUCUAAAUACGCCUCCGGAUCACUCCUCCCUUUAAAAGAAGGAAUGGCCAUUUUAAUAUUUCCCAAAUUACCAUCCAACUCGUCUCCACCAAGAUUCCUACCUCUCACACCUUGCCUAACACCUCUAUUCCUAACCCUUCCAACCUCCGCAUCCACAAGUGCAUCCUCAUCGAAUCCACUAUCAGCCUCAAAGUCAUCCUAAUUAUCUAUCCUAACUUCCUGCCUUCCAUUCCGUUGUGCAUUAUUGGCUCCCCGUCGAGGAUUAGCAGGCAUUGGAUUAAGUCUGUCUAACCGCACGUCCUGUCGAUCCAACCGAUCCCUCACGUCUCCCAUCAUCCUUUCCAUCCGCAAUAUCGAUUCCACCAUCAUGUUAAGUUGAUCAUUGUCCCUGCCAAAAUGUGUUCCUUCCAUGUCAGACAUCCUAUAAUCUAACUUUUUUCUGCCUCACCAAGUUCACUCGGAAUUCACUCAAUUUAGCUUUUACCCUCAAUUGAUCUUACCACUCUGCUUUUUACCACUCGUUGCUUUCACUACGUGCUUCAAAAAACAAAUUGGAACUCAACCAAGGAAUUAGUCUCGUGAAACCCAAAUCGGAUGUGAAUGAGAUUACAAAACAAAGAAGGACUCGAAUUUGGAAGUUUUGAAAUUCAAGAAAGUGGUUCUUGAAUUGAUUUGGACUAAGAAAGACAAUUUAAGAAAAUAAGGGACUAAUUUGCAAAUAUAUAAAUAAAAAUUUGAACAGUAGACGUGAACAAUACGAACGUGAACAGUACUUUUUUUUAUUUUUUUCUGCUACUGUACGAUGAACAGUACGAAUUUUUUUGGGACCCGGACUUUAACUACAAUACCAAAGAAAGAAGCGGAAGUUGUUUUGGAUUCUAAAUGAGCCCAAAAACAACUUUUGAAGUUUUAGACGAAAAGAAUUUGGAUCAAAGACUCGAGAAUUUUACUGGACAGAAGAAUGCGAAGAACGAAGAAAAACUAGAAACAAAGACUCAACAAGAAUUUAAAAGGGAUAUAACCUUGAAUUGGAGUCUAAACUCUGGUACCAACUGAUGCGAACUCGAGUAGUGCGAUCACUACCAAACCCACAACAAAUUGAGAAUCAAACCCAAGAAAGCCAAAGACAAGGUUUUGGAUUAAACCCAAUAAACUGGAACCAAGCAACCCGAAUCGCCGACAAUAUGCGGACCUCUUGAUUACGCAAUUUAAAUGAAUCUCAACCAGUUGAUUUGAACGCCACAAGAUUAAUCUUGAUAAGUUCACAAGUUGUUCAACGAAGAACAAGAGAAAGCAAUUAAUGCCUCACGAAUAAUAUUCAAUAAUAAGAGAGUUGUGAUGUUUUACAAUAAGGAAUAAAAUAUUUAUACUAUUCUAGAGAAUCCUAAGUAAACUAGGAAAAAUAUAUAAGAAUAAUGUAAAAUUCGUCCACAAUAGCCUAAUUAUGGUAAAAAUCUACUAAUAAUGAAAUUAUAUUAAAAUAAGGAAAAAACGCGAAAUUUGGAAUAAAUCGCCUCGGACUUGGCCUAUGCGGCCGCAUAGCUUUAGAGCAUGCGGUCGAAUAGUGCAAUUGGUCUGCGACUUUGGGACUUCUGCUAGGUGUAUGCGACCGCAAGACUUUAAACCUGUGCAGCCGCAUGGUUUAAUGCUCCAGCUCCGUUUUCUUCAGCUUUAAACACGUUGAUCCAAUACUCUUCGGCCUUCGUCCCCAACAUGAAACUUGCUCCAUUUUGCAUCCUGAACAUUGUUUCAUCAACCCUUGCUUUGACGAGCAAUCCCAUCGCCUCUUUCACGUGCUUGGCCGUCGAUCGCGUCAUCGGCCCUUCGACUAUCAACGGAUCUUUCCUCGGGCUCGACUCUGGACUUGACUGUGGUACUUGUGGUUCCUGUAUCACAUCAAGAUAUCUUUUUAUUCUUGUGAUUUUAAUAGUCAAAUUUAUGAAGAACUCAAUAAAGAGAAACAUAAAAAAUUAUCAUGGGAUUUGACUAUGUUAAUUUAUAAGAGCUAAUAUUGAACAUAUCAUAGUUGAAUUAAUGUAGUGUUCUUAUAAAUAUAAAAGAAAUUAUUUAUUGUACGAAACCCAAGAACCAAAUGGAAUCAAACCAGAAUAGCUCCAUCAUUAAAUUUGAACUUAACGACUCCACUUACUAAAUAUCCAAAAAUUCGGGGUUGGCUCAAUUCAGGAGAGAACCGAACUGAACAAGAUCAUGUCCAACCCGAGCUUCAUUUGUGUAAUUAGUCACAAUUGAAGAAUUUAGAGUUUUAACUAAUUAUGCAACUUAUGUUUAAUUUCUAAAAGAUAUUAGUUUAUCUUUAAUUUUUUAAAGACUUCUUUGUUCUUUUUCUUAAACUGGACAUUGAAAUUUUAAUUGGAUUAAGUAUGCAUGUAACUAAUAGUGAAAGGUGAAUCUUCAAGAGGAAAUACUCUAAUGCUCUGAUCCCCCACCCAACAUCAGCAUCCAGAGGCCAAUUGGGAUGCCCUCCUCUACCAACAUCUCGUUUCCUCUUGAAGAUUCACCUUUCUCUUCGUCCGUGUCAUCAUCCUCGUCAUCACUGUUACUAUUGGAAUCAAAUCUUUGUCAACCUUAUCUUUCAGAAUUCUGCUGCCGGAUUGAUUCAAAAAUCUAUUCAGCGAAUCACGCACAAAAUCCUCACCUGCUUGGGCUUCUUAGGGAUCACUUUAAAGAACUUCCUUCCAGAAUUUUCAUCCUCAUUUUGAGGAAAUUCAGUUUUCUCCAGCUGAGCUCUUCCUUUUGGUUUCAAACUAGGACUCUGACUCCGAGGCUUGGGUUUUGGAUCAGAAUUCUUUGAAUUGGAAGUGCAUACCAAUCGUUUUCCAGCAUAUUUGGUUUUCAAAGUCAAUGGAAACAGGUGGAAAUUUGAAAGGAACUAAGAAUUUGUUGUUUAAUGGAGAGACAACGUCAACAAAGAAUGUGUUGGCCCCAGACAAACAAAUCGACGUUUUAACUUGAGCUUGCUUUGUAAAAAGAGUAAGAAAAUGCUCAAAACACAAGAUCACAGGAUUUUUUGGCCAAAGGCCUUGAAAGUUGAAGGAUCACUUCUAGCUCCUAAUCCAUCAUUGAGCAUCCCUAAUGAUAAUGCUCAAAUUCACCAUAAAGCCUCAAAACUAGACAAAGAUCAAGUACGGUACAAAAACAAUAGAGAGUUCAACGAAACCCUAAUUACCUCAAGCUCUCUAUUAUAGCAAUCACUCACAAAGAAAUGUGUUGCUCUACUCUUCUCUCAAACAUAAUAAUCUCACAAAGAAAUCACUCAAGAUCAUCUAGUUGAUGACCAAAAUAUGAACACAUACAGAAUGUUUCCACGAAGGCGGAAGAGAGAGAGUCAAAACCAACAACAACCCUAUAUUAGAUAAGUCUAAGAGACGGAUCCAAUGGUGCAAAUCAUUCCAGGUGUCAAGCAUCCAAUUAAGACAUGAAUUUAAUCAAGUAUGAAAGCACGUUAUUAUCUCUUCUUGAACCAUCUAAAAUUGGCUCAAUAAUGGACCGGUUUUGGACUUAAAAUCUUACUGGACCAGAUUGAGUUGAGCUCACAAAAAUGAAGCAACCCAUCUUCACAGAAUGAUCACUAAAAUUAUUAUGGACCGAGCUACACGAACAUAAAAGUUGACAUAGGGGAUGACCGAACACACACGCAGGGAAGGGUCGGCAUUUUUUAAUUCAUGCAGGACCCACGCACAAUGUGAGGGUCGGCUAACCAAGCUGUCACCAAAAUUCGGGUAAAUUGACUUUUUCCAAUUAUUAUAUAACACCGAAAGGAACGUCUUUUUAUUCCUCACUUGGAAUAAGUCAACCUAAAAUCUUCAUCAAAACACUCUGGUCAAAUCUCAAGACAGAAAGACAGAACCUGUUGAAGUCGCUCAGUAACUUUCCUUCUUUCUUCCGUCCAAGAGACGGGGGAACACGUAAAUCACUGAAAUUGGGAGCAAUUACUUGGACUCCUUUUACUGAACAGAAAUUAAGAAUGAAAUUGUAGCAAUUAUACGAAAAUGAAGCAAAAACUACAGGCCAGACCAAAAUCAGUACGCCAAACAGUAAUUUCACUUAAUGAACAGCCAGCAACAAAGGAGGAAAAAAAAUCAAGAUUAUGAAAACAUAGAAACCUAAGACAGCAUUUAAUGGAGUUCAUUAAGUUUGUUAUUAGAUUCAAGAUUUACUAGUAAACGUUAACGAGAAAUUAAACAGUCGUUGAGUAGACAAAAAAUCAAACACCUGGCAGGCAACUGACAAGGGAAUCAUAAACGACAAAUCCUAAAAUGGGAAAUUCAAGAUAAUCAAACUUCUCUUCGCAUGCAUACGCGUUUGCUAACAUUCGAUUUACACACAGAUACACGCGCACACGGGGAGGAGAGGAAUUUACAUUUUUAGAAGUCAAAGAGCACAAAUAGAAAUGGACUUUUAAUUUUUGAGUUUUUUCGGGUGCCUAAAAUUACGAUGAAUUUUAAAAGAUUAUAACACUCCCAAGAUGUUAUAUAAACAUUUAGAGUCCGUUUGAUUGUAAUGAUGAAAUUUGAGUGAAAAGAAAAUGAAUUGUAGAAAAUUGAAUUUCUUAGAACUUGUUUUUCUAAGAAUUAUCAAUUAAUGUGUUUGAUUGAUAUAAUUUUCCAUCUUGAAAAUAUUGAAAUUUUGGAUCUUGUUGUAUUCAUUUGGCUUUACUUUUUAUGAAAAUUGUCGAUUAAAAUGAUAUAAUAUUUUACAAUUAUGGAUAAAAUUUAUUCCUAUUGCUAAAGAUAUAAAAAAUAAAAAAAAAAUCUGGAAAACUAAUUCUCACCAGCUAUCAAAUAACAAAAAAAGUUGGAAAAUGGAAAAAAAAAAAAAAAAAUUCCAUGACAGGCCCUUAAAUUACCGAAAUAGGGAUUUUCUACUCUGAGUCUAUUUCCCCAAAUAUGGAAAGAACGGCAUUUUAGGAUCUUUCUUGACGAUUUUUCUUUACUUUCAUUUUAUUUUUUUUCACUUUUUCGCCCAAGAUUUGUGUGGACAAAAUUGUCCAAGUACUCGUCAAUUUAUAACCAUUAUUUUUUGAAUAAUGUCAUUUGCAGUCACUUAUUACUACAGUCAUUUUACGUAGCAUACAUGUUACGAUUAGUGAUUUGAUACAUAAGUCAAUAGAAAACUACCAUAUUAAUGUAUCAAAUUACUAACCAUCAUAUGUAUGUUAUAUAGGACAUUAUGACACUGAGUGACUGCAAAUAGUAUUACUCUUAUUUUUAGAGAAAUUUUCUCGAGAUCAUACUCUUGUUUAGCUAUUUGAAGUCUAGUGAAACGCUCAAGGUGAGAGUGUAAAAAAUUCUAGUUAUUACUUGCCCUUAAAUAGGAAUAACAAAAAAACUAAUCAAAUCAGAUAUACUUGUGGGCCCCGUCCCGAACAGUGCGAGGAUUGCCUGCUUAAUCGAAUAUUCAAGUCAAGGAUGGGGCUGGGGAUUUCACCGCGGGGUACAGGAAACAAGGGCCUUGCCUCGCCCUGUCCUGUUUAAUUUUUUUUAUUUUUUUUAUUUUUUUUUAAGAAUUCAAUACUUUAAAUUAACAUUUCCACGAAAUUUCAUUAAUUCUAAUAGAAGAUAGCAUCAAAAUUAUCUAAAGAAUAUGAUAAAUAAUAAAAAUCUUAGUUUACUAAAUAUAUUUCAAUAAUUUAACUUUUAAAAAUAAAUUAAUUGAUUAAAAAAUUUAAUAACUAUAUUAUUGUCUCGCUUUAAUUAAUGUGAGCAAUAAAUUGAAUUGUCCAAAACUAAAAACAAAACAAAACAAAAUAAAAUAAACCCUCCCCCGCCCUGCCUUAAACGGGUAAUAGGGCGGGUAUGGGGUGAGAAGUGGGGGUGGUUGCCCCAUCCAGUUUCUAUACCUAACCUUAAAACAACUAGUCCUGAAUUCUUAAGCAAUUAACAUAUGCAAGAUUGAAAUACAUUCCAUUAUAUUCGUUAGAUUCCUUAUAACUUGCCUAUUGUAAUCGAGUGCUGCUCAAAAUACUGAAGAUGCUCUGAUCCCCACUCGACAUCAGCAUCGAAACACCAAUGGGGAUUCUCCUCCUCUACCAACAUCUCACUUCCACUUGAACCGUCACCUUUCUCUUCAUCCCGUCACUAUCCUCUAAAUUUUUCUGUCAAAUUGAUUCAAAAGUCCUUUCAAGCAAACCAUGCAUGAAAUCUUUAACAUCAGCCCUAUCACUCCGACAACCUAGGUUUGGCUUCUUAGGGAUCAUUGUGAGGGAACUACGUCCCGACAAUUGCGAGCGGAAGAGAAGAUUACGUAAAAACAAUUGCGAAAAUUAAGGGCUAAAAUUAUGUGGACUAUUUUUUAUUUUUUUUUAAUGUCAAAAAUUAAGUGCCCAUUGGAAAAGUUAGUACCCAGUGGACGAAUUUUAAUCCUCGUCUUCAGGAACUUCACUUUUCUUGAACCGAGUUCUUUUCUUUGGCUUCUGAUCAUGGGCAGAUUUAGAACCUGGCCGCCUAGCUGGCUUCGCUGGGGAGAAUUUUUUUUUCCUAAUAAUAAAUAAAAUUUUUAGAUUAUAUAUGUGAUAAUUCUUAUUAACAAUAAACAUUUAUGUUAGCUUAGCUGGUUAGCCCUUUUAUUAUUAAAUUGGAAAUCUUGUGUUCGAAACUCUUUAAGAGCAAUAUUUUAUAUAAUUUUUGUAUUUCAACAUUUUUUACCAAAACAAAUACAAGGAAGGUGAUUUGAACCUACUACCUUCCUUAAAUAUAUUAACCACUUUACAAAACAAAUACAAUUUUACUAGUUUACUGCAAGUAAAAACAUUUUGAUCGGUGCUUUGUCCCUUUUCUUGAUUUCUUUUUCUUUUCUUUUUUUCUUUCUAAUCAAUCGAAUUGAGAGUUUGGUCAAUAAAUGGUGGAUGAAUUUGUAGAAAAAUUGACCUCAGUGUCAUAAGGAAUCUUUCAACCAAACUUAUUUAAUUAAUAAAAUAUUCCACUUUUCGUUCAGCAAAAAUUGAUUAUGAGAAAGUGGAAUCAUACAAACAUAUAAAAUUGAUUUAAGCACAUAAAUAAUUUCAAUUUUGUUAAUAUAAUAAUGUUUGUCUAAUUAACUUUAAUUGUAAACUGAAUAUUGACAUUUUGUUAAUAUAUAUUGCAUACUUAAUUGAAAAAUAAAUUACGGCAUUUUGUAGAUUAUGGAACGAUUUUUUUCAUCCAAAAUGAAAGUUCGUACCUAGUUCUAGUUCCAAUCCGUACGAAUUUUUGAAUAUUAUUUAAUUAAAUAUUAAUAAACAAUAUCACUAUCACGGACGUUGACCAUCCAUAGUAAGCUUUCAAAACUCGCGGUCUACCCUAAUUGAAUUCGACCCCUGGAUUCGUCCCUGCUUUUGAUUAGAAUCAUCAUUGAUGGUAAUAACAAGGUAUUUUACAUAGAAGGGGUAAAUUUGUCAAAAUACAUUGGUCAUUUUUUAAACCGUUGAUUUGUAUAAAAUAAAUUGUUCAAUUAAGCAAAGACGAUAUAACCAAAAUGAGUAACACGUAAUUAAUGAGAAAGUGUUUCAAUUGAUUAUUGACUAAUGUCCAAGCAUUAUAAUUUGUUAUUGACGAUAUCUGUGACCCAAGAUAGGUAAUAUGUUAUAAACAUAAAAGUGCCUUAAUUAAUUGGUGGCAACACUUAAAAAUUGCUUUAUUGUAAGUUUUAAUUUACCUAAUGAAAUAGCAUAAAAGUCGGGUUAAAUUCACCAAUGGAACCCAACUUUAUACUUAGUGUUACCAUGGCUACACAGUUUGAUUUUGUUUCAUCAUGACCACCUAAUUUUAUAUUUAACCCUUGUUUGGUGAGAUUAAAAUUAAUUUUUUAGUAGAUUUUAAUAGAAGUUGUUGAAAUAUAUAGUUGAAAAAUUGUAAGACCCAUAAAAUAGGUGGUUAAAAUUAAUUGUUUACUUUGACUUGGAUUAAAAUUUUAAUUUUAUUUUUUACCAAACAAAGGUUUAAUACCAAUGAUCACCCAAUUUUAUAUAAAGUGUUACUAUGACCACCCAAUUUCAUGUAACGUUUCACCAUAGUCACCCAACUUUUUUCACUAAUUUUAAAAGUGUUAAAACAGUAACUUUGAGUUAUGUAUGUAAAAUAAAUUUUUAAAAAAUAAAAUAAAAAUUUAUUUUAAAAAACAUUACUUAAAAAGGUAAAAACUUAUUUUUUAAAAAAAUUAAAUAAAAUAAAAAUAUGUUUUUUUUUUAAAAAAAAAAAGGCUACUUAGAAAAAUAAAAUGAAAUAAAAAGUUAUUUUAAAAAAAGUUCCUUAAAAAUAACAUAAAAUAAAAACUUAAUGUUUAAAAAAUGAUUUUUAAAAUAAAAUAAAAACUUAUUUUAAAAAAAUGUUACUUAGAAAAAUUUAAAAAAAAAAAAAAGAAAAACUUAUUUAAAAAAAAAUUUUAAAAAAACUUUUAUUUUUGUUUUUUUUACUUAUUUUGCAAAGUUGUCAUUUUACCCAUUUUAAAAAUAGUGAAAAUGGUGUAAAGAAGUUGGGUAGCUAUAAUUAAACAUUACUCUCUCCAUCCCAAUUAUAUAGGUCGAGUUUAAUUUUUCUCUUAUCCCAAGUAUAUAGACAUGUUUCCUAAUUUAGAAUAUUUUGUUUUGUUCUUUUACCAAUAUAUCCUUAUUCAAUUUUUCCCUUUUAACAUGCCAACUUCUUGAAAUCAUCCAAAUACACACAUUUUUCACUUCUUAAAAACAUGGAACAAAUCUCAUUACUUCUUCAAAUUAAAUCAUUCAAAUUCUUUACUAAUGCCAACAAUAAUUUACUACUACAUACUGAAAAUUAAACAUGGAUAAACUAGGAAAGAUUUUGGCAAAAAUUAAUUUUCCAAUGACAUUAAAGAAGAUUUCUUAAUUCGUGUGAAAAACGAAAUAAGAUUAUAUAAUUGGGAUAGAGGGAAUAUAUAAAAUUGAGUGGCAAUGGUAAAACAAAAUCAAAUUGACUGAUUAUGGUGACACUAAGCAUAAAGUUGGGUGACAAUUAAUUGAUUUAACCCCAAAAAAGUCACAUUAGGUAUAGAUGAUGGAUUUUUUACAUUUUUAUGAAUAUCAGAUGUACCUAAAUCUUCAAAAGAUCAAGAAAAUGCAUUAAACGAAAGUACAAUAUUACCCUUACAAGUCAAAGUAAGGCCACAAAAUUAUUAAAAACCACACAUUUUUAGUUUUUAUACAAGUGUUUCUUCCGUCACAUUACAGACAUUAGUGACCUUGCUUUCAUUGGCUAUUGAGCUCUUUUCCUCGUACUCUCAUCACCGUCUUCGUCUUCCUCAUAUUCGAUCUCUAGUUUUUCUUUGUCAAUUUCAAAGAAUGUAGAUGGUACUAUUUCACGUUCUUGCUCAACCAGAGUACUACUACUAACUCGAUUGUUCUCACCUCUUUUCUUGCCCCAUCGAGGUCCAAAACCCGAAUAGUAGUAAAAUUCAUUUGAAUUUGAUGAGGAAGCUGCCUUCUUCGACCGUGGAAGGCGCUGAUAGUCAGCCACCACCUUAUCUUGUUUCUUUGCUGCUGGAAGAGCCAAGCUGUAGUUUCGCACUUGAGAUAAGUGGUGCUUGCACGAAGAGUUCCCUUCGGCCGCUUCCCUUUUGCAUUCCCAUGCUUUCCCAUCAGUCUUGACACAAUAUACAAUCCCCUUUUCCUUCUUUAACCCGGAGUUCUCAGGCCCUUCCUCCGAGUCCUCAUGGACAGAGCUUCUCAGAUUGCCGCCAUCGCCUUCGCCAUUGGAAUUAUCCCAUUUUGCAGCUUUGAUCUCUCCAGUCAGUUUUUUAAUCAAAGAAGUCAUUCACGAUUAAACCAAAAUUUACACAAACCAUUCAAAACAGAAAUUUAAAUGCAGAAAGUAAAGUGUAAACACAAAGAUUUUUCGGCCGAAGCCCCAGAGGUUUAGCUUAAAGCCUAAUCCCCUGUUGAGCAUCCAUUAUAAAACGGAUCUAGCUCGGUUGCACUAAAAACUCAAAAUAUGGAAGUCAAAAUACAGAAGUACAGAUCACAAGAUAAUCACAGAAACUUAUCUUUCUACACGAGGAUGAUUGAAUGCUUCUCACAGGAAUCACUCAGAUCUGUUACAAAGCACUACCGAACUCAAGAAUCACUCAGAUUCUAGUCACUAAUUACCGAACUCAAGAAUCACUCAGAUUCUAAUCACUAAUCACUCAGAAAAGUUAAGCAUUCAUACAAUCAGUAGUAUUACAAUGAGAUUACUGUAUUUUCUCACUAUUUUCUCUCAAGAAACCAUAUCACAGAAGAGAAAACACGAAGAGUUUUCAAAAGGAGCGUAUGAACUCAAACGGCAGAGAGAAAACCCUAGAAGAAAAAUGAUGAUUCAGCUGAGUGAAAUGAGUCCAAUCAAAGUAAAUAAUAUCAGAAGCAUCCAGAAGCCUGAUCCAACGGCCACCAUCAUCACACGUGUCAUGAUCCAGUAUAAUGUUGUUAUUUAAAAAAUGAAAGACGUGUCAAACUUAUUAAAUACGAUUUCAGCUUUAAAAAUGUGGAAUCAAUAUGACCAAAGGUCCAGGGUUCGAACCCAACAAUCUCCACCUUGCUUCCAACAGUUUUGAGUAUAGUGCAGCCAGAAGCUUAACCAACAUUUUACAAUUUCAUUUGCUCUAGUUCCUGCACAGUUAGUGAAAAGAAUCAAUAGACAAUAUCUUUAAACAGUUCUGAAACUUAUUUAAAGGUAUUACUUUUGUUCCCAUAUCAGAUGGAUUAUGUAAAGUAGCAACUUUUGUAAUAUUUAACAAUCCUUUUGAUAUUACAUCUCUUAUAAAAUGAUAUUUAACAUCUAUGCUUAGUUCUAUCAUGAAACAUGGGAUUUUUACUCAAAUGUAUUGCACUCUGAUUAUCAGAAUAUAAAGUAGGACUAGUGUUCACAAAACCAAGCUCAUUUAAAAGACCAUUUAACCAUAUACCUUCUUUGAUGGCAUCAGUAGCAGCAAUGUAUUCUGCCUCAGUAGAGGAUAAAGCAACAAUUUUUUGUAACUGAGAUUUUUCCAUAGCUUCCAUUUUCAAUUCCAUCAAUUAAGGAUCUGGAACCAAGAUGCUCUUGGUCAAAAUGAUCUUCUAAAUCUCUUGAUGUGUGGUCAAAAUAGAAUUGCCUCACCCCCUUAAAUUGCUAAGAAUGCAUUUCAAUGUCUGUUAUCCAUCUCACUAGAUAUCCCAUUAAUCCCUAGAAUAAUUUUGUCCUGCUCACUACUCUGCACAAAUGAAGCUUCAAAACCAGCACCUUCAAUUGCAUUUACUAUUUCAUACUUACUGAUAACAGUCAUAUUCAACUUCCCCUAACGAAGUAGCCAAAGCAACCAUGGCCCUUUUCACACCCAGAAGCUUUCUUAGAAUACUUUCCACAGAACUGACACAAGCUGCAAUAUAGAACCGCUUACCAACACCAAAUUCAACAAUAGUUACCAAAGCUAACUUCAGCCAGUCUACCAUUUGGAAGGGACCACAUCGCCAAAGUAGCAAAGUAUAUAACGAAAGUAUGCAAGGGCAGACUACUCGGAUGAUCAGGACGGGGACUUGGAGCCAAUUGGGUAGGAGUCAGAAAAAUGAAUAAGAAGACCCUUUGCGCAAGGGAAUGAAGGUGCCCUUCACAUUUUUGUAGCAUUCAGGAAGGAGUUAUUGCACAUAAAUCAUUUUCCUUUUUUCUCCAACUUAGAGUGAACCAGGCAAAAUUGUUUUUCAAAACAUAUUCCUUAAGAUUUCUGUUAGCAUCUUCUUCCUGAUAUCAGAAUAUGCAAAAAUAACAUGUCUAAAUACUUCCUAAUAUGUCAAAUAAAUAUGGAAACCAGUCCUAAAAAAAUUAAAUAAUAAUUGAAUUACACCAAUCAUGCAUGGAAGCACACUAGCCACACUGGAAACGUGCGCGGGCUGCUCAAACUCCGUGGAAUUAGCUCUCAUGAGCCUAAACGGCGUCGUUAAAGCAUCCGUCGCCUUGCUCCAGAAUAAGGCUGAUGUCACCUUUAAUCCUACCUACCAUAUUCAGGGUCUCAGGGAUGAAGACAUUAAAAAAUCAAGUUACUUGUCAAGAAUCCUUAUGCAAGAAUGUCUUCUAAGGAUCUAGAAGAAUCUGACUUUCUUCUCUUUAGAAUCAUUCUGUUUUUUAUAGCAAUCCUUAGCAAAGUGACCUAGUUUACCACAAUAAUAGCACUUUUUACCUUUUGCCUUAUUCUGAGAUCUUGUUUUAUCAAAAAACUUCUUUUAGAAAAUGGCAGAAUCUUACUUUUAGAAAAUACCAGAUUUGUACCAGAUUUAGAAAGAAACUUAAUUUCCUUAGGAAUGUUAGAUGAUAUGGAGUUUGACAUAAAAUUGGGUCAAGGACAAAUAAAAAUCUUUAGGGGAAGUGAUUUAGUCACUUAUAUUCCAAAGAGACAUGGUCUAUACUUCUUAAAUGCUAAACCUCUUAUGGGUCUGUCUAAUGCAGUUUUAAAUGAUGAUUUUAAUCUAGCAAAAUUAUGACUUUGAUAAUUUAUGUAAAGAACAUGGCAUUUUAAGGCAUAAAACUGUCACCUAUACACCUCAACAAAAUGGCACUGCUGAAAGGAUGAAUAGGACAUUAUUAAAUAAGGUCAGAUGCAUGCUUUUAAGCUCAGGACUACCAAAAUUAUUUUGAGGGGAGGCUGUAAAAAUUGCUGCUUAUUUAAUUAAUAGGAGUCCUACAAGUUCUUUGAAUUAUAAUGUACCUGAAUUUGUGUGGUCUCAAAAACCUGUGAUUUACUCAUAUUUGAAAACUUUUGGUUGUGCUGCAUAUGCACAUCAAAAUAUAGGGAAACUUGAGCCUAGGUCUCUAAAAUGUGUAUUUUUGGGAUAUGCUGAAAAUGUCAAGGGAUAUAGACUGUGGGUACAUAGUGAGAAAGGUUAUAGGGUCAUUUUAAGAAGAGAUGUUGUUUUUAAUGAGUCUUGCAUGCCAUGUUUAGAAGGAAAACAAAGAAAUGUUUCUGAUAAUAAUGCUCAAAUUAAGGUAGAGCCUAUUAAAUUUGGAAAUAACAAUGAUGUACCAUUAGAAGCUGAAAAUGCUGAUUCAAAUCUGAAUGAAAAUGAUAUUGAGCAGAGUGAGACUGAACCUGUUAAUAUCACAGAUUUACCUCCUGAUGGAUACCAAUUAUCUCGGGAUAGGGAAAGGAGACAAAUUAGGCCACCUGCUAGAUACAAUACUGAUGAAUUUGCUUCCUAUUUCACCUAUCAAGAUGAAACUGAGACUGAACCUUACUCUUAUUAUGAAGCUAUAAAAUCAAAUGAUAGUAAGAAAUGGUUAGCUGCCAUGGAGGAGGAAAUGGACUCCUUAUAUAAGAAUAAGACUUGGGAUCUGGUUAACAAACCUAAGGAAAAGAAAUUAGUUGAUUGCAAGUGGAUAUAUAAAAUUAAAGAUGGGGAGGAGGGCAACAAUAAUGUUAGGUACAAAAGGUCUGAAUGCUCUUAAAACUAAAGGUGUUUUUGGAAAAUCAAACAUUGGUGAAGUUUCAAAUUGUGAAGAGUGUUUGAUUGGCAAACAAACUAAACUCCCAUUUUCACUUAGUACCUUUAAAUCAAAGAAAAUUCUUGAGUAUGUUCAUGCUGAUUUGUGGGGGCCUGCUUCUACAUCUACCUUGUCUGGGUUUAAAUAUUACUUGCUGAUUGUGGAUGAUUUUUCAAAGAAAAUAUGGGUUUUUCUUUUGAAAACUAAAGACGAAACUUUCAUUAUUUUUAGAGAUUGGAAAAUCCAAAUUGAAAAUCAGACUAAUUUAAAAAUCAAAACAUUAAGAACAGACAAUGGGCUAGAGUCUUGCAAAGGGGUCUUUCUGAUGCUAUCAGAAAGCUCAUGGAACUAGCACCAGCAAUCGCUACAUUGCUUUUGCAAGACAAAGCUGGCAGACACUUGGAAAUGGUUCAAUAAACAUGGAUGUUUUGGCUGCAGUGGGAACUUCAGUUUCAUACUUCUACUCAAUUUGUGCUUAAUUAUAUGGUGCAAUCACCGAGUUCUGGUAUCGAACAUACUUUGAAACUAUUGCAAUGCUAAUAACCUUUGAACUUUUUUGGGCAAGCAUUUGGAGAGUCUUGCAAAGGGAUAUUUUUGAUGCUAUCAGAAAGCUCGUGGAGAUCGCGCCAGCAACUGCUACAUUGCUAUUUGCAAGACAAAGGCUUGCAGCGAACACCUUCUGGCCAAGGCAAUUUGUUGGGUUUUUGAUACCCAAUAAAUCUCGGGCUAUGAUGUUAACGCGAGUUAAUAUUAUUUCAUAGGCAUAGGCCGAUGAAUUAAAUAAGUCCAACAACCAAGUCCAUGAUCUACACCCGGCCCAAUUGUAUUCCUUAUGGAUGGCUUGAAUCUUGGCCCGUUUAUCCCUUUAAUGGCCCAACUUAAAGCCUAACCCAAGAGUAUAUAUAUGAAUAUAACUCUAACCUCUUUGAUAUGAUGAUUGUGUGAUUUUGAGAGAAGAAACAAGAGAAUCCCGGCUGCCCCCCUUUUGUGUGAGAAAAAGGUGUCCAGAAGUGUCCAGAACGCUUCUAUAACGUGUGCAAUUGGUGGUUCUUUCAUAGUAUACUUUUGUGGUGUCUUCUCUUAGCCUUUGUGACGAUAAAUCGUCAUCCUUUCUUGUCCUACAUGGGUAAGAUUGAAUAGCAAGCAAAGUGAAUCAAUUGGUUGUGGUUUGGAGCCGUUUGGAUUGGUUGUUGGUAGAGAAAGGUACGUUGGAUUGAGCCUGGAAAACCACCGUUUGAAGAUCUUUUGAGAGACCUUCCGCAACACAGUUCAUUCUCCGCGGCAAUUUUCAGUGAUGCAGCACUAUUGAUAAUAAUCCAAAUAAACAUUUGACUCCAAAUUUUAAAAAAUCAAUAAUACUGAUUGAAGAACCCUAAUUAUUUUCAGCAUCAAUAAAGAGCUGGAAAUUUGUAAGAUAAUCCAAGUUAAACACAAAAUAAAAGGAUUACCUAUGAAAAGCUGCAUUAGGUUCUCCCAAGCUCCCAUUUCGCGCGAAAUUAUCAGUUCCAUUGACCUGCAUAGAAAUUAUUCUACGUCGAAAAAAUAGUAACAAGCAAGCUAUAAUAAACAAAUACAGUGAAAAUACACAAAAGAAAAUUCCGAAGACCAAAUACACGACAAAAACCCUUUCAUUCAUAUUUUUUAAUGAACCCGACUGAUGGGGUUUUCAGAAAACCCUAGAAGUAAAAAGAAUAAAAGCAAAAACGAAAGUAAAUUUAACAAGAAUAAAAAUGGUUUCCGACAGAUCUGUAUACAGAAUUAAAGCCCUGUCAUUACUGAUAAAACUUCACUAACCUUGAACGACAGUGGAGGCGGUGGUGGCGGAGGAUAUGAUGAUGAAGAGAAGCUCAUCACGUCCCAAGGGGACUGAUUCAAUUUGCAAAUAUGGGUUUGAAGAACAUUUCCAGAUUUCAGUGAAGAAGCUGCAUACAUCAAUGGACAAAUUUUAGCGUUCUUCCGUAUUCUCAUGGUGGUUCGGUGGUCUUUUGGGGGAGUUUUUUGGUGGAUAGUCGGGGCAGAAACUCACAAGGGCGGAGAGGUUAUGUGAGAGUGGGCAAAGGGUAUUCUUUUUAUAUUUUUUCUCUCUCUCUCUCUCUCUGAAUGUGUGUGUAUAUUCUCAGUUGUAUGUAUAUUUAUAUAUUUGUUGCUUACAGAACAGUACAUCUAUUCAGACAACCACUUAUGGCCCACAAGGAAAUAGUGUUAAAGAGUUGUGUUCUGUUUGUUUGGUCAAGAGAGUGAAUAUUUUGCACCCAUUCUUUAAAAUUCAUUUAUUUUCAAAUAUAUUUUUAACUAAAAAUUCUGUCGUUUAAAUUAAUUUUAAGCAUGGACUCCAAAUUUUCUUAUUUUUAAUUGUACAUUCAAAUUUUUUCUGAAAAAAUUUACAUCAAACAAAUCCUUUGUAAAAAUAGAAGUUAAUGAAUAAGAAUUUAUAUACGGAUGUAUUAAAUAGAAUAUAAUAAUCUUUAACCCACUCUAGUUAAUUUUAAAGUCCCAAAUUUUAUAGUGUUAAGUUAAUGAAAAAAAAAUCUACAGAUGUAUUUAUAGUGUUAGCCGUGAAAUCCCGAAUUUUAUGUGUGGAAAUUACAGAGAUGGAGCGUUUACAAAAUCUCAAUUCAUAAUUAAGAGUUACAGGUUUUUUUUUUUUCAAAAAUAUUAUUAUAAUUUAAAUAUUAAAUAUUAAUAAUAUUAUUAUUAAAUUAAAUUAAUUUACCAACUCUACUCUACCCUACCCAUCCUACCUCAACUCUCACUUCUAGAGAUGGGCGCGGGUCAAUUCGGUUCGGAACUGAACCAAAAUUUUCGGACAUCUAGUAAAUGGAACUGUCGGGUCCAAAUAUAAUUAUGGAACCGUUCCGUUCGGUUCCGUACUAUAAUUAAAUUUUUUAACAUUUAUAACAACAUUAUAUAAAUACAACUAAUGACAUAUUCAAUGGUUUUGGAAUGUCAAAGACUAGUAGAUUACCUUGUUCAAAUGAUCGCUACGGCCAAAACUUCGAUCGGCGGAGGUCACAGCUUCGAUCGGAUGUUACAGCGUCGGCUGGCGAUUGUAUAAGUUUUGGAAUGUCAACGAGGCUGCGAGAGUGAAUGCGAGAGUCGGGACAGCGUUAUGCACUUUAGUGUAGGUGUUUAGAGUUAUUUAGUGGGUUGGAUCUUUGUUGGGCUAAGAAAUGAAUCAAUAAAAUGGGUAAUUGGACCAAAAAUUAGAAAUGAAACAAAUUAUUGGGCCAAAAAUUGGGAUUUAGAAAUUGUUAAUUUGUUUAAAAAAAUUAAAAUUAAAAUAAUUUAAUUUGUUCAAUAUAAAAAAAUUUUUAAAAAUUCGGUUCUUGGUCUAGAAUCGAGAAUCGAACCGAACCCGUCGAUUUUCAAUUCAGAUACACAUUCGGGUAUUUAAUUUGACAAGAACUGUUCGGUUCGGUUCAGUUCGGUUUGGUUCGGGAGAUUUGCCCAGCCCUACUCACUUCCACAAAACCUAACUUACAGUUUCAAAAGCUAUUCAGUAUUCAUUUCUACUUCACCUCCAUGGCGCAACCACUCCCAAGAUGCUUCAUUAUAGCAACUCUUCACGAUGAUUCACUCCAGCAACUUUUCUCUUCUCUCUCUUUACACUACUGAGAGACCACCACAACGACAUCAUCGUCGCAUCAUGCUGAGGUGGCGUCACUCUUCCCUAUCGACGAUGCCAUCAUAGCAACAACGAGUUAUCCUUCUCUCUACCUUUUCUUCACUCGAAGCAAUCUCUUUGUUGGAUAUUGGUUAAAUAAAUUGAGAAUUGAAAAUCGAUUAAAGUUUGUAUCGAAUUCGGCCAAAUACUCAAAAGCUCGACUCAAUCCGUUUAGGCAAAAUUGUUUGCCACUUCGCCGCUUCGGGGCGCACAAACGGGGAUCGACCUGCCCGGUCAGGNNNNNNNNNNNNNNNNNNNNNNNNNNNNNNNNNNNNNNNNNNNNNNNNNNNNNNNNNNNNNNNNNNNNNNNNNNNNNNNNNNNNNNNNNNNNNNNNNNNNNNNNNNNNNNNNNNNNNNNNNNNNNNNNNNNNNNNNNNNNNNNNNNNNNNNNNNNNNNNNNNNNNNNNNNNNNNNNNNNNNNNNNNNNNNNNNNNNNNNNNNNNNNNNNNNNNNNNNNNNNNNNNNNNNNNNNNNNNNNNNNNNNNNNNNNNNNNNNNNNNNNNNNNNNNNNNNNNNNNNNNNNNNNNNNNNNNNNNNNNNNNNNNNNNNNNNNNNNNNNNNNNNNNNNNNNNNNNNNNNNNNNNNNNNNNNNNNNNNNNNNNNNNNNNNNNNNNNNNNNNNNNNNNNNNNNNNNNNNNNNNNNNNNNNNNGGUCUGUCUAAUGCAGUUUUAAAUGAUGAUUUUAAUCUAGCAAAGUUAUGGCAUGGUAGACUUGGUCACAUUGGUACAAAAGGUUUGAAUGCUCUUAAAGCUAAAGGUGUUUUUGGAAAAUCAAACAUUGGUGAAAUUUCAAAUUGUGAAGAGUGUUUGAUUGGCAAACAAACUAAACUCCCAAUUUCACUUAGUACCUUUAAAUCAAAGAAAAUUCUUGAGUAUGUUCAUGCUGAUUUGUGGGGGCCUGCUUCUACAUCUACCUUGUCUGGGUUUAAAUAUUACUUGCUGAUUGUGGAUGAUUUUUCAAAGAAAAUAUGGGUUUUUCUUUUGAAAACUAAAGAUGAAACUUUCAUUGUUUUUAGAGAUUGGAAAACCCAAAUUGAAAAUCAGACUGAUUUAAAAAUCAAAACAUUAAGAACAGACAAUGGGCUAGAGUUUUGCAAUUAUGACUUUGAUAAUUUUUGUAAAGAACAUGGCAUUUUAAGGCAUAAAACUGUCACCUAUACACCUCAGCAAAAUGGCACUGCUGAAAGGAUGAAUAGGACAUUAUUAAAUAAGGUCAGAUGCAUGCUUUUAAGCUCAGGACUGCCAAAAUUAUUUUGGGGAGAGGCUGUAAAAACUGCUGCUUAUUUAAUUAAUAGGAGUCCUACAAGUUCUUUGAAUUAUAAUGUGCCUGAAUUUGUGUGGUCUCAAAAACUUGUGAUUUACUCAUAUUUGAAAACUUUUGGUUGUGCUGCAUAUGCACAUCAAAAUAUAGGGAAACUUGAGCCUAGGUCUCUAAAAUGUGUGUUUUUGGGAUAUGCUGAAAAUGUCAAGGGAUAUAGACUGUGGGUACAUAGUGAGAAAGGUUAUAGGGUCAUUUUAAGAAGAGGUGUUGUUUUUAAUGAGUCUUGCAUGCCAUGUUUAGAAGGAAAACAAAGAAAUGUUUCUGAUAAUAAUGCUCANNNNNNNNNNNNNNNNNNNNNNNNNNNNNNNNNNNNNNNNNNNNNNNNNNNNNNNNNNNNNNNNNNNNNNNNNNNNNNNNNNNNNNNNNNNNNNNNNNNNNNNNNNNNNNNNNNNNNNNNNNNNNNNNNNNNNNNNNNNNNNNNNNNNNNNNNNNNNNNNNNNNNNNNNNNNNNNNNNNNNNNNNNNNNNNNNNNNNNNNNNNNNNNNNNNNNNNNNNNNNNNNNNNNNNNNNNNNNNNNNNNNNNNNNNNNNNNNNNNNNNNNNNNNNNNNNNNNNNNNNNNNNNNNNNNNNNNNNNNNNNNNNNNNNNNNNNNNNNNNNNNNNNNNNNNNNNNNNNNNNNNNNNNNNNNNNNNNNNNNNNNNNNNNNNNNNNNNNNNNNNNNNNNNNNNNNNNNNNNNNNNNNNNNNNNNNNNNNNNNNNNNNNNNNNNNNNNNNNNNNNNNNNNNNNNNNNNNNNNNNNNNNNNNNNNNNNNNNNNNNNNNNNNNNNNNNNNNNNNNNNNNNNNNNNNNNNNNNNNNNNNNNNNNNNNNNNNNNNNNNNNNNNNNNNNNNNNNNNNNNNNNNNNNNNNNNNNNNNNNNNNNNNNNNNNNNNNNNNNNNNNNNNNNNNNNNNNNNNNNNNNNNNNNNNNNNNNNNNNNNNNNNNNNNNNNNNNNNNNNNNNNNNNNNNNNNNNNNNNNNNNNNNNNNNNNNNNNNNNNNNNNNNNNNNNNNNNNNNNNNNNNNNNNNNNNNNNNNNNNNNNNNNNNNNNNNNNNNNNNNNNNNNNNNNNNNNNNNNNNNNNNNNNNNNNNNNNNNNNNNNNNNNNNNNNNNNNNNNNNNNNNNNNNNNNNNNNNNNNNNNNNNNNNNNNNNNNNNNNNNNNNNNNNNNNNNNNNNNNNNNNNNNNNNNNNNNNNNNNNNNNNNNNNNNNNNNNNNNNNNNNNNNNNNNNNNNNNNNNNNNNNNNNNNNNNNNNNNNNNNNNNNNNNNNNNNNNNNNNNNNNNNNNNNNNNNNNNNNNNNNNNNNNNNNNNNNNNNNNNNNNNNNNNNNNNNNNNNNNNNNNNNNNNNNNNNNNNNNNNNNNNNNNNNNNNNNNNNNNNNNNNNNNNNNNNNNNNNNNNNNNNNNNNNNNNNNNNNNNNNNNNNNNNNNNNNNNNNNNNNNNNNNNNNNNNNNNNNNNNNNNNNNNNNNNNNNNNNNNNNNNNNNNNNNNNNNNNNNNNNNNNNNNNNNNNNNNNNNNNNNNNNNNNNNNNNNNNNNNNNNNNNNNNNNNNNNNNNNNNNNNNNNNNNNNNNNNNNNNNNNNNNNNNNNNNNNNNNNNNNNNNNNNNNNNNNNNNNNNNNNNNNNNNNNNNNNNNNNNNNNNNNNNNNNNNNNNNNNNNNNNNNNNNNNNNNNNNNNNNNNNNNNNNNNNNNNNNNNNNNNNNNNNNNNNNNNNNNNNNNNNNNNNNNNNNNNNNNNNNNNNNNNNNNNNNNNNNNNNNNNNNNNNNNNNNNNNNNNNNNNNNNNNNNNNNNNNNNNNNNNNNNNNNNNNNNNNNNNNNNNNNNNNNNNNNNNNNNNNNNNNNNNNNNNNNNNNNNNNNNNNNNNNNNNNNNNNNNNNNNNNNNNNNNNNNNNNNNNNNNNNNNNNNNNNNNNNNNNNNNNNNNNNNNNNNNNNNNNNNNNNNNNNNNNNNNNNNNNNNNNNNNNNNNNNNNNNNNNNNNNNNNNNNNNNNNNNNNNNNNNNNNNNNNNNNNNNNNNNNNNNNNNNNNNNNNNNNNNNNNNNNNNNNNNNNNNNNNNNNNNNNNNNNNNNNNNNNNNNNNNNNNNNNNNNNNNNNNNNNNNNNNNNNNNNNNNNNNNNNNNNNNNNNNNNNNNNNNNNNNNNNNNNNNNNNNNNNNNNNNNNNNNNNNNNNNNNNNNNNNNNNNNNNNNNNNNNNNNNNNNNNNNNNNNNNNNNNNNNNNNNNNNNNNNNNNNNNNNNNNNNNNNNNNNNNNNNNNNNNNNNNNNNNNNNNNNNNNNNNNNNNNNNNNNNNNNNNNNNNNNNNNNNNNNNNNNNNNNNNNNNNNNNNNNNNNNNNNNNNNNNNNNNNNNNNNNNNNNNNNNNNNNNNNNNNNNNNNNNNNNNNNNNNNNNNNNNNNNNNNNNNNNNNNNNNNNNNNNNNNNNNNNNNNNNNNNNNNNNNNNNNNNNNNNNNNNNNNNNNNNNNNNNNNNNNNNNNNNNNNNNNNNNNNNNNNNNNNNNNNNNNNNNNNNNNNNNNNNNNNNNNNNNNNNNNNNNNNNNNNNNNNNNNNNNNNNNNNNNNNNNNNNNNNNNNNNNNNNNNNNNNNNNNNNNNNNNNNNNNNNNNNNNNNNNNNNNNNNNNNNNNNNNNNNNNNNNNNNNNNNNNNNNNNNNNNNNNNNNNNNNNNNNNNNNNNNNNNNNNNNNNNNNNNNNNNNNNNNNNNNNNNNNNNNNNNNNNNNNNNNNNNNNNNNNNNNNNNNNNNNNNNNNNNNNNNNNNNNNNNNNNNNNNNNNNNNNNNNNNNNNNNNNNNNNNNNNNNNNNNNNNNNNNNNNNNNNNNNNNNNNNNNNNNNNNNNNNNNNNNNNNNNNNNNNNNNNNNNNNNNNNNNNNNNNNNNNNNNNNNNNNNNNNNNNNNNNNNNNNNNNNNNNNNNNNNNNNNNNNNNNNNNNNNNNNNNNNNNNNNNNNNNNNNNNNNNNNNNNNNNNNNNNNNNNNNNNNNNNNNNNNNNNNNNNNNNNNNNNNNNNNNNNNNNNNNNNNNNNNNNNNNNNNNNNNNNNNNNNNNNNNNNNNNNNNNNNNNNNNNNNNNNNNNNNNNNNNNNNNNNNNNNNNNNNNNNNNNNNNNNNNNNNNNNNNNNNNNNNNNNNNNNNNNNNNNNNNNNNNNNNNNNNNNNNNNNNNNNNNNNNNNNNNNNNNNNNNNNNNNNNNNNNNNNNNNNNNNNNNNNNNNNNNNNNNNNNNNNNNNNNNNNNNNNNNNNNNNNNNNNNNNNNNNNNNNNNNNNNNNNNNNNNNNNNNNNNNNNNNNNNNNNNNNNNNNNNNNNNNNNNNNNNNNNNNNNNNNNNNNNNNNNNNNNNNNNNNNNNNNNNNNNNNNNNNNNNNNNNNNNNNNNNNNNNNNNNNNNNNNNNNNNNNNNNNNNNNNNNNNNNNNNNNNNNNNNNNNNNNNNNNNNNNNNNNNNNNNNNNNNNNNNNNNNNNNNNNNNNNNNNNNNNNNNNNNNNNNNNNNNNNNNNNNNNNNNNNNNNNNNNNNNNNNNNNNNNNNNNNNNNNNNNNNNNNNNNNNNNNNNNNNNNNNNNNNNNNNNNNNNNNNNNNNNNNNNNNNNNNNNNNNNNNNNNNNNNNNNNNNNNNNNNNNNNNNNNNNNNNNNNNNNNNNNNNNNNNNNNNNNNNNNNNNNNNNNNNNNNNNNNNNNNNNNNNNNNNNNNNNNNNNNNNNNNNNNNNNGGGCAACGCCCCCGAAAGAGAAUUUUGAUUUCUCUGCAUGUAUUGAAGGGUAUAUUUGGCAUUUCGAAAAUCAAUAUCGGAUGAAUGAGAAAUUACGAAAAAGACCUCAACCAUUAGUGAAUAGACACCUUUUCAUAAAUAUGCAUUGUUUGGAAAUGGUGCAUGGUUUGGUCUCAACCAUUUCGUCCACACCCCUUCAUGGUCUAUAAAUAGGACCCUUUGGGUGUCCUAUUCCUCACAGUUUGAUAUGCAAAACGUUUCUCAUCCUCUCUUCUAUCCAAAAUCAAAAUCAUUUCGUUUAUUUUGAUUUUCUUUCAUUUCAUUCUUGGAGUACAUAAGCCUAAAUUGGUUCGUUGUACUUGUGUUUUGGAGUGCUACAAACACAAGUGUAGCCGUUGUAUCUUGGGAGUCGAUUGCCGAAAUCCGUAGGCACCGUUGCGGGGCAAAUUCGACUUAAGGACAAAGAGUCCAACUCUUGCCUCGGCUUUGUCACCAUCAUUAUACUUAUUUCAGCGUCACUAUUCACAAAAUUCAUCCAACACUCUUUUUCCCCCAAUUUUUAUAGUAGCGACCAGCACUGCAACAACAACACCGUGCUACUGUUCAUAACAGCAUUGAGUUGCCAUUCACAAUAGUUCCAAGCGGUUUCAAGGAUGUUGCCAUUCGAGACACUAAUUUUACAACAGCGGUUCCAGACAGUGCACCCAGGCCCUGUUCUGGACCAAGGCCAACUAGGCAGCCGCCUAGGGUCUCAUAAAAAAAAUUUGGCCCAACACCCAACCGAAGACCCAUUCGAAACCCACCCAAUUACUCAAAAUAACCUGUUUUACUGACUAGAAGAGACAGUUUAAGCUAGAUAUGCUGGACGACAGCAAAAUCACAAACAAGUGUUCACAAUUGAAGCAGAUUAGCAGAAGAAAUUACAAAUAAUCGAUGGGAGCAAGGACCUUCCAAUGGCCAACUGCAUAUGCUUCCUUCUCUGUCUCUUUCUUGCCAUCAACUUGUGCCUCACAAACAAGCAAAACCCAAUGUCUAACACUAUUUGUCUGCUCAUGGUAAGAAAUUGAAAAACUGAGAAGAAAUGAAAGAAAAAUAGGUAAAAUCUUAAUGCAAAGUUUCUUUCUGGUUUCUUAUUUGAUUUUAUGUUUCUGACUACUCGUAUUUAUUAUGUGACAUAAAGAAAAUAAUUUAUAAUGGUGUCUACCCGAAUUAUUUUCAUUGAUUUCUGAAUUUUAUGUUAAUUUGGUGUUAUAAAAUGCAGGGUUUUUGCGUUACAUUGUUGUAUUUUAUAUAUUUUUUUUGUUUUUAUUGUCUUUUCAUUAUUGGUUCUUUUAAAAAAAAUUCCCUUUGAAACAGUCGGUAUUGAUAAUCUUGAGUGAUUUGCUAAAAGAAAUGGGAUGAUUAAAUAGAACUUCAAGAAUAUUGUAAUCAUUUUGAGCAAAAUCCAGGAAAAACUUCAAAUUUUGGAUACAUGGUAACAAGGAGUAGCUGUAGAAAUAUAUGUGGCCUAAAUUCAUUAUGAGGACUAGUCAAUUAUUUGAGGAAUGAGAAGUAACUUUUUGAUGUAAAAAAAAUGCUCUUAUUGUACGAGGCCCGGUGUUAUAGCUAUUUUUUUAUGCAUUACUAGUUGGUCUUAUUGAAAUUUUGAGAAGGUUGUAACUUGAAAUGCUGGAAAAUGCUCGUAAAAUAGGAAAUUCAUAGUUGAUUUAGAGCAUGGAUUUGUGUUGGUUUACUUGGAUUUGAUUUUGUUUACAAAAUCGACAUGUAAGAAAAUUUGAAAGAAGAACCAUUAUGAAUCUCCACACUAUUCAUAUAUUCAAUCCACAAAGUAGUGAUUACAUAGUCAUUAACUGCUUUGUCAAAUAUCAAACAUCAUGGAAUCGGCUGUUUCUAGUUCAUUAUCAAGUAAUGCAGUAAGGUUAUUGUUCGAUAUCCACGAUUAAAUCACUGUACAGAAGCUCCUCUUGAACAAGAAUAUUUACUGCUAUAUAUGUAAGUUUGAAUAUUUCUACUUUUGUAAAAAUUAUAUUCAAUGGCCUCAUAAUAAUUAAUUGUCUAGGGCCUCAAAAUUCUCAGGGCUAGCCCUGGGUGCACCUUUUUCAGCGAGACACCAUUGUCGCGAGAGAGCACAGCCUCGCACGAUGCAGCAUCAUUUUGAAAAUGGAAGUAAUGCUUUCAGAUCCAGCGACACUGAUUUGAACGUCGUAGCAGGGUUUAAAACGUCGCUGUGAGGUACUGAUCUACACACCUCUGUGUAGUGUUUGUCGCAACGAUCUCCGUGGUUUUGGGGUUGGUCGAUCUGAAAAUGGAAGCGAGGUUGAUUUGAAUGUCACAGCAGCGUCUACAACACCAUUAUGAGGCCCUGAUCUAUGUGGUGUUUACCACGGUGGUGGUGGUUGCAGUGGUGGUGGUGGUGGUGGUUAAAGCCAUGAUGGUGUUGGUGUUAUUGGUGGUGGUGGUUAAAGCUAUGGUGGUGAUGUCAUUGACGACGCUACUGGAGAUGUCAGGGAUGCUAGUGUAGUCAUGGUGGUGCUGAUGGCGAGGGCAAUCGUGGCGAGUGGAGGUGUUUGUAACCAACCAAUAAAUUGGUUAAAUUUUUUUAUCAAUAAAUCAUAUCUAACCUAAAUAUGUGAUCGUGACUCACAAUUUAUUAUUUUUUGACAGAGAAAUAACUUGUAACCAAUUAAUUUGAUAGUGAUCUUAAAGUAAACUGUGACUUAUAAAAUUUGUGAUUUGUAACCGAUAACUUGUGACCAAUAAUAAUAUGUGACCUAAAAACUUGAAUCAUGACUUAUAAAUUUUGUGUUUUUUGACCUAUAAAUUUUUUUAUUUGUGAUCGAUGAAUUAUAAAAAAAAAAAUAUUUAUAACCGUGAAAUAAUAUAUAUAUAUAUAUAUAUAUAUAUAUAUAUAUNNNNNNNNNNNNNNNNNNNNNNNNNNNNNNNNNNNNNNNNNNNNNNNNNNNNNNNNNNNNNNNNNNNNNNNNNNNNNNNNNNNNNNNNNNNNNNNNNNNNNNNNNNNNNNNNNNNNNNNNNNNNNNNNNNNNNNNNNNNNNNNNNNNNNNNNNNNNNNNNNNNNNNNNNNNNNNNNNNNNNNNNNNNNNNNNNNNNNNNNNNNNNNNNNNNNNNNNNNNNNNNNNNNNNNNNNNNNNNNNNNNNNNNNNNNNNNNNNNNNNNNNNNNNNNNNNNNNNNNNNNNNNNNNNNNNNNNNNNNNNNNNNNNNNNNNNNNNNNNNNNNNNNNNNNNNNNNNNNNNNNNNNNNNNNNNNNNNNNNNNNNNNNNNNNNNNNNNNNNNNNNNNNNNNNNNNNNNNNNNNNNNNNNNNNNNNNNNNNNNNNNNNNNNNNNNNNNNNNNNNNNNNNNNNNNNNNNNNNNNNNNNNNNNNNNNNNNNNNNNNNNNNNNNNNNNNNNNNNNNNNNNNNNNNNNNNNNNNNNNNNNNNNNNNNNNNNNNNNNNNNNNNNNNNNNNNNNNNNNNNNNNNNNNNNNNNNNNNNNNUAGUACUCUUCUAUUUAGUUUUUCACUAAAAAGGGAAGUUACAAGAAGAAGAAUGCCACUUUUUUAUCGUACCUCUUCUCAAAUCUGAAUUUGCCUUUAUUUUUCUUUCAAGAAUUUCUUUUAGUUAAGUUAAGUUCAAAAGAAUUGCAAGGGUGUGAAAGAAAAAUGCUUCAACACAUUUUGUUCCUUUAUAUGUGUAUGUGUGUGUGAGAUCAGAAGGGUACAUCAAGUGAUAUAAGUCCUAUUGAGUUUAAAGUUCACACCUUCAAUAUUGAAAAAAUUUUCAGAAUAAAGGAUGGCCAAGAAAGUGGAUUCAUGUGCUUCAUUUUUGUAAUUAGUUAUAUUUGAAGAAUUUAUAAUUCUUACUAGUUAUGCAACUUAUGUUUGAUUUUUAAAAGAUGUUAGUUUAUCUUUACUUUUUUUAAGACUUCUUAGUUCUUUUUUCUUGAUGUGACUGUUGAAAUUUUAAUCAGUUUAAAUAUGCAUGUAAUUAAAGUUGCUAAAGAAGUUAAGAUUAAACCUUAGACUUGUAAAAAAAUAAAUUUCAGCUUACUCCAUGAAUUUUUUUGAUGUCAUCUCGUAUAGAAUUAUUUGAGUUUUUUGGCAAAACUAAUGUAGUUUGACCGCCCUAUGAGUCCUCUCUCCGCUGGUUUUGGAAUCAAGUCAAUUGAAAGUCAAUGAGAUAAGAUAUGCCCUUUGCCAUGUAUUGUGUUCGGUGUACCAGAGAACAAUUUUUUUCCAUAUGUUUGAGUGUCCAUUUGAGCACCUAAAUGAUGUUUGAAAAUUCUCAAAAUUUUUCUAUGUUGUGCUUGAAUGAUUUAGAACAUACUGUAAAAUUAGAGAAAUUGGAUAAGGAUUUGAAUUCUCCUUGGUUCUCUACAUCAUCAAUCACCCACAUCCUCAACCUAGGUAUGAAAAUUUUAUUGAACAUUUUCAUGAAAUUUUAAAGUUAUGUUUUCAUGAAUUUUUAUUGUUAGUAGUGAAAAAAUAUGUAUAUUGGACUAUGAUAACAAUGGGUGAUAAAUGGCUAGAAGAAGAAGAUGCAACUCAGUCAGCAUCUUAGAAAUGGCGAUUAGAACAUACUUGGAUUUUGAAGUUGAGGAUUCCCAAGAUCUGGUGGAUCACGUACAUAGUGUUAAUGAGCAUUAGGUAGCAACUAAGAAUGCACGCUAUCAGAUUAGCAAUCAACAAGCCAUUUGACUUCUCUUGGAUACAUUAGCACCUCAUGAAGAGUGUUUUGGCAAGCUUUUAUUUAAAGAAAUGGGUUCGGUAUUUCCAUCGAGGAAUCCUCAUAACAUAGGUAUAAAGAUUUUUGUAAUGCUCUUUUAGAUUACUGAGAAACCUACCUUGGGAAAGUAACCUUACAUUUUAGUUUAGAUUCAAGAGUGAUGAUAGACGAUGACGUAAUUCAAUCAUCAGGGAUUAUAAGUAAAUCAACCAAUAAGGAUCAUCGAGGAAAUGGUAGAAGAGGACCCCAAAGAGGAUCCAGUUGAAGAUUGAGAAAGGGAUGUAGAAGGCUUAUAGAUAGGCAAAUAAAAUAAAUAAAUAACAAUAAUAUCCAUCAUUAUCGUUUUCUUUGCAAUUUCAAUUAAGUCCAGUGGCAUGUAAACUUUCUUAAGUUAAGUUUGGUGUUUUAGAUUAUAAAUGGAUUUGUGCACUUAAAAAUAAAAAAAUCAUUCCUGAGUUGGUGGCAUGCAUGUCUAAAGGAUGAAAAACUUAUUUGCGUGUUUAAAAGAAAUUGUGCAACCAAACCAGAAUGAUUUGAUAAGAGAUUUGUUGUAAGUGGUGCAAGGGCUUGGAAGGCAAGCCCUGCAAGCAAACCAUUUAGUUGCCCAACUCAAACGUUGAUUUUGGAAAUUUUCAGAAGCAUAGUGAUCCGUUACAAUAAAGCUAUUUGUACAUCCGGAUUUGACACUCCCGAUGACACUCCCCUCAUAAGAGAGGGGGGCCACACACAAUAAAAUAAUUGCGGGCCCCCCUCUUGUGAGGGGAGUGUCAACCCCGGAUGUACGAAUAGUGAAGUCCGAUCUGUUAACAGCUGAGGAAUGGCUAUGGAAGUUGGGACAAAUUUUCUAGCUUACAGAUGAUAAUGAUACACAAAAGUACGGUGCAUGGAGUUUAUAUUCACUGAAGCAGCAAUUCAUUGGUGAGAAUCAAUGUUUCGAACUUGGACCAAAGCUAAGCAAGAGGCUUUGACUUGGAAUCAAUUUGAAGAAAUUACUAGAAGUUCUUUUCCCGAGCAUUAAGGGACUUUAAAGAACAGAUUUCUUACAGCUAAAGCAAGGAAGCAUGACUCUGGCUGAUUGUAAGAAAAAGUUCGACCAGGUAACUAAGUAUGCUCUACAUUUGGUGAUUACUGAAUUUAGAUAAAUAAAGGGAUUUUAGCAAAGGCUUCAUCAGGACAUUCACAAAAUCCUCAUGUCUCACCGUUUUAUUACCUAUAGCAAAAUGUUGGAAAGAGCUCAUGCUUUCUGGUAUCAAAGAGCUAGUACUAAAAAGUAUGGAAUAAAGACAAGUUCAAACUAUCAUGGUAAAGGCAGCUAACAAAAUAAGUUUGUGGCUAGUAAAAGGACGUAGAACAACUGGAUAAGAGAAAGAAAAAUUGCAGAAUAAGAAUGUGACGACCCAGCCUUGUACACAAGCCAUUAGUUUACAUAUUGUCCACUCUAGGAGAGUUUAAGCCCCUGUUAUCCCUCAAUAAUUUCUGUAGCGUCUCAAAGAUUUGAACACAUGACCUUCCUUUAAGAGAGACUUAAAUUAUGAGACCUCCUAGGGGACACGACAACUUUGGUGGCUAUGGCUUCAGGGGCAAGAGAAAUGGUGGUGGUUGUGGCAGUUGCUUCGAUGGCAGCGGCUACUUCCCUACUCACGAUGAAGGUCCGCCUGGUGAAGUCAUUGAGGUUUCAUCAUUUGCUCAUGCUUAUGAGGCAGAUGUUGUAACAAAGCUCACAAAUAAAAAACUACUAUACUUUGACGCACCAAUUUACCUUCAAAACAAGACACAGAACGAUAAAGUUGAUGAAAUAUUUGGCCUCAUUAAUGAAUCUAAUUUUUUAUUAAAAUGAUGGAAGAAAUUGUGGCCAUCUCGUAUUCAGCAGGCGAGAAGUUCUACAUUGACCCGACUAAGUUUUUGCUGCUUUCAAGAUUUCUUCCACAGCCAAAACGACAAGCACAAACUAGUGGUAGAGGGGGAGAAAAAGGUGGUGGGAGAGGUGGACGUGGCGGUGGCUACUUUCACAGAAGGGGUGCUCCAAGUGGAAGAGAUGGUCCUCGAGGCGGUGGUCGUGGUGGAGGUUUCAGGGGUAGAGGGAGAUCAUAGAAUGACUGUAUUUGUGCUUUUCUUCUUUUAGUUCUCCAUCCAAGGUGUUUCCGAAUCAAACAGAACAAUAAAAAUGACGAAUUUUUGUCUUAAAGUAAUUUUGUUAUUUUCAAUUGGGCUGCUGUAAAAUUAUCUUACUCGAGUUCGGAUUUUAUUGCAUUAUUAUAUACUUUUGUUAAAUUUAAUAAUAAUAAUAAUAAUAAUAAUAAUAAUAAUAAUAAUAAUAAUAAUAAUAAUAAUAAUAACUUAAAUUGAAUCCUAGCACUGAUUGGAUAAAACCACAUAAAAGUAGUUUAGGAUAAACAAAAGAGUUAUGCAGACAAUCAAAGAAAACAAUUGAAUUUUGAAGUUAGUGAAAAUGUCUUGUGAAAGUAACACCUAUGAAGGGUGUAUUAAGAUAUGGUAAGAAAGCAAGUUGAGACCAUGGUAUAUGGUACCUUUCAAAAUUCUUGAUAAGGUUGAUAACGUAGCGUAUCUGUUACCUCUACCUUCCGAACUAUCUAUUGUACAUAAUGUAUUUCACGUCUAUGAUAAGAAAAUAUGUGCAGGAUCCAAGUCACAUGGUAAAUUAUUAAAUAUUAGAUGUUCAAAAAGAUCGAUUUUACAAAGAAGUUCGAAUUGCCAUUUUGGAUAGAAAGGUACAGCAAUUAAGGGCUAAAAAAAUUAUAUUGGUCAAGGUUCGAUGAUGACAUCACGUGAUAGAGGUGGUUACUUGGGAAACGGAAGUAAAAAUUAAAGCCAAGUAUUUGACAUUGUUUGUUUAAUUUAAGGUAAUUUAAAGGACGAAAUUUUUUAAGGUGUAGAUGAUGUAAGUCUCGAAUUUUAUAUUCUUAAAAUGGUUGAUGUGAUCUAUUUAAGAAACGAGCUAUGGUGGUUUGACCCAUUUAAUGUAAUGCAAACCUAAGACAUAAGUUAUUUAAGACUCCAAAGAUUUAAGACAUUCAGUUUAAAUAAAUUCGAUUACAAAAGUUAAAUGAGUAAUUGGGUUGUUACAAUAGUUAUCGGUACGAUAUUGCUCAUAGGAAACUUAGGUUUGAAUCACCAUAUAAAUGUUUUUAUAAAUAUUUUGGAGUUAAAAACUCUUCAUUCUACACAUUAAGAAUAAUUAUAUCAAAUUAAUUGGAUGGACUAAGUUUUUUGUUAGUGGGCAUUAAUAGAGAUAGGUUAUAAAUCAUAUAAAGUACUCAUUUUCCUCCAUUUUUUAUCAUAUAAAUGUUUUAUUAAAAAAACUAUAAGAAUUAAUUUUGUGUGAGCUUAAAACUCAAUAAAUUUCUACUUAAUGACUCAACCCCUGUAUGAUAAUAAUUAUUUUGAGAAAAUUGAGUUUUGAAUAGUAAGUUUUUGGAUAAUGAGUGGUUAAAAAGCAUGAAAUUUUUUUGAUUUACAUGAAAAAUAUUUUAUUAUAUAAAUGUGUAAUUGAAAACGAGUAUGAGAAUUAAAGAAUUUGAAGUAAUGGUUGUCAAACAAGGUUUCAAUUUAACCGUGUUAAUGAUGAUAUAACUCUCCCAUUUAGUUUUUCACUAAAAGGGAUGUUACAAGAAGAAGAAUGUCAAUUUUUUAUCCCGCAUCUCCUCAAAUCCGAAUUUGUCCUUAUUUUAGUUAAGUUAAUCUCUAAUGAAUAAUAAAGGUGUGAAAGAGAAAUGCUUUUAGACAUUUUAUUCCUUUAUAUUUCAAGAAAUUCAAAUUAGGUGGUGCUAAGUAUUUACCCAUUUUGUUCAUUAUACUCUCACACACACUAGUAAUGUAUAUUAGAAUUUUUGAAGUUAUGAACAAAGAGGUUUAUAUAUGGCCAUAACUGAUUUCCACAAUCCAAAGGAAUUCUUUGGAAUCAUGAAUUUGCCUACAUUCAUCUACAUGAAAUGUUAAAUUCUUUUCUAUCACUUUAUAUAUGUAUCUUCGUGUGUGCGUGCGUGUGUGUAAUCUAAAGGGUUCUACUGAGCUUAUAGUCCACAACUUCUAUGUUGAAAAAAUUUUAAGAUUAAAUGAUGGUUGAGGAAGUGGGAUUCACGUAGAUUGUGGAGGAUCUGAUGGAGAAAUGUGCUUCAUUUGCGUAAUUAAGCAAAUUUGAAGAAUUUGUAGUUCAAACAAGUUAUACAACUUAUAUUUAAUUUCUAAAAGAUGUUAGUUUAUAUUUGCUUUUUAAAAGACUUCUUAGUUCUCUUUCUUGAUGCAAACAUUGAAAUUUGAAUUGGUUUAAGUAUGUAUAUAAUUAGAGUUGAUAAAGAAGUUAAGAUUAAACCUUAGACUUUUAAACAAUAAAUUGCAUGAAAUUUGACGCACCAUCUUGGACAGAACUUUUUGAGUUUUUGGACAAAACUAGUACGAUUUGAAAGCCCUAUAAAUCCUUUGUAUGUUGGUUUUAGAAUCAAGUCAAUUGAAGGUCGAUAGGGCAAUUUAUGCCCCUUUUCUAUGUGUUGUGUUUAGUGUACCCAAAAACAGUUUUUCAUAUGUUUGAGGGCUUAAAUGAUGUUAGAAAAUUUUAAAAUUUUACUAUGCAAUACUUGAAUGAGUUUAAAAAAAAUAAUUGUAAAGAUUUCAUAGAAUUAUGAAUUUGAAAAAUGCAACCAAGCUUGAUCAUUGGGUAGUGCAUCGCUCGAUUUAACUCCAUUAAUAUACACUAACCUUCAUUUUAGUGCUCCGUUUUAAUUUCAUUAUUUAAAAAUCAAAGUUAUCUACCUUAAAUCAUUUAUUUCCAAUAAUUUUUGAAACUUGUAAUAGAACAUAAUGGUAAACUAGAAAAUAAAAAGGAAAUUAAUCAAAAAUUUAGUGGAUUACACGUAUAUAUUCACCAACGGCGUGGAUCGCCUUUUAAGAGAGUACUGUGCGGUAUCCAUGUUGUGUUUAAAUUACAAUCUAAAAAUGAAUUAACAAGCAAAUUCGACAAGAGAAAUUGUGUUUUAAGAGACUCCUAACUUUUCUUUUCUUUUCUAAUUGUACAUUCUCUUAAAAAUUACGUUUUACAAAAUUUACUCAAAAAAAUUUAUAUCAAAUAAAUCCUAUGUAAAAGGUAGAAGUUAAUGAAAAAAAUACAUAUAUACAGAUGUGUUAAAUAGAAUCUUGUAAUCUUUAAUCCAUUCUUAAAUUACCAAAAUAUUGAGUGGAUUACAUGUAUCUAUUGAUCAAUGGCAUCGAUCAUCUUUUAAGAGAGUAACGUGCAAUAUCCGUGUUAUGUCUAUUUUACCUUCUAUUAUGACUAGCCUUUGCCCGUGCAAUGCAUGUGUAAUGUCUUAAUUUAAAAUAAGUCAAAAAAAAAGGUCAAAGACAUCAAGCCAAAAGAAAAAAAACGAUAAAAUAAUAAUAAAAUAAUUAGGCGGUGGAUUGAUUGUUGUAUAUCAAUCCAUUUUGGGCCAAAUCCAUUUAAAAAACACACCACACACACUGGAAAGAAACGAGGUAGAGAAAAAAGAAAGGAAAAAGAAGGGAAAAAAAUAGGAGAAGAGGAAGGGAAAAAAAUAGGAAAGUUCGCCUAUAUUGUUAGAAAUAAGUGAUCUACAUUAUUAGGCUUGAAUUCUUCAAUUUUGAAAGGUAAGUAAAAAGUUACUUAUUGUCAAGUUAUGUUUGAUUUUAUAGUUGUUAGAUUGUUAGAUUAAAUUCAAUUUUAUUGAAGGUGUUAAGUAUAAUUGAGUAAGAUGAAAGAAAAACUAGUUUUAGUGAUUAAAGAGACUUUAGAAAUCGCUUAAAUGUGAAAUGAUUAAGUUUGAGUAUCACCUAUUUAAUUAUUGAAAUUACUUAAAAUAAUUAUUUGUUGAUUUAAAAAUUAUAUCAUAUUUCAGGCGGCGAUACAGAUAUCGAGAUAACUUACCAACUGAGUUGAUUUUUGCGAACAUAGUUUUGUGAGUAGAAAAAUAUAAAUAUUUUUAAAAUAUUUAUAAAUUAAGUAUAUUAUCAAAAUAUAUGCAAUUAUAUGAAUUAUUUGCUUCAUUAUGUGAUUACAAUGAAAGUUUCUUUUAUUAUGAUACAUGUGGGAUUUCAAAGAUUGUAUAUGGUACAUUGUGAAUUGGAAUAUGAGAUAUGAUUUUGAGAUCGAUCAGAAAAGUACCCGUGAUUAUAUAUUUCUUCUAAUUCACUGAGGAGCCUUGGUCGUAUUCUAUACUGCACUGAGGGGUCUUGGACUGGGGAUGAAGGGGUCUCGACCGUGUACAUAUAGUUUACUGAGGGGCCUUGACCAUGUUCUAAAAUUGAUUACCAGAGGUCUUUGAGACCGACUUUCGUUCAAGGAGGGACCAAAGGCCCGUGGCGAAGGUUCUUAGCCCGAGGGACGGAUUACAGAUUUUAAUCAGAUGGUACAUUUUUGGUGAAUUUUUCAGUACCUUCGAUGUGAUGAGAUUAUAGCAUAAUUACCAGCUUAUGUUUAUAUCAUGAUUUUGAGAUGAUAUUUUAUGACCAUAUGUGAAUAUUUCACUUUUGGCUAUAAUUAUAUGAUAUUAUCUUGCGAGUUGUCAAUGAUGUGAACUCGAUUUUCAAUAAAAAUGUAAAAAUGAAAAUAGUAUAAUUAUUUUCGAACUUCUCAACUCACUGAGCUAUCAACUCACAUAUUUUUCCGUAAUUCUUCUACAAGUAGCAAUUGGUUCUUUUUAGCUGGAAGAGCCUAAUGAUUUUGGAAUGAGAGCCACACGACAUGUUGAACAUUAUAACUCACAUUGAUGAAGCACGAAAUAAAUAUUUUGAGCCCAUUGCAUUAUGUUUUAUAUAAGCAUUUGAUUUUAUUGCAUUUUUUGAAAUAACUCUCAGUUAGCCUUGGUGAUAGAUUUGACAUCUAGUCAGCAUCUAUCAUUGACGUACAUCACGUUUCGGGUCCACUAGGGUGAUUCGGGACCGAUCUUGUCAAAGUGGUAUCAGAGCAUGGUUAUAAAGUUUUGAAAGUCCUUGUAGUUCAUGCAUUGACAUAUCAUGCAUAUUCGGUGCAUAUGGUUACAUGUCGUGGUGGUAGAAAUCAUAAGCUCUCUAGCUUACAUGUAUAGAACCCAAAAUAAUAGAAAAAUAUUUUUUUUAGCAGAUUUAGAAAUAAUUAGUAUGUAAGUAUGGUAGUUGUAAUGAUCUGAUGGUUGGAAAUGUUCUUAGUUAUUGGAUUGGAACUAUGUGUAUAUAUAACCUGUUAAAAUUUGAAUAGAUUGUGAUGAUUUUGCAGGGCAUUCGAAGUUACAGAUGUUACAAUCACUUAAUUAUCAAUUUAUUUGCAGAACUAUAUGAUUUUUUUUUAUGUGUACAUAGGAAAAUUUUUAGUUAUAGCUUGCACGAUAAAUAUAGAAAAAUUAUAUGAUGUGGGAUUGGUGAUAAUCAGUGAGGAAUUUUAAUUAUUUUUGAAGUCAAAUGGUCUUUAGUGUUGUCAAAAUCUUGUGGUGAUUUGUGGCCACUUAUAUGGGAUGAUAAUAGAAAUCAUAAUGGUGUAUAUUUAUGCUAUAUGAUAGAAAAUUGUGGAAGACAAAAUGAUGAUUUGUUGAUUGAUAGAUGACAAUGUGUUAUUGUGUAUUUUAGGCAUUGAAGAAAUUAAAUAAUGUGUUAUUGUGUAUUUUAGGCAUCCAGGAAAUUAACGUAAUUCCAAUUAUUUCGAUUAUUUAUGAGUGGUUUGAUUACAAGGAAUGUGAGAAUAAUAGGAAUGAACUUCAUAAUGAUUACCUAUUAUGGGAUGAUUUGUUGCUUUAAAAAUAGAAUUAAAUGGAUAUGUGCAUUUAGGUAUGUUUAUGUGAGAAAAAAAAAUAGAGAAUGGUAAAAUUGGAAUUUAUUGAGUUUGGAAAAUUAACGUAUGAAAUCUUGAUGAUAUAUUGAUGUAUGAAAGGUUCACAUGAUAAAUAUGAAAGUUAUUAUUAUGUGAUCUUAAGGAAAAUUGAUAUAACUAAAAGUUGAAAGACAUAUGGCAUGGCCAUAAGUAUGUGAUGAGGUUAUAUGAUUACAACAUGAUAUGGUCAAUAGCAUGUAAAUGAAUGUAAUGACUGUCCUACAGCAAAAUAAUGUGAUGAAAGAUUUGGGUUAUUAAGUUAAUUAAUUUUUUAAGGCCAUUUGUUGGAGUAUUGUGUUAUAUUCCAUAGAAUUUGAAAGCUUUGAGUUAAAUUUUAAAGUUAAGAUGAAUUUAUUGAAAUUUUAGUGAUGUAAUUUUUGGGUUGUUUUCAAUUGUAUGGAUCAUGAAUAAAGUAUUCCAUUUUUAUCAAAAUAUAUUUGUUAAGGAAUAUAAGUAAGACAUGUUGGCUAUGUCUAAAGUCUAAGAUGAUCAUCAUAUAAAUUUAUUCCAAUUGUAGAACGGUAUCUUUAGGUUAUACUCUUUAUUGAAGGUCUUGUGCGAUAAACAAGAAAGCUUAUGCAUUGGUGAUAGGCUGAUGGUCUCUUUAUGGAAUAAGAGAAUAGAAUUAUGAUGGAUUAAUUGUUCUCAUGGAAAGAAAGAGCAUCAAAAUUGUGUGGAUUUAAGGAUGUAAAAAGUGUUGCUAUCAGAUUAAAUUGUGAGGAAACAUUUACUCUUGGAUCAAAAGUUGAUGAGGAUUUGAUUUAUGAUAAUGGAUUAUGUUAAGGUAUAGAGUGUGUUCUGAAGUAAAAUGAUGAAUUAUGAAUUAUAUUAUAGAUUGUUAAAGAGACAUGAUUAAAACAUGAUUUAGUGUUGUUUACAUUGGGAUUAUGUCAUCACAUUGCGAGAAAUAUUAAUACAUAUCAAUCAUCAAAGUUUAAGAUAUAUUUUAUUCGAAAUGGUGGAAAUGGAAAUUGUGUAUAUAUUAUCAUUGGGUGAUAUAUAAUUAAAGAAAAAAACACCAUAUUGAGUUAUCUGAAUUGUUUGUUGGGGAUAACUAGAAUUUUAGAAAAUCAUGAACAAUUGAAUUUUUGGAGAUAUUGUCAAUUUAGAAUGGGGAUAGUUAUCCUCAAAUAUUUUUGUUUGGGGAUUCCAAAUACACGGAAUGGAGAGAAAAUAGUAUUUAAAUCAUUGUGAAUAGAUUGAUAAACGUUACAAGAUUCUUUUAAAUGAUAUAGUCAUUUAAUAGGAUAAAUUUAUAAAAUUAUAUUUAGACAGUAUUGUUAAUUACAUUGUGGAAUUGGAGUAUUUAUUUUUGGUUAGUUGUAAGUUAUAAAAUUUGAAUUACAUUGUGCAUCUUCUUUUGAUAGAAUAUUAGACACUAUGAAGACAAGUUUUAAAGAGAGGCUAUCAACUAUGGUUGGUUAAUUAAAGGAGACUGAGAUAAUUAUUUGUUUUUCAUGGAAUUGACAUAUAAAAACUAGAGACAAGUGAGGAUAAUUGAGGUUAUAUAUAUUAUUGAAAUAUUUCAAGGACGUAUGACGAAAUGGGAGAAAGAAUGCUAUUCGAUCUUAUUAUGUAACUACUGUUAUGGAAAAAGAAUUUGAUUAGAGGAUAGUUUAAAUUUGACGUAAGAUAAAGAUUUUGAGAAUAUGAAAAGUAGUAUCUUGAACUUCAAAUUGGAAAAUAAUUGAGUCCACCUAAUGGUUGGGAAAAGGAAAAGAUGAGAAUAUCAUAUAUUAGCUCUUAGGAAGUUAUUAAAGGUACGAUAGGAAAGAUUAAAUUUUGGGACUACAAGUUUGUUGGAGUAAUCGUUCAAUAGAUGAGACAUUAUGGCAAGUGAGGAUGAAAUGUGUUCUCUAUAUAUAAUACACGUGCGAAUCUUAGUUAAUAGAAUUUCAAGGACAAAAUUUUUUUAAAGGGGUGAGUUUUGUAAUGUCUUAAUUUAAAAUAAGUCAAAAAAAAAGUUCAAAGACGUCAAGCCAAAAGAAAAAAAAAACAAUAAAAUAAUGAUAAAAUAAUUAGGUGGUGGAUUGAUUGUUGUAUAUCAAUCCAUUUGAAGCCAAAUCCAUUUAAAAAACACACCACACACAUUGGAAAGAAACGAGGCAGAGAGAAGAGGAAGAGAAAGGAAAAAAAAGGAAAAGAGGAAGAAAAAAAUAGGAAAGUUCGCCUAUGUUGUUAGAAAAUAAGUGGUCUACAUUAUUAGACUUGAAUUCCUCAAUUUUGAAAGGUAAGUAAAAAGUUACUUACUGUCAAAGUUACGUUUGAUUUUAUAAUUGUUAGAUUGUUAGAUUAAAUUCAAUUUUAUUGAAAGGGUUAAGUAUAAUAAACUAUGAAAUUGAGUAAGAUGAAAGAAAAACUAAUUUUAGUGAUUAAAGACACUUUAGAAAUCAUGUAAACUUGAAAUGAUUAAGUUUAGGUAUCGCCUAUUUAAUUAUUGAAAUUACUUAAAAUAAUUAAUUAUUGAUUUAAAAAUUAUAUCAUAUUUCAGGCGGCGAUACGAACAUCGAGACAACUUACCAACUAAGUUAAUUUUUGCGAAAAUAGUUUUGUGAGUGGAAAAAUAUAAAUAUUUUUAAAGUAUUUAUAAAUUAAGUAUAUUAUCAAAAGGGUAAUUGGCACAAAACGUCCUUACCUUUCAAGUCUAUUAUGGAAAACGUCCCUACCUUUCAUUUUUUGGCAUUUUUGCCCUCAUUUCAACCUUUCUUUGCGCUGGACGUCCUUCCGUCCAUAUUCCGUUAGUUUUUCCGUUAAUUAAAAGGUAAUUGGCACAAAACGUCCCUACCUUUCAAGUCUAUUGUGGAAAACGUCCCUACCUUUCAUUUUUUGGCAUUUUUGCUCUCAUUUCAACCUUUCUUUGCGCUGGACGUCCUUCCGUCCAUAUUCCGUCAGUUUUUUCGUUAAUUAAAUACAAAAAUACCUUUUUCUUUCCAUAAACAAGGAUAAAAUUGUCCUCACCCACUUCACCCCUUUUUCCCGCCAUCAACUUGUCCAUAAGUAACAGUAGCAGCGACAUGAAUCUGAAAAUACUUUAAAUGAUUAAGUUAAAUAAAGAAAAAAUAUCGUGAACACAUUAUAUUUCACAAUUCCACAACUACUAUUGCUGUCAUCUGGUGUCACUGGAAAAUUUUAGAAAGACAUAUUAAAUGAGUAGUUAAUUUAUAAUGAGCCAAAAUGGUGAAUGGCUCUUUUUGGCUCAAUGGAGAAGAUGAAUGGGUUACUUAUGGACUAAGUUGAUGGCGGGAAAAAAGGGUGAAGUGGGUGAGGACAAUUUUACCCUUGUUUAUGGAAAGAAAAAGGUAUUUUUGUAUUUAAUUAACGGAAAAACUGAUGGAAUAUGGACGGAAGGACGUCCAGCGCAAAGAAAGGUUAAAAUGAGGGCAAAAAUGCCAAAAAAUGAAAAGUAGGGACGUUUUCCACAAUAGACUUGAAAGGUAGGGACGUUUUGUGCCAAUUACCCGAAUGUUUAACAGAAAAACUGACGGAAUAUGGACGGAAGGACGUCCAGCGCAAAGAAAGGUUGAAAUGAGGGCAAAAAUGCCAAAAAAUGAAAGGUAGGGACGUUUUCCACAAUAGACUUGAAAGGUAGGGACGUUUUGUGCCAAUUACCCAUUAUCAAAAUAUAUGCAAUUAUGUGAAUUAUUUGCUUCAUUAUGUGAAUACGAUGAAAGUUUUUUUUAUUAUGAUACAUGUGGGAUUUCAAAGAUUGUAUACGGUACAUUGUGAAUUGGAAUAUGAGAUGUGAUUUUGAGAUCGACUAGAAAAGUACCCGUGAUUAUAUAUUUCUUCUAGUUCAUUAAAAGGUCUUGGUCGUGUUCUAUACUACACUGAGGGGUCUUGGACUGGGGAUGAAGAGGUCUCGACCGUGUACAUAUAAUUCACUGAGAGGCCUUGGCCGUGUUCUAGAAUUGAUUACCAGAGGUCUAUGAGACCAACUUUCGUUCACGGAGGGACCAAAGGCCCAUGGCGAAGGUUCUUAGCCCGAGGGAUGGAUUACAGAUUUUAAUCAAAGGGUACAUUUUUUGUGGAUUUUUCAGUACAUUUGAUGUGAUGAGAUUAUAGCAUAAUUACCAUCUUAUGUUUAUAUCAUGAUUUUGAGAUGAUAUUUUACGACCAUAUGUGAAUAUUUCACUUUUGGCUAUAAUUAUAUGAUGUUAUCUUGCGAGUUGUCAAUGAUGUGAACUCGAUUUUCGAUAAUAAUGUAAAAAUGAAAAAAGUAUAAUUAUUUUCGAACUUCUCUACUCGCUGAACUAUCAACUUAUAUAUUUUCCCGUAAUUAUUCUACAGGUAGCAAUUGAUUCUUUUUCGCUGGAAGAGUCUAAUGAUUUUGGAAUGAGAGCCACAUGACAUGUUGAACAUUAUAACUCACAUUGAUGAAUCACAAAAUAAAUAUUUUGGGCCCAUUGCAUUAUGUUUUUCAUAAGCAUUUGAUUUUAUUGCAUUUUUUGAAAUAACUCUUAGUUAACCUUGGUAAUAGAUUUGAUAUCUAGUCAGUAUCUAUCAUCAGCGCACGUCACGUUUCGGAUCCACUAGGGUGAUUCGAGACAGCUCGUGUCAGCAUGGGUUGGAUUAUUUUGAACGUAAUGCUAAUGUGUUAAAUAUGUUGGGUUAUAGUGUGUCACUUUCAUCAUUUACAUUGAUAGAUGAUAAAAGAAUCAUUUAUCAUACUCUAUUAACUUAUACAAAUUGCAUUAUAAUUAUAAUUGAUAGUAUGUAAUUAUCUAGCUAUUCAGAAAUCAAAUGUAUAAAUAUCAAACCACGAGCAUUUAUAGUAUGGAAUUCAAUUCUUUCUUCCACGUCGACUUUUUCUCUGGACACAAAGGCUCUAGUUUCAAAUGCUAGCCGAACAUCGAAGCUACAUGACAAAAGUUAAUGAGAUUUGUUUUUUUUUUUUUCAAAAGUAUGAAGGACUCUUUUAAAAUGUUAGUUGGGCUACAAUAUUUGAAAUAGUAGCAUAAAUAUUUGUCAUGUCAUUUGAAAUAGUUACUAAGGUUUGCUAUAUGGCAUUCAAAAUAGUCAUUGCAGCUCAAAAAAUGAAGAAAAAUUAACAGACCAAGUCAAAAUACUUAGCAAACACCAAACGUUAUAUCUCUACUCACGAGAUAUUAAGAAUAAUAACCCACUUUAUAAGAUACUGAUAUGAACACUCCCGAGGCCCUGGCUGCAAAAUAAAAGAAAGUUAGAGCAUCAGCCAGCAUAAUUUCUAAAGUUCUUAGUUCGGCAUAGAUAAGAUUUAACAAUAUCACGCAUUUUUAAACAAUAAUGAAACACGCUGAAUGCAAAUAACAUAGAAAACUAAAAAAACAAUCAAUAACCACCAAAUUUUUUUUGCCCAAAUCGCAUAUCCUAUCCUUUCAAUUAAUCGACUAAUGUAGAUUGUCUUCUCACUUCAUACUGUAGUUUCCUUCUCAAGAUCUCUCCUUCGACCCUCUGAGUUUCAAUAUCUCAGAUUUUGAGAAUCAGUGUGGUAGGGUUUUCUUUGUCAUAGAGAAAUGAAAGCGAGAGAGAGCAAAACCCACUUUUAAGGGACAUUUUGUGAACCGGUUAAUAAAUAGUACAAACCAAACAAGUGUGAAAACUCAAGUGACAAGAAUGAAUGUCGAUCCCAACUCCAUCUUUUAAGAGUUUUUUAUUUUUAUUUUUAAAUUAAAUAUUAAUAAAAAUAUUACACUAUCUAGAAUGUAAAAAGUUCCUUAUAAGUAAAAAAGCACUUCGAGUUAUUUAAAAGUAAUAAAAGAUUUAUAAUUGUAAAAGCUACUUGUAUGAAAAAAAUAUUAAUUCCUCAUUCUCUUAUAAUUGCAAAAGCUACUUAUAAGUAAAAAUAUAUUAACUUAACAUUUUUUAAAGUAUAAAUAUUUAGAUAUAUUUAAUUUAUUAAAUUAAACAUUAAUAAACAGAUUACACUAACUAGAAUGUAAAAAGUUACAUAUAAGUUUAAAAAAAAUCACUUCAAGUUAUUUAAAAGUAAUAAAAAAUUAUAAUUGUAAAAGCUACUUGCAAAUAAAAAAAAAUAUUAAUUUCAACAUUUUUAAGUACAAAUUUAGAUAUAUUUAAUUUUUUAAAUUAAAUAUUAAUAAAAAUUUACUAUAAGUAAAAUUUUAAAAAGAAAAAAAAAACAUCGUGCAUGGAGUGAAACUCACUCCGUGCACGAAGUGUUAACACUCCGUGUAUGGAGCCAGCACAGAAUGUUGUAUGGAGUGGCUCCACGCACGGAGUGUUGAAUGGAGUGUUAAAAUGUUUGUUUGUUUAUUUGUUUUUUAAAGUAAUUUUUUUAGUAAUAUUUAAUUUAAAAAAUAAAUAUAUCUAAAUAUUUACUUAAAAAUAUUGAAGUUAAUUUUAUUUUAUCUAUAUAAGUAACUUUUACAAUUAUAAAUUUUUCAAUUACUUUUAAAUAAUUUGAAGUGACUUUUUUACUUAUAAGUAACAUUUUACAUUCUAGAUAGUGUAAUCUUUUUGUUAAUAUUUAAUUUAAAAAACUAAAUAUAUCUAAUACUCAUACUUAAAAAAUUUUAAGUUAAUAUAUUUUUUUAUUUAUACGCUGCUUUGCAAUUAUAAGAGAAGGAGGGAUUGGUAUUUUUUUACCUGUAAAUAAAUUUUAUAAUUAUAAUUUUUUUAUUACUUUUAAAUAACAUGAAGUGCUUUUUUUACUUAUAAGUAACUUUUUACAUUUUAGAUAGUGCAAUCUUUUUAUUAAUAUUUAAUUUAANNNNNNNNNNNNNNNNNNNNNNNNNNNNNNNNNNNNNNNNNNNNNNNNNNNNNNNNNNNNNNNNNNNNNNNNNNNNNNNNNNNNNNNNNNNNNNNNNNNNNNNNNNNNNNNNNNNNNNNNNNNNNNNNNNNNNNNNNNNNNNNNNNNNNNNNNNNNNNNNNNNNNNNNNNNNNNNNNNNNNNNNNNNNNNNNNNNNNNNNNNNNNNNNNNNNNNNNNNNNNNNNNNNNNNNNNNNNNNNNNNNNNNNNNNNNNNNNNNNNNNNNNNNNNNNNNNNNNNNNNNNNNNNNNNNNNNNNNNNNNNNNNNNNNNNNNNNNNNNNNNNNNNNNNNNNNNNNNNNNNNNNNNNNNNNNNNNNNNNNNNNNNNNNNNNNNNNNNNNNNNNNNNNNNNNNNNNNNNNNNNNNNNNNNNNNNNNNNNNNNNNNNNNNNNNNNNNNNNNNNNNNNNNNNNNNNNNNNNNNNNNNNNNNNNNNNNNNNNNNNNNNNNNNNNNNNNNNNNNNNNNNNNNNNNNNNNNNNNNNNNNNNNNNNNNNNNNNNNNNNNNNNNNNNNNNNNNNNNNNNNNNNNNNNNNNNNNNNNNNNNNNNNNNNNNNNNNNNNNNNNNNNNNNNNNNNNNNNNNNNNNNNNNNNNNNNNNNNNNNNNNNNNNNNNNNNNNNNNNNNNNNNNNNNNNNNNNNNNNNNNNNNNNNNNNNNNNNNNNNNNNNNNNNNNNNNNNNNNNNNNNNNNNNNNNNNNNNNNNNNNNNNNNNNNNNNNNNNNNNNNNNNNNNNNNNNNNNNNNNNNNNNNNNNNNNNNNNNNNNNNNNNNNNNNNNNNNNNNNNNNNNNNNNNNNNNNNNNNNNNNNNNNNNNNNNNNNNNNNNNNNNNNNNNNNNNNNNNNNNNNNNNNNNNNNNNNNNNNNNNNNNNNNNNNNNNNNNNNNNNNNNNNNNNNNNNNNNNNNNNNNNNNNNNNNNNNNNNNNNNNNNNNNNNNNNNNNNNNNNNNNNNNNNNNNNNNNNNNNNNNNNNNNNNNNNNNNNNNNNNNNNNNNNNNNNNNNNNNNNNNNNNNNNNNNNNNNNNNNNNNNNNNNNNNNNNNNNNNNNNNNNNNNNNNNNNNNNNNNNNNNNNNNNNNNNNNNNNNNNNNNNNNNNNNNNNNNNNNNNNNNNNNNNNNNNNNNNNNNNNNNNNNNNNNNNNNNNNNNNNNNNNNNNNNNNNNNNNNNNNNNNNNNNNNNNNNNNNNNNNNNNNNNNNNNNNNNNNNNNNNNNNNNNNNNNNNNNNNNNNNNNNNNNNNNNNNNNNNNNNNNNNNNNNNNNNNNNNNNNNNNNNNNNNNNNNNNNNNNNNNNNNNNNNNNNNNNNNNNNNNNNNNNNNNNNNNNNNNNNNNNNNNAUUGUACGGUAGUCGAAUCAAUAAAUCUUCUAUAUUCUCUCGAAACUCAUUUCGAGAACUAUAUUAUAGACACAUCGAAUGAUCUAAAUGAAUAUCGAAAAUAAUUAAACAUGUAUCAAACAUGUGUGUUAAAAAAUACGUAUAAUUCGUCUUUUUCUUAAAAAAAUCAAUUAUUUUAUUAAUAUUUAUUAUUUUUUCUCCACAAUUUUCUCAAAAAAUUACUUCAAUUAAUUUAAAAGUAAAAAAACUUAUAAUUAUAAAACUUAUUUAUAAGUAAAAAAUAUUAAAUUAAAUUUUUAAGUAAAUAUGUAGAUAUAUUUAAUUUUUAAAAUAUAUUUUACACUAACACAUUUAUCUUAAUGAAAUUUGAUAAAAAUAAAAUAAAUAUAAAAAAGAUCUAUCUUUCCAAAACAUUGUUUCAUGCACAGAGAACAGAAAACCUCACAUUCUCAUUUUUUAAGAUAAAGAGGGAUUUUUUAAAAUUAAAUAUUUAUUAAUAAAAAAUUACUAUAAAUAAAUUUUUUUAAAAAUUAUCACCACUCCGUGCACGGAGUGGAAUCACUUCAUACACGGAGUGUUAUCACUCUAUAAAGGAGACAAACUCUCCUUUUGAAAGUAGAUAUUCUCUCAGUGGAUGGAGGGAUUCUCUCCGUCCACGGAGAGAUUUUUUUUUAUAAAUUUGAUCUUUUUCAAUUUUAAUUAAUUAAAUAAUAUUUAUGUAUUAUUUAUUUAAUUUUUGUAACUUUCUUUUAUUUUAUUUGUUUAAUAAAAUAAUCUUCAUACAUUCCUUAUGAUAUAAAGACUUUCGUUAAAUUUGAAUUAAAUAAUAUUUAUUUUUUCUUUAAAUCGUUUUAAUUCAAUUUAAAAACUUUAUAAUAAUUUUUUUUAUUUGCAAUUUUUUUAUAUAGUCUUUAUAUUUAAUUUCAUUUCUUUAUUAUAUAAUAUAUGAUAUUGCUUUAAUCAAGUAAAGUGGAGUGUAAAAAUAGAGAAAUAUUGUAGUGGAGGUGACAUCACAGUGAAACGACUGUGAAAAUGGUAAAACGGCGUGAAAAUAAUGCUACAGCACCAUUGAAUAGAAUAAUUUACUAUUGUCAAACCGAUUUUAAAUUAGUUUCGUGGAAAAACCUAUGUGACAAAAAUGAACAAUAAACUUCACAUUCUCUCUUUUAAGAUAAAGAGGGAAUUAACAAAUAAAUUGGGUAAGAGAAACUAGGUGUUAAUGGACUCCUAAAUUUUCUUCUUUUUUUUUCUUUUUUCAAGUAUACAUUUUCUAAAAAAAUACGUAUUGUGAAAUUUAUUCUUAGAAAAAUAUACAUAAAAUAAAUCAUUUUAAAAAGUUGAAGUUAAUGAAAAAAAAAUACAGAGGUGUUAGAUAGAAUCUCGUAAUCUUUGACCUACUCUAGAAUUACAAUAAUGUUUAUUGGAUUAUGUGUAUCUAUUGAUUAUCCAAGUUUAUCACUUUUUAAGAUAAUACAGUGCGGUAUUUUUGCUAUAUCUAAUAUACCUUCUAUAGAUGAAUUAACUAACAAAUUCAGCGAGAGAAAUUGUGUGUUAAUGGACUCCUAACAUUUCUUCUUCUUUAAAAAAAAUUGUACAUUCUAUAAAAAAUUACGUUUUAUGAAAUUUAUUCUAAAAUAUUUAGUGAAUUACAUGUAUCUAUUGACCAAUGACGUGGAUCAUUUUUCGAGGACUGUGCGACACUCGUGUUAUGUUUAAAUUAUCUUUUAUAGAUGAAUUAACAAACAAACUUAGCAAGAGAAAUUGUGCAUUUUUUUGUAUAGACAUGAGAAUCAAGCCGGACUAUUCUCUUAUGUACUAUUUGUUUCAGGAGGGCAUCUAACCCCCUUACUCCUCAUGACUUUUUGUCGAGUUUUCCAGGACUCAAACCCUUGACUUUUCUCUUAAGAAUGACUUAAGUUGAAUUCUAGUACCAAUUGAGUCGAUAAGAUGGGCUUUGGCCCUUUUAAAAGGACAGUAUGUAUGAUAUAACAGUUUAAGCACAAAGGUCAGAUCUUUACAUAUACAUAUGAAAUUUAUUCUAAAAAAAUUUAUAUCACACAAACCAAUUGUAAAUAGUAGAAUAAAAAAUAUAUAUACAGAUGUUUUAAAUAGAGUCUCGCAAUUUUUUACCCACUCCAGAAUUAUGAAAAUAUUUAGUGGAUACAUGCACUUAUUGAUCAAUCUUUUUAAGGGAGUACCGUGUGGUAUCUAUGUUAUGUCUAAUUUAUUUUUUAUAGAUGAAUUAAUAAACAACCUUCGUGAUAGAAAUUGUGUGUUAAUUAAGAUAUUAUAAUAAGAAAUUGUGUUUUAGUUUAUACAUUGGUUCUUUAUAAAAUUAAAGAAACAUUAUGUGGAGUUCGUUUUUCCUAAAUUGAAGUAUUGUUUCAUUAUAAAGGUUCUUUCUCGUUUUCAGUUGUACAAAUUCUUUAGGAUUAUCUUCACAGAAAGGUAGUAAAACGAGUGGACCUAACCCCAAGGAUUCUACUUUAUGAGGUUUGACAAAAUGUCCCAACCAUAUUUCAAUUUUUAAUAUGAUGUAUAAAGACUGUCAUCACAAAAAAGUAUUACAUCUUUGAUCUUAAUAUUGAAGUCUAUACUCAAUGUUAAAUAGUGGUCUACAUAGACAAGCUUCUGAUCGAGUUCAUAUUUUUUAUCCAAAAACCAUACAACUGCAUCGAUUUUUUGCCACUCUCGGAUCAGUGAAUCCAUCAGGAAGGAUUAAACCCAAAUCCUACUAACCAUUCCGAUCAAAACAAAACAUAGAAGAAAUUCACCAAAAAAUAAAACUUAAAAUGUCAGAGUACAAGUUAAGGACACAACGACACAAGAUAUGGUUACAAUGCUGCCUCCGUUUGAACUCAAGACGGAGAUGAUAGAGCCUUGUCUUUAAUACACGAAGGUUUUUUUGCGUUAUAGAAAAAAUGUGCAAUCAUCUGAACCAAAUCAUCUGCUGUUCUUGUUUCUGCAUAUUGUGAAGAACUUGUUAGUAAUGGAGCUAACAAAUGAGAGUAUAUAUUAUAUAACAAUUGAAGAGUUUAGUCUUCGCCUUUCUCCCUAUACAAUAUCCUGUUUCCACGUAAGAACAAAAUUUGUGGGCAUUCUUUAACUUUAAGAGCGUAGGCCAAAUCUCUCUCGAUGUUUAUAUCUAUCUUGACAGUCUAGUAAUGGAAAUUAAAGACAUAGGAUUAUAAUAAACAGAUUACGGAUAGGAAUAGAGGAAAAAAGGUGUCAAAAGAGGAGAUUCAUAUACCCGAGGAGGUAGUCGAUCCUUGGCUUCCCAGUACACCUUUGCUGCUUUUUCUAGUUCUUUCAAAACUUUCCAGUUAUCGCUUGCCCUGAAAUCAGUGACAGAUUUGGAUUACAUCUAGGCAAGUAUAGAUUAAAUGCACUACAUCAUGUUUUACAGAUUCCUUCUUUUCAAGAACUUUUACAGACCUGUUGUAUCUUUCGAAAACGAGAACAAUUAGUGGACUAGGAUGGAAAGCAAAGCUCUCCCACUCAAGACAAUUGAUCUCCUUCACUAAACCAUCAUCGAUCUCUCCCUCCCAGUCAAUUUCAGUACCAUCUUCGCCUACGACAUUUUUUAUAGGAUGUUGCUCGAAAUACUCUGAUGCUCUGAUCCCCCACCCAACGUCAGCAUCCAGAGGCCAAUUGGGAUUCUCCUCCUCUACCAUCAUCUCAUUUCCUCUUGAAUCAUCACCUUUCUCUUCAUCCCUGUCAUCAUCAUCUUCAUCACUGUUGCUAUUGGAAUCAACACCAUCAUCAACUUUAUCUUUCAUUACUUUAUCUUUCAGAAUAUCCGAAUUCUGCUGCCGGAUUGAUUCGAAAGUCCGUUCAAGCGAAUCACGCACAAAAUCCUCAACUGCAGCUGCUUCACUCCGACGACCACGCUUGGGCUUCUUAGAGAUCACUGUAGGGAACUUCCUUCCAGAAUUUUUAUCCUCCUCUCGAGGAACUUCAGUUUUCUCCUGCCGAGCUCUUCCUUUUGGCUUCAAACUAGGACUCUGACUACGAUUCUUGUCGGGUUUUGCAUCAGAAUUCUUUGAACUGGAAAUGCAUACAAAUCGUUUUCCAGUGUAUUUGGAUUUCACAGUCGAUGGAAACAAGAGGAAAUUCGAAUGGCAACAAGAAUUUGUUGUUUCAUGGAGAGACAAUACUGACAAAGAAUGAACACCAGAAUUAUUAUGUAACGCCGAAAGGAACAUCUUUUUAUUCCUCACUUGGAACAAUUCAACCUGUGAUCUUCCUCAGAACACCAAAACUCUCUGGUCAAAUCUCAUGACAGAAAGACAGAACCUGUUGAAGUCGUCAGUAACUUUCCUUCUUUCUUCCGUCCAAGAGGCUGACAUAAGGACAGGGGAACACGUAAAUCAUUGAAAUUCGGAGCAAUUACAUGGACAACUUUCACUAAACAGACAUUAAGAAUAUAGCUGUAGGAAUUGUACGAAAAUGAAGCAAAAACUACAGGGCCAGACUAAUAUCAUUACGCCAAACAUUUCACUUAAUUAACAACAAGCAAGAAAGGAAAAAACAUCAAUAAUAUGAAAAAAGGAAAUCUAAGACAUCAGUUAAUGGAACCCACUUUAAGUACGUUUUUAAAUUCAAGAUUUACUUGUUAACGUUAACGAGAAAUUAAACAGUUCUUAAUCAGACAAAAAAUCAAACACCUGGCAUGCAACUAACAACGGAAUCAUAAAUGACAAAUCCUAACAUGGGAAAUUCAAGAUAAUCAAACUUCUCUUCGCAUGUAUACGUGGGUGCAUACAUUCCAUUUACACAGAGAUACAUACGGGGCGAGAGAGAGAGAGACACUUUUAGAAGUCAAAGCGCACAAAUAAUUUUUGAGUUUAUAAAACCCUUAAAUCACCAAAAUAGGGGCUUUCUAAAAGUACCUUAAAAGGUUCUAUUUCCACAAAUAUAGAAAGAAAUGGCAUUUUAGGAUCUUUUCUAUAUUAUAUGGAUUUCUUUUCUUUUUUUUCUCAAUUUUUCGUCCCAGAUUUAUGGGGACAAAAUUGUCCAAGUACUCAUCAAUUUACGAAUAUUAUUUUUAAAACUUGAUUUUUUUGAACUCGUACUCUUACUUAGUUAUUUGAAGUCUAACAAGACGAGUGUACAUAAUGAAGGCACGUUUCAUUGACAGAUUAUCGUAACUUCAUAUGUGUUACAAAAUGAAAUUGUAAUUAUUAAAAAAAUUAUUAGUUAAAUAGAAGAAGAAAAAAUCCCAUUAAUUAUCGAUGUUGAUUUGUUUCUAUUUUUAAUUUUUACAAAUACUAGUGCAAUUUAAUUAAAGUACUUCCAAACACCCUGAUAGAAAUGCAAGAUGAAAUUACAGUUCUACCCUUAUUAUUAACAAAAGGAAACACUUUGAGUUAGGAGUCAACUGCCAUUAAAUCAAAUGUCACACUAUUUUACGCCAAAUUUUGAUCCAUUCACAUUAGGGACUUUAGGGACCUGGCUUUAAUGGGCUUUCGGGCCCUCUUCCUCCUACUCUCGCUCUCGCUAUUCUCCUCGUCUUCCUCAUCCUCGAUAUCAGAUUCUUCAAUGUCAAUUUGAGAUGAUGAUGAUUGUGCCAUUUCAUGUUGUUGAUCGAUAUUUUUAGACACGUCUCGACUACCGCUAAUCUGAUUUUUCUCGCCUCUUUUUUUGCCCCAACGCGGUCCAAAACCCGAGUAAUAGUAGAAUUCGUGCGGAUUAGAUGACGAACCCACCUUCCUGGCCCGGGGACGCCUAUGAGAGUCAGCCGCCACCUUAUCGACUUUCUUGGCCACCGGUGGAGCCCAAUUAUUGUAGUUCCUUACGAGAGAUAAAUGGUGCUUGCAUAAGGAAUUCCCUUCAGCGGCCUCCCUCUUGCAUUUCCAGCCCUUCCCAUCAGUUUUGCAGCAAAAUAUAAUCUCCCUGUCUUUCUUUGGGACCCCUUCCUCCGCAUUGCCGAUGACGGAGCCGCCCACGAUGACACUGUCUGAAUAUUCCAUUUUCAUAGCCUCGAUCUCCCCAUCAUCCAGAGCCAUUUUCAUCGACACGGCACUGUUAAUAAAGAUCCAGUGGACAACAUUACUGUUCAGCUCAAAUUUCGAAAAAUCAAACUACAAAUAGAAAAAUUCACAAAUGCUGAUUUAUUGCAGAACCCUAAAUGCUUCAACAUCAAUAAAGAGCUGGAGAUUUUGUAAAACAGCCCAAAUUAAACAUAGAAUAGAAAGAUUACCUAUCAAAAGUUGCAAUAGAUUCUCCGAAGCUCCCAUUUCUCGCGAAAUCAUCAUUUUCAUUGACCUGCAGAGAAAUUAUUCUCUGUCGAAAAAAUGGAGCCAGCCAAGCUAUAAUAAACCAAAACAGUGAAAACCCACAAAAGAUUUCAAAUUCCCAAGCCCGAAUAAACAACAAAAACUCUUUGAUUCACAUUUUUUAAUCAACCCUAAUGGUGGGUUUUUAGAAAACCCUAGAAGAAAAAAGAAUAACAGCAAAAAUGGAGGGACAUUUGACAAGAAUCAGAAAUGGGUUUAACAGAUCUGUGCAUAGAAACAAAGUCGAGUCAUUAUAGACUAAAUUAAACUAACCUGGAACGACGGAGGAGGCAGUGGUGGCGAAGGAGUUGAUGGUGGCGAAAAACUCAUAACAUCCCAAGGGGACUGAUUCAACUGGCAAACAUGGGUUUGAAGCACGGUUCCAGGUUUCAAUGAAGAUGCUGCAUAUGUCAAUGAACAAAUUUUGGCGUGCUUCCGUAUUCUCAUGGCGGUUCUGUGGUUUUUUGGGGGAGUUUUUUAGUGGGUAGUCGGGGCAGAAACGCAAAAGAGUAGAGAAGCUUUGUUGGGGGUCCGGGGGUGUGUGUUAGGGGGGUAUAUAAAAGGUUGGGGUGCGUGGGGUUGGCAUGGGUGCCGUUUGCCACGAUGAAAGUAGAUCCAAAAAGGCUUUUUCUUUUUCUUAAAUUUUUUUCUUUCUGUAUGUGCACAGUUCAUUAGUUGUUUUCUGUUUGUUUGGUCAAAAGAAAAAAAAUAUAUAUAUGUAAAUAAGAAAUUAUAAAUAGGUGUGUGACAAAGAAUCUUGUACCAUUUUGGCCCACCAUAACCCUACCAUGAAAGAAAAUAUUUACUAGAAUACAUAAAUUCGUAGACGUUCGAAAACUAUUCAUCUAUGGUGUCGAUAACUUUCAAUACGUUAGGGGAGAUAUCGGUGUUAUAUCUAACUUACUUUGAUAAUCGCGGGUGUGGAUUCGAUUUUUGCUAGACAUUCAAAAGAAACUUUAUUUGAAUUCGAUCUUCAAUAAUUGAAUGGAUACUUUUUAUAACCAAUCAAGACAAAUGACACUACAAAAGAGAAAACACCUUUUUUUGUAAUAUUUACUAAUAAAAAUAUUAACAUGAGUAGAAACUAAGAGAUGUACGAAAACAUUAUUAACAACUACUAUCUUAACACACAGUUGUUACCAUGAGAUAAUAAAGAAUAUGUACGUAAAUCGAAAUUAACUUUGCAUUAUGAAUGUCAUCAUCGGCAUGGUUCUGUUUUGUCUAUUCUUCUAAGAAUGUGUACGCAUGAGAGCAAGUUCAGUACACUCUAAAUACGUAGAAUAAUGUCACUCGACCCUCACAGAUGACACCCCCGAUGACUGCGCCCUUACAUGGAAUGCGUGGGUCCCGUGCGAAUAAAAUAAUCCGGACCCCCCAUAUGUUUGUGCGUGCGAUCAUCCACGUGGAUCGUGUAGCACAGUUGUGAGACGUGUAUAUAUCGAUGUUGUAAAAAUAAUAAUAAUAAUGAUAAUGAUGAUAAUAAUAAUAAUAAUAAUAAUAAUAAUAAUAAUAAUAAUAAUAAUAAAAUUUAAUUUACAGAAAAAUACCUACAUAUAGCUAUAAGCCUAUAAGUGACAAAGAAAAAUCUAACGGUAAAAAGGACUUUUCUAACAUGUUUAGUAGGCUCCAAUCUUCGUUGCUAUUUAGCCCAUGUUUGAGCGACAUUCUAGGAAAAAAAUGUAUUAUUCACGUCAAAUUAAUGAAAAAUAUAUUGUUAAAAAAUAAGAAAUUUUUUUUAGAUUUACAUGUAAUAUUAUUUUAUUGAAGAAUGUGUUGUUGAAAUGAUAUCAAAUCACUGUUGAAAAACAUAUUUUUUUGAAAAUAAUGUGGCUCAAAUAAGGUAGAAUACCUUAUUGGCGGUUGUUGCAUUAAAGUUCAAAUGUCAUUAUAAAUAACUUGUAGUUUCUGCAGAGAAAAUUGAUCAAACGGGCCCUCAAAAUUCUUAAACGAGAUGUCAUGAUAUAAGAAUUUAGGUAAAUUACUAUUUCAUCGCUUACCUUUUAGCAAAGGAGCGAAUUUGCUUUAGAACUUCUAUUUUUUUUUUUUUUUUUUUCCUGUUUUUUUUCCUUAACCUUUUUAAAAAUUUGUAAUUUUUUCCCUACAGGUGUAUCCAUCCAAAAAUCUAUCAAAUUUGUGUAACAUGAAGAUCACACUUUAACAUAAAUAAAUAAAUAAAUAAAUAAAGAAAAAAAAACUUAACAAAAAGAAUUUAAUAAAAAUAAACACGAAAAAAUAAAAAGGAAACGAAAGAGAGAGAAAAAAAAAUUUCUUUCUUCUCUCCUUAAGGGCGUUAAUAGAGUGAGUCAAGCUGUUAAACUGAUCCAUGGGACGAGCCGAGCACCAGUGGUGGGGGGCAAGUGGCUUGCCUAUUUUAUUCUACUAAAAUUGUAUAUUUCAUUCACUAUGUCAAAUGGGCUGUGACCUAACUCGUACAACUCACUCCAUCUAACAUCCAUACUCCAAGCACCUUAACCUAACCUCAAGGUUGUACCAUCUAACUAUGGGAAAACUCUCUCAAUUUAUGCAAGUGGUGGAAAAAUCAAGGAAAAAGCCAAUGGAAUUUGCUUCUGUUUUAUCGCCAUUGUCAGUAGCGGCUAUAACUAAGGGAAAGACCCAGUCGUAUACACAUGCCAUCGACCGUUGGAAAUGGUUUAUUAUUAGUGAAGUUGGUUAAUUUUGAGCCCCAAAUUUAGUGGGACUCGUAUUUCAAUUUUAACGGAACCAAGCAUAUUCAAGUUCUGCUCUGUGAGAUGAUUAACGUGAUAUAUUUAUUUAAUGAAAAUCAUUUAGAAUUUAAUGAUAUAUUUGAUGUUAAAGUAACUCACUUAAAACUAUAUACUAGUAAAAAUUUUGAUUUAUUAAAAAUUGCUAAACAUUUAUCUCCCAUAAGAAAGUUAAGAAACUUUGAUGUGGUUAUAAUGGAAGUUUGAAAAUUAGAUUUGGGCUCCAAAGGGUACCAAUAAUCUUUGAAAGGGAGAGACCUAUAUCCUAUUAGGUUCCGUGCCCAUGUUCUAGUCCGGUUUGACUUGUGUUCGGGUGCAAGGUGCGAGUACGGUUGGAUCCUUGUACUAUAUUAAUAUUUUUGACAAAUUUAUUUAAAUUUUUUGGGCCAUUUUAUAAUUAAUCAAAUUCUUGAGUAGUUAAUGAAAUUAAUUUUGAUUAGCUUAUUUUCGGGUAAUAGUUUGGUUUGGAUUGUCUAUUUACCAACGUAACAGACUUCCGUUAACCGUUUUAACAGAUGCAAUACGGAAUAGUGCUAUCAUUCGAGUUUGAAGGUUGUCUAAACAGUAAUGAUUAUUCUGAAAAUACUUGAAGGAUGUUUGAAUGGCUAAGAAUGAGUCUAUAAAUAGCAUGCACUACUAUUAGAAUAAUUAUAUCAUUUUCAUCGUAAACUUUUUCUACUCUGAAUCUCAUUUUCUCUCUCAUUCUAAUAUUGUUCUCUAAGUGAAAGCACUUCAUUGAAUUCAUUCGAACUCUUGCAGAUUGAUGUGUUGCUUCCGUGGGAGACGAAAUUCGUUAUAUCCUAGAAAACGAUUGUUGCACACUUUUAGUAUAUUUGAAGACACCAAAUUCGUUUUAAGAAAAUAUCGGGAAGUGGAUGGGCUCAAAUUAACAUUCUGAUCAUGUUGAUCAUCUUAUUACAUUGUUUAAAUUACAAUACGAUAAUUUUGACAGUGUAUUAUUUUCAAAUUAUUUGAAAGAGAAUCUUAUACUCCAAGAAUAACAUCAUCGGCAUGGCAAAAACCAUAGGAAAAACCCUCUGUUACAUUGGUAAGGUUUAAGUGGAUGAAAUUUUUUAGGUUUGCCUUUCUAGUUUUUAUUUAUUUAUUUAUUUAUUAUUUUUUUUAUAUCAUGUUUGGAAAUUGUUUAAAAACGAUUUGUUUCAUAAAUAAAUAGAAAUGAGUGAAAAAUAAGUCCAUAAUACUUGUAAUUCUCUAAAAAUGUAUGGAUAAAAAUUAACUUGUAUGUUUAUAAUCAUGGACUUAAUUCCCCUCUUCUUCUUUAUUCCUUUUUCUUUCUUUUUGUUUAUUUAAGUUAAAAGCUAUCAAUUUACAGAAGUGUAAUAGACUUUUGGAGAAAAAUGACUAUAGGGAUGAAAUCUACUAUAUUAGUACAAAACGUCAUUAUCUUUCAAUGUUAUUGUACAAAAUGUUCAUACAUUUCGUUUUUUGAUAUUUUCAUCAUUACCUUCACCUUUUAUUGUGGAAAUCAUUAUUUUCAUCAAAUUUCUCAUGUAAAAUGACAAAUAUACCCCCUAUUUAAAUAAAACAAUAAAAAAAGAUGAAAAAAGUUAAAGAAUAAAUUGCAAACUCCCAAGCUUUUUUAAAAAGUGCAGAUGAGUCUAAAUAAAUUAUUAAAAUGGUAAUUAGCACAAAACGUUCUUACCUUUCAUUCUUAUUGUGCAAAAUAUUCAUACCUUUCUUUUUUGACAUUUUUACCCUUAUUUUUAUAUUUCACUCCAAAAAUCAUUAAUUAUAUACAUUUUCUCAAUUAAAAGCUGUAAAAUAACAAAUAUAUUAUCAUCUUUAAAUAAACAAAAAUAAAGACCAAAUUGAAACUAUAGUUCAAAAAUUAUCAAAAAAAGUACAAAUAUAAUUAUUUGUUUGGAAUUUAUUUAUACUUUUUUGGAAAAUUUGAGAAUAUAGUUGCAAUCUGUUCUUUAUUUUUAUUUAUUUGAAGAGGAUUGUAUAUUUAUCAUUUUACAACGUUUAAUUGAGAAAAUGGAUGAAAAUAAAAUUUUCGUAAUGAAAUAUGAAAUAAUAGUGAAAAUGUCAAAAAAAAGAAAAGUAUAGACGUUUUGCACAAUAAUAUUGAAAAGUAUAAACGUUUUGUGCUAAUUACCCUUUCAAAAAUAUUAUUAUAUAAAAGGUAAAAAAAGAAGUUGAGAGUAGAUCCGCUAAAAUUGGAGACGAAAGGGCAAUAUACCCUGAGAUCCUUAAGAACUACGGACACGAGGUUUCACGGAUAAUCAGGAUACCAAUUUCAAAAUAACAAUAAUAUAAAUAAAUAAAAGAAUUACAAAAUAAGUGCAUAUUUGUCAGAUCUUUACUUAAAAGCAAUAGGUCACAAUGAAUGUAUAACUAAGAAGUAUAUAAAAAUUAUGAAUCAUAUAGAAACUAAUCACUUCAGCAUAAUAUUGUUCACAUUCCAAUGGAUCUUUGAUACUAAUUUUAAUCUAUUUAUAAAUUCUUUCCAAACAAACGAUACAUCUUCAAAACGUCCUUUCACCAAAACUCUCAACUUCAGAUCGAACUCCGUCAAUUUCUCUUCCAAACAUCCCCCACAAUGAUUGUAGUCCAUAACGGCUGCAACAUCACGUUAAUUGCAGCUCAACACCUCAAUUCAACAUUGGCCACGUUAUAUGUAAAUAAACCAACAAAGGUGUCCAACAAAAAGGAGCCAAUCUUGUUUGCAAAGUCAAAAAUGUUACUUUCAAAUAAGUUGUUUAUUAAUAGUAUGUACAAUUAGCAAAAGUUUCUUCUAAAAUUAUAUAAUUAUUAAAUUACAGAAUUGUUUUAUUCUUUUAUAUUUCACUACGUUUUCCAGAAAACAAAUAAAAUAAAAUCAUGACAUAAAUUAAAUCAAGAAGAAAUUUAAGAUUAUAUAUAAAUAAUUUCGAAUGUAACAACAAAACAAAGAACCAUUGACAUGUCUACAAUACCCUAAAUGCAAAAACAGGAACUACAGUUAAACGAGAAUUUAAAAUGCUCCAACGAGUAUGUCGCGCGUGGAAGGGUAGUACCGUAAAAUCAUUGACCAUUUUGUAAGAACCGUACGAGUUGCGUCGGGUUGAAUACACCGGGUAUAUGGGCCCCAUCUGACUUCAACAAAUGGGAUACUUCCAUAUAUCUCUGAUAACUCUCAGCCUCGUUCUCGGCUUUUCUUUGCGGCUCACUUCCCAUUUUCUGACUCGAAGACUGCUUCUGAUUAAAUGUCGCGGCUGACAGAGGAACCACUUCGGCUCGAGCUGGAUCCCAAGGCUGACCAAAUAAGGUACCCUUUGUUAAAAACUCGUUGGCUAGAUACCCAGCCAGAAGGGUAUUAGUAUUGCUGGAAGCCGGCUGAUCUAACGGCUUUGUUGCUGCUGGUCUGUGAAGGCUCGGCUUGGCCAAUGUUUUAGUCGUCACUGUUGACGGUUUCUUCAGGACGUUAGGAGCAUCAUCUCUCCCUUUUCGCUUAUUUGACGGAAAAAAUUGACGGCGUGAGUUGUUCAUCAUCGUCGUACACGUGUCUUCCCUAACACGUACUCACAAUUGCAUAUCGCACAAACUCUCUCCCCACUAAAAUUAAACACAAAAACAAAUCAUUUUCUAAACAUGUGAAAACGACAUCGUUGCACAGUAAAACAUAAAGAAAAUUCGAAUAAAACAGAAAAUUGCUCAUAAUAAACGGGAAAAAAAAAUACAGAUUUAGAUACAGAUCAGAAAUUUAAACAAAAUCUGGUUCUACAGUGUGAAUUUCACACAAAGAAACACGCAAAAAUCACACACAGACACAUAGUAUAUUUGAAGACACCAAAUUCGUUUUAAGAAAAUAUCGGGAAGUGGAUGGGCUCAAAUUAACAUUCUGAUCAUGUUGAUCAUCUUAUUACAUUGUUUAAAUUACAAUACGAUAAUUUUGACAGUGUAUUAUUUUCAAAUUAUUUGAAAGAGAAUCUUAUACUCCAAGAAUAACAUCAUCGGCAUGGCAAAAACCAUAGGAAAAACCCUCUGUUACAUUGGUAAGGUUUAAGUGGAUGAAAUUUUUUAGGUUUGCCUUUCUAGUUUUUAUUUAUUUAUUUAUUUAUUAUUAUUUUUAUAUCAUGUUUGGAAAUUGUUUAAAAAUUAAUUGCUCUUCUUAACCCCACAAAUUAUCCAUUUUUAAUUAUAUAUUAGUAAGAGUUGAAUUUACAUUGCACCUUAUUUUGAAAUAUUUUAUAGGCUCUUGUUUGAUCGUUAUUAUUUUUAAAAUAUAUUUUUUAUAAUUUCUUUUUGAUUACACAUUUUUCAAUAAAAUAAUAUUACUUUUUUCUUAUUUUUCAAUCACACAAUCUCUUAAGGCUGGGCAAAAUUUUCGAAUCGAACCAAACCCGACUCAAACCGAGCAAUUCUUCUUAAGUUAAAUACUCGAACGAGUAUCUAAAUCGAAACCAACGAGUUCAAUUCAAUUCUCAUUUCUAAAUCAAGAAUCAAAUAAUCGAAUAAGAAUCUAAUUUCCUUAAUUUUUUAUUAAUUUAUUUUAAAUAAAUCAAAUUAUUUUAUUUUUUUAAAAUAAAUUUGCUAACUAGUUAAUUUAACUCAAACCCAAAAAUAUAAUUUUCCUAUUUCUAAUUUUUAGUACAAAUCAACUUAAUCAAAUUGACCUAACCGUAGUGUCGUUUCUACCGUUCUGAAGAAAUUGAAAUGAAGCUUGACAACGCCUCUAUUAAUUAUUGUGAGAUCACUAUCUUUCUCUUCCAGUAAUUUUAACAAUCAAAUUUAUGAAGAACUCGGCAAAGAGAGACGCAAAAGACACGAAAGAUUGGACUACGUUAUUUUAUAAGAGUUAAGAUUGAACAUUUCAUUAAUUGAAUUAAUGUAACUUUGUAAAUAUUAAAAAAUUUAAUUAUAAUACGGAACCUGAGAACUUAAUAGAACCGAAUCGAACCAAACCGAAAUGAAUUGAAUAGAAUCGAAUCCCAACGGUUCCAUAAUUAAAUUUGGACCUGACGAUUCUACUUACUAAGUAUCCAAAAGUUUCGAGUCUGGUUCGAGAAUUGUUUUAUUCUUUUAUAUUUCACUACGUUUUUCAGAAAACAAAUAAAAUAAAAUCAUGACAUAAAUUAAAUCAAGCAGAAAUUUAAGAUUGUAUACAAAUAAUUUCGAAUGUAACAACCAAACAAAGAACCAUUGACAUAUCUACAAUACCCUAAAAUGCAAAAACUACAGUUAAAUGAGAAUUUAAAAUGCUCCAAUGAGUAUGUCACGCGUGGAAGGGUAGUACCGUAAAAUCAUUGACCAUUUUGUAAGAACCGUACGAGUUGGGUCGGGUUGAAUACACCUGGUAUAUGGGCCCUAUCUGACUUCAACAAAUGGGAUACUUCCAUAUAUCUCUGAUAACUCUCAGCCUCGUUCUCGGCUUUUCUUUGCGGCUCACUUCCCAUUUUCUGACUCGAAGACUGCUUCUGAUUAAAUGUCGCGGCUGACAGAGGAACCACUUCGGCUCGAGCUGGAUCCCAAGGCUGACCAAAUAAGGUACCCUUUGUUAAAAACUCGUUGGCUAGAUACCCAGCCAGAAGGGUAUUAGUAUUGCUGGAAGCCGGCUGAUCUAACGGCUUUGUUGCUGCUGGUCUGUGAAGGCUCGGCUUGGCCAAUGUUUUAGUCGUCACUGUUGACGGUUUCUUCAGGACGUUAGGAGCAUCAUCUCUCCCUUUUCGCUUAUUUGACGGAAAAAAUUGACGGCGUGAGUUGUUCAUCAUCGUCGUACACGUGUCUUCCCUAACACGUACUCACAAUUGCAUAUCGCACAAACUCUCUCCCCACUAAAAUUAAACACAAAAACAAAUCAUUUUCUAAACAUGUGAAAACGACAUCGUUGCACAGUAAAACAUAAAGAAAAUUCGAAUAAAACAGAAAAUUGCUCAUAAUAAACGGGAAAAAAAAAUACAGAUUUAGAUACAGAUCAGAAAUUUAAACAAAAUCUGGUUCUACAGUGUGAAUUUCACACAAAGAAACACGCAAAAAUCACACACAGACACACACGAAAGCGAGAGAGAGAGAGAGAGAGAAGGGGUACAGGGGUUUCGAAAUGGGAUGAAAUGGGAAAUUUAUAGAAAGAAGGAUGAUUAAUUGCCCCUGAAGUAAGCAAAAAUUACGGGGCAAGGAAAAGCGGUUGUUAAAAGGAUAAAAGUCAACCGGUCUUAAAUGUCGAUUUAAUUGCUCUUCUUAACCCCACAAAUUAUCCAUUUUAGAGAGAGAGAGAGAGAGAAGGGGUACAGGGGUUUCGAAAUGGGAUGAAAUGGGAAAUUUAUAGAAAGAAGGAUGAUUAAUUGCCCCUGAAGUAAGCAAAAAUUACGGGGCAAGGAAAAGCGGUUGUUAAAAGGAUAAAAGUCAACCGGUCUUAAAUGUCGAUUUAAUUGCUCUUCUUAACCCCACAAAUUAUCCAUUUUUAAUUAUAUAUUAGUAAGAGUUGAAUUUACAUUGCACCUUAUUUUGAAAUAUUUUAUAGGCUCUUGUUUGAUCGUUAUUAUUUUUAAAAUAUAUUUUUUAUAAUUUCUUUUUGAUUACACAUUUUUCAAUAAAAUAAUAUUACUUUUUUCUUAUUUUUCAAUCACACAAUCUCUUAAGGCUGGGCAAAAUUUUCGAAUCGAACCAAACCCGACUCAAACCGAGCAAUUCUUCUUAAGUUAAAUACUCGAACGAGUAUCUAAAUCGAAACCAACGAGUUCAAUUCAAUUCUCAUUUCUAAAUCAAGAAUCAAAUAAUCGAAUAAGAAUCUAAUUUCCUUAAUUUUUUAUUAAUUUAUUUUAAAUAAAUCAAAUUAUUUUAUUUUUUUAAAAUAAAUUUGCUAACUAGUUAAUUUAACUCAAACCCAAAAAUAUAAUUUUCCUAUUUCUAAUUUUUAGUACAAAUCAACUUAAUCAAAUUGACCUAACCGUAGUGUCGUUUCUACCGUUCUGAAGAAAUUGAAAUGAAGCUUGACAACGCCUCUAUUAAUUAUUGUGAGAUCACUAUCUUUCUCUUCCAGUAAUUUUAACAAUCAAAUUUAUGAAGAACUCGGCAAAGAGAGACGCAAAAGACACGAAAGAUUGGACUACGUUAUUUUAUAAGAGUUAAGAUUGAACAUUUCAUUAAUUGAAUUAAUGUAACUUUGUAAAUAUUAAAAAAUUUAAUUAUAAUACGGAACCUGAGAACUUAAUAGAACCGAAUCGAACCAAACCGAAAUGAAUUGAAUAGAAUCGAAUCCCAACGGUUCCAUAAUUAAAUUUGGACCUGACGAUUCUACUUACUAAGUAUCCAAAAGUUUCGAGUCUGGUUCGAUUCUCGUUAGAAUCAAACCGAAUCAUAUCCAGUCCUACAAUCUCUAUCAAUCUACUAUUCAAAAAUAUUUUCCACAUAUAAAAUGGGGCUCAAAUAGGCUUUAUGUGCUUGUAAAAGUAACAUUUGAUAUGAGGAGCCUUAAUUUUGAUAUGCUACAGCAUUAGAAGAAUAUGGAAGAAAACAAAAUUUAGGAUAAAAAUUUAAGAGAAGAAAGUUGUACUCUCUCAAUUUGAUUCCAAUUUUUUUGUGAUAAUGAAAUACUACAAAUGAGCAACAUUUCUAUACUACAUUUGGUACAUAAGAAUUAAUGGCUAAUACAUGAAUUUAAACAUCCAUUAAAUUCCCUAAAUAUAUGAAUAUAAAUAAAAAUCAUCCAUGAUAACUCUGGAUUUACAUAGAUCAAGAUACAUCAAAUCAAAAGUCAUUGGGUCUAGAUUAAUAUGAAUGCUAAUUAAUUGAAAAUUAAUAAUACGAAAUUCAUACAUGAUGAAGGAUUGUGUUUUAUUUAUUACAAAUUGAAAAACGAAAAAUAAAGUAUUAUUGAAAUAAUUGAAUUGUAGUAGAGUUAAAAUCGUCCAUAAAAAUGAUUUUCAAAUGCAUUACACAUUAUUUUGAAAAUACUUUAUAAAUGCUGUAAAAAGUAAUAUUUGGCAUACUAAGCCUUGAUUUUGAUUUGCUGCACAAUAAACAGAAUAUGGAAAAAAAUAAAAUUUAUGAUAGAAAUUUAAAAAAAGAAAGUUAUACUCUCAAAACUCGGUUUAAUUCAAAUUUUUUAUUUUGAUGAAAUACUACAAAUGAGCAACUUUUUUAGACGAUACUUUGUACAUAAGAAUUAAUUGUUAAUACAUGAAUUUAAAUAUCUAUUUCAGCCGCAUUCUUUUAAAAAAAUACAUUUUCAAAUAGUGAUUUGACAUCAUUUCAAUCACAUAUUUUUCAAUAAAAUAAUAUUACACAUAAAUUCAAAACUUUUCUUUCUAUUUUAACCACAUAUUCUUCAUCAAUCUACUAUUCCAAAAUACAUUCUUCCAAAAUAAUGUGGCUCAAACACACGCUAAUUUUUCUAGAUAUGUGAAUAUAAAUAAAUUCAUCCAUAAUAACUCUAGAUUCAUAUAUAUUAAGAAUUAUUAAGUCAAAAUUCAUUAAGUUUAGAUUCAAGUAAUUAUUAAUUAAUUGAGAAUUAAUAACACGAAAUUUAUACAUGACUAAGAAUCUUAGAAUUCGUUUGAUUACAAAGAUGGAAUUUGGGUGAAAAGAAAACAAAUUUCAAAAAAUUGAAUUGCAUAGAAAUUAUUUUACCGGGAAUUCUCAAUUAUUGUGUUUGAAUAGUAUAAUUUUUUAUGUGAAAAAUGUUGAAAUAAAAGUGUUUUUUUGUGUUUAUUUGAUUUUUUACAUAAAAAUUAUCAAUUAAAUGAAUAAAAUUUACUGGUAUUGGGGAUAUAAUUUGUUUCCAUUGCCAAAAAAAAGUCAAGAAAAUCAUCUAUCUUUUGGUAUUCAUUUGACUUUAUUUUAUAUGAAAAUUAUCAAUCAAAGGAAAAUAUUUUUUUAUAAUUAGAGAUAAAAUUUGUUUUCAUUGCAAAUAAUAAUAAUAAUAAUAAUAAUAAUAAUAAUAAUAAUAAUAAUAAUAAUAAAAUUGACAGCCUACCUAGAAAAACAAUUCCCAUCAUAUAGGUGGGAAUUGGUUUUCCUUGAAAACUAAAAAAAAUCAACACUUUUCAAGAAAAUCAAUUUCAUGGAAAAAAAUAUACUAUCAAAUAAUCAAAAAGUGAAAGUUGAAAUUUGAAUUCUAUUUUCCAUGGAAAAUAAUGGCCAAUCAAACAUGGUCUUAUAGUAUUUAUUACAUAUCGAAAAAAUGAAAAGUAAAAUAUUAUUGAAAUGAUUGAAUUGUAGUAAAAUUAUAAUUAUCAAAAAAUGGUUCUCAUUUGAGGUGAUACUUAAUAUAUUAUAGAUUUAACGAUUAAUUGUUACUUUCUUAGGUACGCAAAUUCGAUUUUUAUAGAAAAAGUUACACUAUAAUUUUCUAAUUUAUAAAACAAUUUGAUUUUCGAUCCCUUUUUCUUAGCAAUAUGAUCUCCAAUUUCUAAUCUGUAGUAUUAUUGGCCCUCCUCAUAAAUUACUUAAACAUUUGAAAAUGCUUAAAUUGAAUAUAUAAUUAGUUAAUAAAUGACUUUUGACCAAUCAGAUGUACAAUGUUAAACAAUAUCAAAAUUGGACUAUUUUUCAAAAUUUUAAAGAUAACAAGUCACUCAGAUUAAUGUUGGGGAAUAAGCUUACCCGUUCCCCCGUGACAAAAGCAAGUAAUCAAUAGUUAAAAUAUCCAUUAAAUUGUGAAUAGAUUUCGAAAAUUUUGACAUCAUAGCUAGGUUUGUCAAAAUAACAAUGCUAGGUAUACAUCAUUUGGUGUACAUCCCGGCUAACAACCAUCUAAUAUGGGGUGGGGCCUGCGAUAUAUUAUUAGAGGACUGUCAAAUUAAGUCAAGCAUUGAUGUGUGAACAGAAAUUGUACGCUCAGAAACACUACAGAACAGACAUAGCACCGAGGGUGGGUAAUUUUUUGACCUUUUUUUUUUUUUUUUUUUUUUUUUUUUAUCACAACUUGGGGUACAGACAAUGUAAAAUUUUUGGUGCAUUUCUGUGAAACAAUUUUUUGUACAAAUGAAAUUGCUGAAAUAAGUCUACACCAAAGGGUGCAUUUUUCUUGUCAAAAUGUGUGAGCUGUCUAGACCAAUUCACUUGUAUGUAAGUUCGGCUAUUGGCACAUGAUGACUUGAACUAAUCUGUUGAUAGACUAAUUUAUCUUCAAAAUCUUAGGGCCUGCUUGCCGCGAAUUUACUAAUAGUGUGGACUAGCCCGGUCUGAGAUGGGCCAAACUUGUUAUUUUUUAAUCUCUAAAUAAGCACUUUACACUUAUAAUACUAAUACUGGUGCAAUAUUUUUUUUAAUAAAUCAAUCCGAUCGGGGCUCGUCCUCAUGAUGCUCUAGUUUGAAAAACUCAACCGACACGACCUGCCAUUAUUGGCAAACUAACUCACGAGCUCACGUGAGAUGAACUCGAUUGAUUGAUUUGUAUGAUUUGUUAUCGAGAUGGGUCGUUUUGAAUUUUGGCCUAGAUAGGUUGCCUAUUUUAACACCACUAGUAUUGACAAACAAACUGCUAGCUAUGUCAUGACAAUUUUUUGGUAUAGUGGUAGGAUUUUUGAAGGGCCCGGCUGGAUAGGAUGAAAAAAUCUCUACUUCUUGUUUUGUUUAAAUAUUUAUUUUUAUUUAUUUUUCAGGUACUAUUUAAAUUUAAAAAUUAAAUAAAAGAAAAAUAAUACCCCGCCCUUGUUCCAUUACGAGGCGACGCUAGCGGGACAUCUGCCAUCCUAACAACUUAAAAAGUUAUGUAUUAAAUCCUUAUUUGAGUCACAUUAUUUUCAUUAGAAUGCAUUUUUGAAUAGUGUGUGGAAAGGCCUGACGGGAUAGGAUGAAAAAACCUCUACUUCUUGUUUUGUUUAAAUAUUUAUUUUUAUUUAUUUUUCAGGUACUAUUUAAAUUUAAAAAUUAAAUAAAAGAAAAAAAAUACCCCGCCCGUGUUCCAUUACGAGGCGACGCUAGCGGGACAUCUGCCAUCCUAACAACUUAAAAAGUUGUGUAUUAAGCUCUUGUUUGAGCCACAUUAUUUUCUUUAGAAUACAUUUUUAAAUAGUGUGUUGAUGGAAAAUUUGUCAAAAAAUAAGGAAUUUUUUUGAAUUUAUGUGUAAUAUUAUUUUAUUUAAAAAUGUGAUUGAAAUAAUGUCAAAUAACUGUUUAACAAUGCAUUUUUUUAAAAGAAUAUAGGUCAAACAAGGUGUAAGUUAUAUCGUAUUUAGUUCAAUAUUAAAAUAUCGAACAUUGUUAAAGGAUUAAAAUAUAUCUUUAUGUGUUGAUUAUUCAUUUCAUCUUUAUUCAAUGUAUAAUUUAUUAUUUAACAUGAUCAUACAAAAUGGUGGCUCAAUUGAAUAAGUCAAUUUUAAAAUAUAUUUGCUCAUUUGACAUUCAGAUCAAACUGUUCAUUUUAUUUAGGAUAAUUCUCCAUGUAUAUUAUGAUAUCCAUAAGGGUAUCCAUAAUGUACACGUGAAAUUCCAUGAUUGAAGGGUUUAAAAACUAUUUUUCAAUCCUCCAAUGAUGUUAUGCCACUUGCAUAUUAUGGACACUCUUAUCGACACCAUAAUGUACAUGUAGUAUAACCCUUUUAUUUAACGGUGGUGCUAUUGGUACGUAGGGGUAUACCUAAGCAUGUAUGCCCCUCUCACAUAGGGUGUGGGAUCCACCCGAAUAACAUUUUAUUCGGAUGGAUUCCACACCCUAUGUGAGAGGGGCGUACACGCUUAGAAACAUCACAUUAUGUAUCACCAAAUUAAUUGUUUAUUUAAUGAGCUCUGAUAGAGUUUUACUUUUAUAUAUUAAUAAUUUAUUUUAACUUUAUUUGAUGAAGGAUUUAUCGCUCAACCAGUCGUGUCACUAUAUCACCCACCUUUUCAUAAUCACAAAAUUAGGGGUGUACUGCAUGACAAAUGUAUCACGAUUAGCUGAUCUUAAUUUUAUGAUCUUAUUAGGGUUUUUUUUUUUUUUUUUUUUUUUUUUUUUUUUUUUUUUUUUUUUUUUUGUCACUAUAUCACCCACCUUUUCAUAAUCACAAAAUUAGGGGUGUACUGCAUGACAAAUGUAUCACGAUUAGCUGAUCUUAAUUUUAUGAUUUUAUUUGCUGUUUUUUUUUUUUUUUUUUUUUUUGGGUUUUUUUUUUUUUUUUUUUUUUUGGGAAUUUUCAUUUUAUUUUAUCAAGGUUUAUUAAGCCCAUGUUUGACGUCCAUUAUUUUGAAAGUGAGUUUUAAAUAGCGAUUUUUUGGAAAAUAUGUAGUUAAAAAAAUAAAAGUAUAGAAAAGUUUUGAAUUUACAUAUCAAAAUAUUUUAUUGCAUAAAUGUGUAGUUGAAAGUGAGCACAAGAAUAAAAAAAAAAUUAUUUUAAAAGGAGAUUAGCAGGGACUAAGUUAUUGAUUUCAUUUUAUUUCUUGCUUUUGUCAUGGGCAAGCUUAUUUCAAACAUCAUUAUUAACGUGGAUUGACUUGUUAGCUUCUAAAAAAUUAAAAAGGAGCCCUCUUGAAGAGGAUAUUGUCUAGGUCUUAAUGGUCACAUUCAUUACAAGUAUAUGGUCCCAACAUUUUUAAUCAAUACAUUUCACGCUUAAUAAAAAUAAAUCGAUAAAUACAAGAAAUAACAUUUGUAGACAGUAUACAAAAUUAAGGUCAACUGAUAGGAUAUGAUUCUACUUGUGAUACAUACAUUGUAUCUUUAUCAAAACACGUAUUAGUGAACAUAACAAGUAUUGCAUGAUUAAGAUAAUUGAUUACAAAUUUCCAAUAUCGAAAAUUGUCUUUUGUAUACCAAUAAUACUAUAAUUUUGAGAUCAUCCCAUCAAAGAAAAUAGAUUGAGAAUCAGACUGAUUUAGAAGUUAGAGAAUAUAAUGCAUUUUUCAAACCAUAGAAUUUAGGUACCUAAACAUUAAUAAUUCAUCUUCCCUUAAAAACAUUGCUUUUCUAUUUUUGUCCAUGACUUGUUCCUUGUCUACACAAGUCUCAAUCAAACGCAAAGCUAUGUUAAAUUGAAUAUGAAGAAAAAAAUUUAAUCAUUUCGUCUAAUAUUAUUCACUUCAACAUGAAGAAUAGCUACUCGUCAGUGUGAAGUAGACAUACUUAGCGGGGUUGUUAUUGCUUGCAGCGGGCUACAAAUGUGUCCCGGUUGAUCAGGCCGGCCCAAAUGUUACUGGUUCUAUGUUGGGUCAAUUCCAAAAAGUGGUUCAAUCAAAUUAUAAUUUGGGUCAAGAGCUUACUUAUUUUUAAUUCUAAUAUGUUGCAACUCUUAGUGGAGAUCUUUCUUUAAAAGUAACCUUGGUUAUAAAAAUAUUUGGUUUAAUCCUGACAAACCAAUUUUUUCUCAUAUUUCCUUUUUCAUUAAUUGUAUUCAAUAUUUCCGAAUCUAAAAAUAUUAAAUGUGCUAUAAAUACAUGAUAUGAAAUAUAUAACUUAAACAAUAUGAGCCACACGGGUUUUUCAUGGGCCUAGCACAACUCGCUUUUACAAUUUUUUAUGUUACAUUUUUGUUAAUUCCUAAGGAAAAAGUUUGAAAGGCGACACAGGGCAUUUUUUGUCAUAUUUAUCAAAAUGUAGCGUAGAGUAUAUUAUUUAUUCCCUACUUUUGAAUAAAGUAGUAGACCUACGUUCAACAUUUUUUUUGUGAAUUUUUGUGCCUGAUCUUUGGAAAAUUAGUAGAUUUCAUCCAUAUAAUGCAAUCUUACCCCCUAACUUGAAUAAAACUUAAAUUUUAUUUUUAUAUGUUCUUUUGUUCUGUUCCUUUAUAUAUUUUUGUUUUUUAUGUUAAAAAAAAAAGCAAGUUUGCCAUUUUAUUUAAGUUUGACAGAUUUUGGGGGGGAAGCGGCUUUACUAAAUUUUCAAAGGUUAAGUGUAUGUCUGUUAUUUUGCUCAAAAGUUUGGAACGAAUAUUGCAAAUUACCCUAAAGUGUACCUCUCAAGAUCUUUAAAGUCGGGCACAUAAUCUAGAAGUUAGCUUACCCCUUUUUUUUUUCCCAAAAUUUUAUCUUUAUGGCCAUAGGAGACUCGAAUCUAGGCGGUAAAACUUUAUUCUUUUUUCGUGCUAAUGAUAGAUUGGUAAAAAUGUGUACACAAUAGGCUAUAUAAAGCAAAUAUAAGAAUUCACUUCAAUCUAAAACAAAUAUAUUUAGGACAUGUUCGGUAGUGAUUAUGAGAACCAAUUUUGUGAUCUUUAGGGGGAAAAGUGAAUCCUACUUGUGAGUAAAGAACUAAAAAAUGACAACAGACUAUUGAAACUAGUGAUCAAAAUAUUGAUUUUUUGGGGUAAAAAAUAAAAAACAAACGAGGGAUUAAUCUCUUAUUAAAAUACUAUCUAAAAAGUUCGUUAAAAUGUCACGUACUAUUAGUCUCCAUGAAGAAAUGGAUCAUACCAACAUGGAUUCGACAGUAUCUUAUGGCCUCAUGCUGGUUCAGUUUGUUAUUAUAUUCUCUUUUUUCCUUCACUGCAGUCACCUAAAUAAUUUAUAUUCUUUAGUUUUAUAAAGAUUCUUUGCGCUUAUCAGGCUUAUAAUGGUCUUUGUUUUGAAUAAUAUCAAAUGUAAUAUUUUAUUAAAUGUAAUAUUUAAUGCACAGUGAUUCCAUUAAUACAGGUUAUGACUGUUAGAGCCAUCUAUAUAAAUAACAUCUGAAGAUUCUCUGAGCAUUUCAAUGAUAUUUAACACUACUUAACAAAUUAUAGUUUGAUAUUCACAAGAUAGUAACUGUAACAUGAACUUCUGCUUAUGAGAACUUCAGAAAGUUCAGAUAUCUGCAUUUCUUGCUAGUUGCUAAUUCCUCUUCAUUUUUUUGUCCUUUUUAUAUUUUAUAAGGAAAGGGAAAGGCACUGGAUAACUAGUGUAUAAACAAUUUAUGACAUUGAUGAAUUGACAAAUUGUGAAUGGUUUUCUGAUUUAUGAUUUCAUCAUCUUUGCAGAAGCUGUUCAAUCAUGCACAGUUAUUCUGGACAUUGUUGAAUCUUCAUUACCAGCAGGCUUGCCUGAAAACUUUGGCGGUGACUGUAAAUUGCAGGAAACUAUAAACGAGGCUGUAGAGCUGCUUCCAGGAUUAUGGAAACUUGCUGAUUGUCCCAGUGAAGCUAUUUUGUCUUACCGUCGGGCCCUUCUACAUCAAUGGAACCUUGAUGCACAAACUACAGCUAAGAUACAAAAAGAGUUUGCCAUUUUUCUUCUGUACAGUGGAGAUGAAGCCAUUCCCCCAAGUCUGCAAUCCCAAAUGGACCGUGCAUUUGUGCCUAGAAACAAUACUGAGGAAGCUAUUCUUCUUUUGAUAAUUCUUUUAAGGAAAUUUACCCUCAAGAAAAUUGAGUGGAAUCCAUCAAUUUUGGAUCACCUUUCAUGUGCGUUAUCUAUAUCAGGUGGGCUGGGCUUUAGCUGAUCAAGUGGAAAAAUUACUGGAGUUUCCAUUUUUUAUCCAUAUCAAAUGUAACUAAAUAUUCGAAACAUCAAGAAAAUGCAUUAAACAAAAGUACAAUAUUACCCUUUCUAGGCAAAGGUACAAAAUUAUUAAAAACCAUACAUUUUUUGUUUUUACACGAGUAUUCCUUCCCAUCACAUUAGAGACAUUAGUGAACUUGCUUUAAUUGGCUUUCGAGCUCUUGUUCUCCAACUUUCGCCAACCUCCUCAUCUUCUACCUCAUACUUAAUCUCAGAUUCUUCAUUGUUGAUUUGAGAGAAUGUGGGGUGUAUCAUUUCACGUUCCUGCUUGACAUUUUUAGGGAUGUCAAGACUGUUCUCGCCUCUCUUCUUGUCCCAUCGUGGUCCAAAACCUGAAUAGUAGUAAAAAUCAUACGGAUUUGAUGUCAAAGUUGCCUUCUUAGCCCAUGGCGUGCGUUGAGAGUCAGCCACCACCUUAUCUUGUCUCUUCUUUGCUGGAAGAGCCAAGUAGUAGUUUCGCUCGAGAUAAGUAGAUCAUUUUUUAAGAGACUACCGUGCGGUUUUCGUGUUGUGUCUAAUUUACCUUCUAUAGAUGAUUUAACAAACAAAUUUGGCAAGAGAAUUGUGUUUUAAUGAACUCCUAACUUUUUUUUUUAAUUAUAAAUUCUCUAAAAAAUUACAUUUUACGAAAUUGAUUCUAAAAGAUACAUAUGAAAUAAAUCCUUUGUAAAAGUAGAAGUUAAUGAAAAAAAUACAUACAAACGUGUUAGAUUGAAUCUUGUAAUCAUUGAUUCACUCUAGAAUUACGAAAAUAUUUAGUGGAUUACGUGUAUCUAUUGAUCAACGACGUGGAUCACUUUUUAAGAGAGUACCGUGCAGAUCCAUGUUAUAUCUAGAUUACCUUCUAUGGAUAAAUUAAGAAACAAAUUUGGCAAGAGAACACCUUCUAUCUAUAAAUGAACAAACAAAAUGGACUCCCAAAUUUUUCAUUUUUAGUUAUACAUUCUAUAAAAAAUUACAUUUUACAAAAUUUAUUCUAAAAAAUUUUCAUCAAACAAAUCUUUUGUAAAAAGUAGAAGUUAAUGAAAAAAAUACAUGCAGAUGUGUUAAACAGAAUCUCAUAAUCUUUGACCUACUAUAUAAUUACAAAAAUAUUUAGUGAAGUACUUGUAUCUAUGUUAUGUUUUAUUUACCUUUUAUAGAUGAAUUUACAAACAAUUUUGACCCGAGAAAUUGUGUGUCAAUGGACUCCUAACUUUUCUUGUUUUUUAAUUAUACAGUCCCUAAAAAAUUACGUUUUACGAAAUUUAUUCUAAAAAUUUUACAUCAAACAAACCCUUGAAGGAUAUAUUGUUGCUGGAGGAGAUCAUGGGACAGGGUUGGGGUGGUGCUGGUUUAGGUUCGGGAUAUGAACAUGGAGUAGGAGGUGGUGGUGACGGAGGAGCAGAAUGUGGUGGUAGUGGGUAUGGUGGAGGUGGCGGUGGAGGAGAUGAAGUGUCGUGUUUUGAACUGAUAGAAAUGGCACUGAGUUGGAAGAAGUUAAUGGGCCAAGUCAUAUUUCCAUCUUUUGCAUCUGCAUUAAAUGAAAUGCUAUCUACUCGAUGAGUAAUGGAUAAUAAUGGAGUGAAGUUCAGUGGCUACAGGGAUGCUUUGAGAAGUUUGGUGAGUAAGCUGUGACACGGUGCAUAGUUCAGUCGGCAUUCAAACAUUUAACUUGUGGCAAAGAAUAUCAAGGUUUAAGACUAUGUUUAAAACUUCUGGAAUUCCACACUUGAUUUCUCCCCAUACAUACCACAACACGUACCUUACACUAAACAUCGCCAUCAUCACAGUGCUGGGACGGGACUUACACUUUUGCAUCGCACUCUCUUCCUAUACAAUAUCACCUCUUAAGAACGAAAUUUGUCAGUGUUCUUAUGCGAAAUCUCUCUCAAUGUUUAUAUCUAUCUGCACUAUCGGAUCAUGGAAAUUAAAGAUGUUGAGUAGGGGAUCUUUGGCUGCCCUGUACACCGUUGCAGAUGUUUUGAGCUCUUUUAAAGCAUUAUAGCAAUCACUUUCCCUCAAUAACCAUUGCUGAAUUAGCAUUAUUACAUCUAAUGAAGUAAAUUGUUUCAUAGGCAACUUAACAAAUGCAAGAUAUCUUGAUUCUUAGGCAACUCUGUGAAUAUUAGUCUAAAACGUUCGAUUAUCUUUGUUAGAUUCUUUUCCAGAAGAACUCUCACUUGCCUAUUGUAACUGUUGCGGAAACUCUCUUGAAAGAUCUUCAAAUCGAUGAUUUUCGGGCUCAGCCCAACGCACUUUUCUCAACCAACAACCAGUACAAUCGGCUCCAAACCACAACCAAUUAAUUCUCCUCGAUUGCUAUUCAAUCUUACCCACGUAGGAUAAGAAAAGAUGAUGAUUUGUGACCACAAAGGCUAGGAGAAGACACCACAAAGGUAUACUAUGAAGAAUCCACCAAUUGCACACGUUAAACAAGCGUUUUGAACACUUCUAGAGACCUUUAUUUCACACACAAAGGGGGCAGCCGGGAUUCCUCUAUUUAUCUCUCAAAACCACACAAAACAUGAAAAGAAAGUGGCUAGGGUUAUAUAUAUAUAUAUAUAUAUAUAUAUAUAUAUACACACACUCUAGGGUUAGGCUUUAAGUUGGACCUUUAAAGAGGUAAACGGGCCAAGAUUCAAGCCAUCCAAGAGGAAAUACAAUUGGGCCUGGUGUAACUCAUGGACUUGGUUGUUGGACUUAUUUCAUUCAUCGAUCUAUGUCUAUGAAAUAAUAUUAACCCACAUUAGCAUCAUAGCUCGAGAUUUAUUGGGUAUCAAAAAUUCAAUAGUAACGUUUGAAACAAGAACACAAUCUCAUCGCUGUAUUUGUCUGUGAUAUUUUUUACCAGGAGCUGCUCAAAAUACUCAAAUGCUUUGAUCAUCUGCAUCCAGAGGCGAACUAGGAUUCUCCUCCUCGACCAACAUCUUGAGUCAUCACCUUUCUCUUCGUCCCCAUCCUCUUCAUCACUGCUGCUUUUGGGAUCAAAAUCACCCUUUCAAGCGAACAAUCCUCAACAGCAGCCCAACGACUUGAUUUGCCUUCUUAGGGAUCAAUGCAAGAAACUACAUUCCUAAUUUUCAUCCUCAUCUUGAGGAACUUUGUUUUUCUUGAGCUGAAUUUUUCUCUUCAGCUUCUAAGUAGGAUCAUUGUUAGGCUUUUUUUUUUUUUUUUUUGUUUGGUCCAUUAGUAUAUUCCAAUUUCACAGUUGAUGGGAAUAGAAAGGUAUUUUUUGGAGAAAGGGGCAAAAUUGUUCAAUAACUCUAGUUAUGUUAUGAAAAUAUUAGAGUUCCUAUUUUUUAUCAAUAUCAAAUGUAACUAUAUAUUGAAAAAUGAAGAAAAUGCAUUAAAGAAAGGUACAAUAUUGCCCUUAUUAGUCAAAGUAAGGGCCAUAAAAUUAUUAAAAACAAUACAUUUUUAGUUUUUACACAAGUUUUUCUUCCCAUCACAUUACAGAUUUUAGUGACCUUACUUUAAUUGGCUUUUGGGCUCUUUUCCUCCCACUAUCUCCACCCUUCUCAUCUUCUACCUUAUUCUCGAUCUCAGAUUCUUCGUUGAUGAUUUGAAAGAAUGUGGGAAGUAUCAUUUCCCUUUCUUGCACAAUAUUUUUAGGAAUGUCAAGACUGUUCUCGCCUCUCUUCUUGUCCCAUCGCGGUCCAUAACCUCGAAUACUAGUAAAAUUCAUAAGGAUUUGAUGUCCAAGUUGCCUUCUUAGCUUGUAGCCCGUGCUGAGAGUCAGCCAUUACCUUAUCUUGUUUCUUCUUUGCUGGAAGAGCCGAGUUGUAGUUUCGCACAUGAGGUAAGUAGAUCAUUUUUAAAGAGAGUACUAUGCGGUAUCUGUGUUAUGUCUAAUUUACCUUCUGUAGAUGAAUUAACAGACAAAUUCGGCAAGAAAAAUUGUGUGUCAAUAGACCCCUAAUUUUUUUUUUAAACUAUACAUUCUCUAAAAAGUUAUAUUUAACGAAAUUGAUUUUGAAAAAUAUCUACAUUGUGAAAAGUAGAAGUUAGGCCCUGUUUGAUAGGGCCAAAUUUCAUUUUUCAUUUUCCACCUUUUGGCCUGUUUGAUUGCAAUAAUUUUCUAGGGAAUUCAUUUUCUUUCCUCUCCCCACAUAUGUGGAAUUUCCUUGGUUUUGUGGAAAACCAAUUCUCACCAAACCUAGGGAAAUUGGUUUUCUAGGUAUCUUUUUUAUUUUAUUUAUUUAUUUAUUUAUUUUUUGACAAUUGGAACAAAUUCUAUCCCCAAUUGUAACAAAUUUUAUCCCUUUAAUUGAUAAUUUCCAUGGAAAACAAAGUUAAACGAACACCAAAAGAUAGAAAAUUUCAAUAAUAUUUUCCACGUAGAAAAUUAUACCAAUCAAACGCAUUAAUUGACAAUUUUUAGGAAAACAAGUUCUAGGCAAUUAAAUUCCCCGAGAUCAAUUUUCUUUCCACCCAAAUUUCAUUCUUGCAAUCAAAUAGACCCUUAAUGAAAAAAAUAUAUACAAACAUGUUAAAUAGAAUCUCAUAAUCUUUGAUCCAUUCUAGAAUUACAAAAAUAUUUAGUGGAUUAUGUAUAUCUAUUGAUCAACAACAUGGAUUAUGUUUUAAGAGAGUAUCGUGCGGUACUUGUGUUACGUCAAAUUUAGCUUUUAUAGAUAAAUUAACAAACAAAUUCUGUAAGAGAAAUUGCGUGUUGUUGGACUCAUAACUUUUCUUUUUUUAGUUAUACAUUCUCUAAAAAAUUAUGUUUUACAAAAUUUAUUCUAGAAAAAUUUACAUCAAACAAAUAUUUUGUAAAAAGUUGAAGUUAAUGAAAUAAAUAUAUGCAGAUGUGUUAAAUAUAAUCUCAUAAUCUUUUACCCACUCUAGAAUUACGAAAAUAUUUAGUGAAUUACCUGUAUUUAUUGAUCAACGGCAUGGAACACUUUUUAAAAGAGUACCGUGCUAUAUCCGUGAUAUAUCUAAUUUACCUUCUGUAGAUGAAUUAACAAACAAAUUCGACAAGAGAAGUUGUGUGUUAAUGACUCCUAACUUUUCUUCUUUUGUAAUUAUACAUUCUCUCAAAAAUUACAUUUUACAAAAUACAUUCUAAAAAAUUUACAUCAAACAAACACUUUGUAAAAAGUAGAAGUUAAUAAAAUAAAAUAAAAUACAUACUUGUUAAAGAAUAUCAUAAUCUUUUACCCAUUCUAGAAUUAUGAAAAUAAUUAUUGGAUUAUAGGCAUUUAUUGAUCAACCGCUGGAUCACUUUUUAAGAGAGUACCUUUGUGGAAUCAGUGAUAUGUCUAAUUUACCAGAUGAAUUAAUAAACAAAUUCGGUAAGAGAAAUUGUGUGUUAAUGGACUCCUAACUUUUCUUGUUGAAAUACCCGUGUGAAAACCUUCGAGACGUGUAAUACGUAACUACUGUGAAACUGUUUCAAUUGAUUAUUGACUAGUGUCAAAGUGUUUCAAUUUAUUACGGAUGACAUCUGAGAUCCAAUAAGAAAAAGUCACAUAAAUUAUCAGAUAAUGUUGUUUCUAUUUUACCAAUAUCAAACGUAACUAAAUAAUCGAAACAUCACGAAAAUGCAUUAAAUGAAAGUACAUUAUUACCCUUGCUAGUCCAAGUAACGGCCACAAAAUUAUUAAAAACCACACAUUUUUAGUUUUACACAAGUUUUUUCUUCCCGUCACAUUAAAGACUUUAGUGACCUUGCUUUAAUUGGCUUUCAGGCUCUUUUCCUCCAACUCUCACCACCCUCCUCAUCUUAUAACUCAUACUCAAUCCCGGAUUCUUCAUUGUUGCUUUGAGAGAACGUGGGAUGUAUCUUUUCACAUUCUUGCUCGACAUUUUUCAGGACGUCAAAACUGUUCUCGCCUCUCUUCUUGUCCCAUCCCGAUCCCUAACCGAAUAGUAGUAAAAAUCAUACGAAUCUUAUGUCCAAGCUGCCUUCUUGGCCCAUGGCCUGUGCCGAGAGUCAGGCGCCACCUUAUCUUGUUUCUUCUUUGCUGGAAGAGUUGAAUUAUAGUUUCACAUUUGAGAUAAGUGGAUUAUUUUUUAAGAGAGCAUCGUGCGGUAUCCGUGUUAUGGCUAAUUACCUUCUAUAGAUGAAUUAACAAACAAAUUCAACAACAAAAAAAAAAGUGUAUUAAUGGACUCCAAACCUAUAUUUUUUUUCAAUUGUACUUUCUAUACAAAAUUACAUUUUACGGAAUAGUUUCAAAAAAAUAUACAAAAAAUAAAUCCUUUGUAAAAAGUACAAGUUAAUGAAAAAGAAGAUAUAUAGGGAAGUGUUAAAUAAAAUUUAGUAAUCUUUGAGCCACUCAAGAAUUAUGAAAAUACUUAGUGGGUUACGUGUCUGUGUUUAUCAAUCAUGUGGAUCACUUUUUAAGAGAAUAUGGUGUGGUAUUAGUGUUAUGUCUAAUUUACCUUCUAUAGAUUUGCUCACAAACAAAUUUGGCAAGAGAAAUUGUGUGUCAAUGGACUCCUAACAUUUCUUGUUGAAUUAUCCAUGUGAAGCCUUUGAGAUGUGUAAUAUGUAAUUAAUGUGAAAGCAUUUCAAUUUGAUUAUUGACUAGCAUCAAAGAGUUUCAAUUUAUUACUGACGAUGUCUGAGACUCGAGGUGGGUAAUAUGUAAUAAACAUGAAAGUGCCUUAAUUAAUUGGUGGCCACUCUUGAAAAUUCUUUAUUUUUAACUUUUAGUUUAAUUAAUUGAAUGAGAAAAAGUCACAUAAGUUAUCAGAUAAUGUUGUUUCUAUUUUUACCAAUAUCAAACGUAACUAAAUAUUCGAAACAUCACGAAAAUGCAUUAAACGAAAGUACAAUAUUACCCUUGCUAGUCCAAGUAAUGGCCACAAAAUUAUUAAAAACCACACAUAUUUAGUUUUUACACAAGUUUUUUCUUCCCGUCACAUUAACGACUUUAGUGAACUUGCUUUAAUUGUCUUUCGGGCUCUUUUCCUCCUCCAACUCUCGCCACCCUUCUCAUCUUAUACCUCAUACUCGAUCUCAAAUUCUUCAUUGUUGAUUUGAGAGAACGUGAUGUCUAUCUUUUCACAUUCUUGCUCGACAUUUCUCAGGACGUCAGGAGUAUUCUCGCCUCUCUUGUCCCAUCCCAGUCCAUAACUGAAUAGAAGUAAAAAUUAUACGGAUUUGAUGUCCAAGCUGCCUUCCUAGCCCAUGGCCUGUGCCGAGAGUCUGGCAUUAACUUAUCUUGUUUCUUCUCUGCUGGAAGAGCUGAAUUGUAGUUUUGUAUUAGAGAUAAGCAGAUUAUUUUUUAAGAGAGCAUUGUGCGGUAUCCGUGUUAUGGCUAAUUACCUUCCAUAGAUGAACUAACAAACAAAUUCAACAAGAAAAAUAGUGUGUUAAUGGACUCCAAACCUAUCUUCUUCUUUUUUUAAUUGUACUUUCUAUAAAAAAAUUAAGUUUUACGAAAUUGUUUAAAAAAAAUAUACGUAAAUAAAUCCUUUGUAAAAAGUAUAAGUUAAAGAAAAAAAAAUAUAGAGAUAUGUUAAAUGGAAUCUAGUAAUCUUUGACCCACUCAAGAAUUAAGAAAAUAUUUAGUGGAUUACGUGCAUCUAUUGGUCAAUCGCGUGGAUCACUUUUUAAGAGAAUACCAUGUGGUAUCAGUGUUUUGUCUAAUUUACCUUCUAUAUAUUUGUUCACAAACAAAUUCAGCAAGACUAAUUGUGUGUCAAUGGACUCCUAUCAUUUCUUGUCGAAUUAUCCAUGUGAAGCCUUUGAGAUGUGUGAUAUGUAAUUAAUGUGAAACCAUUUCAAUUGAUUAUUGACUAGCGUCAAAGAGUUUCAAUUUAUUACUAACAACGUUUGAGACUCAAGAUGGGUAAUAUGUAAUAAACAUGAAAGUGCCUUAAUUAAUUGGUGGCAACUCUUGAAAAUUCUUUAUUGUAACUUUUAGUUUAAUUAAUUGAAUAAGAGAAAGUCACAUUAGUUAUUGGAUAUUGGAUUUUCUAUUUUUUUAUCGAUAUCAAAUGUAACUAAAUAUUCAAAACAUCAAGAAAAAACAUUAAACGAAAGUACAAUAUUACCCUUAUUAGUCAAGUGAGGGCCACGAAAUUAUUAAAAACCACACAUUUUUCGUUUUUACACAAGUUUUUCUUCCUGUCACAUUAUAGACUUUAGUGAUAUUGCUUUAAUUGGCUUUCGGGCUCUUUUCCUCCAACUCUUGCCACCCUCCUCAUCUUAUACCUCAUAAUCAAUCUUGGAUUCUUCAUAGUUGAUUUGAGAGAAUAUGGGGUGUAUCUUUUCACAUUCUUGCUCGACAUUUUUUAGGACGUCAAGAUUGUUCUCGCCUCUCUUCUUGGCCCAUCGUGGCCCAUAACUGCAUUGCAAUAAAAAUCAUAUGGAUUUGAUGUCCAAGCUGCCUUCUUGGCCCAUGGCCUGUGCAGAGAGUCAGACGCCACCUUAUCUUGUUUCUUCUUUGUUGGAAGACCCGAAUUGUAGUUUUGCACUCGAGUUAAGUGGAUUAUUUUUUAAGAGAGCAUUGUGCGGUAUCCGUGUUAUGACUAAUUACCUUCUAUAGAUGAAUUAACCAACAAUUUUGACAAGAAAAAUAGUAUGUUAAUGGACUCCAAAUCUUUCUUAUUUAAAAAAAAAAAAUUUACUUGCUCUAAACAAUUAUGUUUUAUGAAGUUGUUUCGAAAAAAUAUACAUAAAAUAAAUCCAUUGUAAAAAGUAUAAGGUAAUGAAAAAAAUAUACAUGGGGAUGUGUUAAACGGAAACAAUUAAGUUUUGAACCACUCUAGUAUUAUGAAAAUAUUUACUAGAUGACGUGCAUGUAUUGAUCAAUCGCGUAAUCACUUUUUAAGAGAAUACUGUGUGGUAUCCGUGUUAUAUCUAAUAUACCUUCUAUAGAUUUGUUAACAUAUAAAUUUAGCAAGAGAAAUUGUGUGUCAAUGUAAUCCUAAUGUUUCUUGUCGAAUUAUCCAUGUGGGACCUUUGAGAUGGGUAAUAUGUAAUUAAUGUGAAAUCGUUUCAAUUGAUUGUUGACGCGUCAAAGCAUUUUGAUUUAUUAGUGACGAGAUCUGUGGACCAUGAUGGGUAAUAUCUAAUAAACAUGGAAGUGCCUUAAUUAAGUGGUGGCGACUCUUAAAAAUCUUGUUAUUCAUACUUUGAGUUUAAUUAAUUAAAUAAGAGAAAGUCAUAUUAGUUAUCGGAUAAUGGAGUUUCUAUUUUUUUUUUAUCAAUAUCAAAUGUAACUAAAAUUUCGAAACAUGAAGAAAAUGCAUUAAAUUAAAGUACAAUAUUACCCUUACUAGUCAAAUUAAGGGCCACAAAAUUAUUAAAGACCACACAUUUUCAGUUUUUACUCAAGUUUUUCUUCCCGUCACAUAAAGACCACACUUUUCUUCCAACUCUCGCUACUCUCUUCAUCUUCUACCUUAUACUUCAUCUCGGAUUCUUCAUUGUUGAUUUGAGAGAAUGUGGAAUGUAUCAUUUGACGUUCUUGCUCGAUAUUUUUAGGGAUGUCAAGACUGUUCUUACCUCUCUUCUUGCCCCAUCGUGGUCCAAAACCCAAAUACUAGUAAAAUUCAUAAGGAUUUGAAGAGCCAAGAUGUAGUUUCAUACUUGAGAUAAGUGGAUUAUUUUUUAAGAGAGUACCGUGCGGUAUUUGGGUUGUUUCUGCAGAUGAAUUAACAAACAAAUUCGACAAGAGAAAUUGUGUGUUAGUAGACUCCUGCUUUGUUUAAUUAUAAUUUCUCUAAAAAAAAUUACAUUUUACGAAGUUGAUUCUAAAAAAAAUAUGCAUUGUAAAAAGUAGAAGUCAAUGAAAAAAACAUAGACAGACUUGUUAAAUAGAAUAUUGUAAUCUUGGAUCCAGUCUAGAAUUACAAAAACAUUUAGUGGAUCACGUAUAUCGAUUGAUCAAUGGCGUGGAUCAUGUUGAAAGAGAGUACCGUGCCCGUAUUACGUCCAAUUUACCUUAUAUAGAUAAAUUAACAAACAAAUUCUGCAAUAGAAAUUAUGCAUUACUGGACUAGUAACUUUUUUUUUUCCUUUUUUUCUUUUUUUUUUGAGUUAUACAUUCUCUAAAAAUUAUGCUUUACAACAUUUAUUCUAAAAAAAUUUACAUCAAACAAAUAUUUUAUAAAAAGUUGAAGUUAAUGAAAUAAAUUUAUGCAUAUGUGUUAAAUAUAAUCUCAUAAUCUUCGACCUACUCUAAAAUUACGAAAAUAUUUAGUGAAUUACGUGUAUUUAUUGAUCAAUGGCAUGGAUUCUUUUUAAGAGAGUAUCGUGCGGUAUCCGUGUUAUGGCUAAUUACCUUCUGUAGAUGAAUUAAAAGAAAAAAAUUGACAAGAAAAAUAGUGUGUUAAUGGACUCCUAACCAUUUUUUUAUUUGUACAUUCUCUAAAAAAAAAAAAAAAAAAAAAAUUCAUUUUACGAAAUUGUUUCAAAACAUAUACAUAAAAUAAAUCCUUUGUAAAAAGUAUAAGUUAAUGAAAACAAAUAUAUAGGGAUGUGUUAAAUGGAGGGAUCACUUUUUAAGAGAACCGUGUGGUAUCAAUGUUAUGUCUAAUUUACCUUCUAUAGAUUUGUUAACAAAUAAAUUCCUCAAGAGAAAUUGUGUGUCAAUGCACUCCUAACGUUUCUUGUGAAUUAUCCAUGUGAAACCUUUGAGAUGGGCAAUAUGUAAUUAAUGUGAAACCGUUUCAAUUGAUUAUUGACUAGCGUCAAAGAGUUUCAAUUUAUUACUGAAAAAAUCCGUGACCCAAGAUGGGUAAUAUAUAAUAAACAUGAAAGUGCCUUAAUUAAUGGUGGAAACUCUUAAAAAUUGCUUUAUUGUAACCUUUUAGUUUAAUUAAUUAAAUAAGAAAAUGUCACAUUAGUCAUCGGAUAAUAGAGUUUCUAUUUUUUUAUAAAUAUCAAAUGUAACUAAAUAUUCAAAACAUGAAGAAAAUGCAUUAAAGAAAAGUACGAUAUUACCCUUAUUAGUCAAAGUAAGGGCAACAAAAUUAUUAAAAACCACACAUUUUUAGUUUUUACACAAGUUUUUCUUCCCGUUACAUUACAGACUUUAGAGACCUUACUUAAUUGGCUUUCGGGCUCUUUUCCUCCCACUCUCUCUACCCUUCUCAUCUUCUACCUCAUACUCGAUCUUUGAUUCUUUGUUGUUAAUUUGACAGAAUGUGGGAAGUGUCAUUUCACUUUCUUGCGCAAUAUUUUUAGGGAUGUUAAGACUAUUCUUGCCUCUCUUCUUGCCCCAUCGCGGUCCAAAACCCCAACUACUAGUAAAAUUCAUAAAAAAAUUGAUGUCCAAGCUGCCUUCUUAGCCUGUGGCCCGUCCUGAUAGUUAGCCAUUACCUUGUCUUGUUUCUUCUUUGGUGGAAGUGCUGAGUUGUAGUUUUGCACUAGAGGUAAGUGGAUCAUUUUUUAAAUGGAGUACCAUUUAGUAUCCUUGUUAUGUCUAAUUUACCUUCUACUGAUGAAUUAACAAACAAAUUUGACAAGAGAAAUUGUGUUAAUAGACUUAAAAAAAAAAUUAAUUGUACAUUCUCUAAAAAAUUACACUCAACGAAACUGAUGCUAAAAAAUAUACAUUGUAAAAAGUAGAAGUUAAUGAAAAAAAUUUACACAGACUUGUUAAAUAGAAUCACGUAAUCUUUGAUCAAGUAUAGAAUUACAAAAAUAUUUAGUGGAUUAUUGAUCAAUGGCAUGGAUCAUGUUUUAAGAGUGUACCAGCUGAAACCCGUGUUACGUCAAAUUUACCAUCUAUAGAUAAAUUAACGAACAAAUUCUGCAAGAGAAAUUGUGUGUUAUUGGACUCGUAACUUUUUUUUUCAGUUAUAUAUUCUCUAAAAAAUUAUGUUUUACAAAAAUUAAUCUAAAAAAAUUUACAUCAAACAGAUAUUUUGUAAAAGUUGAAGUUAAUAAAAUAAAUAUGUGUAGAUGUGUUAAAUAUAAUCUCGUAAUCUUUGACCCACUCUGGAAUUACAAAAAUAUUUUGUGAAUUAUGUGUAUUUAUUGAUCAACGGCGUGGAUCACAUUUAGAAGAGUAUCGUAUGAUAUCCGUGUUUUGUCUAAUUUACCUUUUGUAGGUGAAUUAACAAACGAAUUCAGCAAAAGAAAUUGUGUACUAAUGGAUUCCGGACUUAUUUUGUUUUGUAAUUAUACAUUCUCUAAAAAAUUAUAUUUAAGAAAUAGAUUCUAAAAAAAUUUACAUAAAAAAAAAACACUUUCUACAAAGUAGAAGUUGAUAAUAUAUAUCAUAAUCUAUGACCCACUCUAGAAUUAUGAAAAUAUUUAGUGGAUUACAUGUAUUUAUUGAUCAACUGUGUGGAUCACUAUUAAAGAGAGUACCUUGCGAAAUCUGUGUUAUUUCAAAUUUACCUUCUAUAGAUGAAUUAACAAACAAAUUCAGCAAGAGAAAUUGUGUGUUAAUGGACUCCUAAGUUGUCGAAAUACCCAUGUGAAAACCUUCGAGAUGGUAAUACGUAACGAAUAUGUAACUGUUUCAAUUGAUUAUUGACUAGUUUCAAAGCAUUUCAAUUUAUUACUGAGGAAAUAUGUGACCCAAGAUGGGUAAUAUGUAACAAACACAAAAAUGCCUUCAUUAAUUUAUGGCAACUCUUAAAAAUUGUUUUAUUGUAACUUUUAGUUUAAUUAAUAAAAUAAGAAAAAGUCACAUAAGUUAUCAGAUAAUGUUGUUUCUAUUGUUUAUCAAUAUCAAAUGUAACUAAAUAUGCAAAACAUCAAGAAAAUGCAUUAAACGGAAGUACAAUAUUACCCCUGCUAGUCCAAGCAAGGGCCACAAAAUUAUUAAAAACCACAUAUUUAUAGUUUUUACACAUGUUUUUCUUCUCAUCUUCUACCUCAUACUCGAUCUUGGAUUCUUCAUUGUUGAUUUGAGAGAAUGUGGGGUGUAUCAAUUCACAUUUUUGCUUGACAUUUUUAGGGACGUCAAGAUUGUUAUUGCCUCUUUUCAUGUCCCAUCGUGGUCCAAAACCCGAAUAGUAGUAAAAAUCAUACGGAUUUGAUGCCCAAGAUGCCUUCUUAUCCCAUGGCCUGCAUUGAGAGUUAGCCGCAACCUUAUCUUGUUUCUUCUUUGCUGGAAGAGCUAAAUUAUAGUUUUGCACUUGAGGUAAGCGGAUUAUUUUUUAAGAGAGAAUCGUGCAAUAUCUGUGUUAUGGCUAAUUACAUGCUAUAGAUGAAUUAACAAACAAAUUCGACAAGAAAAAUCAUGUGUUAAUGAAUUCCUAACCUUUCUUCUUUUUUUAAUUGUACUUUCUCUAAAAAAUUACGUUUUACUAAAUUUUUUCAAGAAAAUAUACGUAAAUCAAAUCCUUUGUAAAAAGUAUAAGUUAAUUGAAAAAAAUAUAGGGAUGUGUUAAAUGGAAUAUAGUAAUCUUUGACUGACUCAAGAAUUAUGAAAAUAUUUAGUGGAUUACGUGUAUCUUUGAUCAAUUGCGUGGAUCACUUUUCAGGAGAAUACCGUGUGGUAUCCAUGUUAUGUCUAAUUUUCCUUCUAUUGAUUUGUUAAUUAACAAAUCCGGCAAGAGAUAUUGUUUGUCAAUGGACUCUUAACGUUUCUUAUUGAAUUGUCCAUGUGAAACCUUUGAGAUGGAUAAUAUGUAAUUAAUGUGAAACCGUUUCAAUUGAUUAUUGACUAGCAUCAAAGAGUUUCAAUUUACUAUUGACGACAACUGUGGCCUAAGACCCUUACUAGUCAAAGUAAGGGCAACAAAAUUAUUAUAAACCACACAUCUUUAGUUUACACACAUGUUUUUCUUCAUGUCACAUUAGAUACUUUAGUGACCUUACCUUAAUUGGCUUUCAGGCUCUUUUCCUCCAACUCUCGCCAACCUCCUCAUCUUCUACCUCAUACUCGAUCUCGAAUUCUUCAUUGUUGAUCUGAGAAAAUGUGGGGUGUAUCAUUUCACAUUCUUGCUUGAGAUUUUUAGGGGCGUCAAUAUUGUUUCGCCUCUCUUCAUGUCCCAUCAUGUUCCAAACCCAAAUAGUAUAAAAAUCAUACGGAUUUGACGUCCACACUGCCUUCUUGUCCAAUGGCUUGUGCUGAGAAUCAAUCGUAACCUUAUCUUGUUUCGUCUUUGCUGGAAGAGCCGAAUUGUAGUUUUGCACUUUAGAUAAGUGGAUUAUUUUUUAAGAGAGAAUCGUGCGAUAUCCGUGCUAUGGCUAAUCAUCUUCUAUAGAUGAAUUAACAAACAAAUUCAACAAGAAAAAUAGUGUGUUAAUGGACUCCUAACCUUUCUUCUUCUUUUUUUAAUUGUAAUUUCUCUAAAAAAUUAUGUUUUGCUAAAUUGUUUCGAGAAAAUAUGCAUAAAAUGGAUCCUUUGUAAGAAGUAUAAGUUAAUAAAAAAAAAAAAAAAAUAUAUAUAUAUAUAUAGUAACCUUUGACCUACUCAAAAAUUAUUAAAUAUUUAGGGGAUUGAGCGUAUCAUUGAUCAAUCGCGUGGAUCAAUUUUUAAGAGAAUACCAUGUGGUAUCCAUGUUGUGUCUGAUUUACCUUCUAUACAUUUGUUAACAAACAAAUUUGGCAAAAGAAAUUGUGUGUCAAUGGACUCCUAACAUUUCUUGUCAAAUUAUCCAUGUGAAACCUUUGAGAUGGUAAUAUAUAAUUGAUAUGAAACUGUUUCAAUUGAUUAUUGACUAGCGUCAAAGAGUUUCAAUUUAUUACUGAGACAAUUGUGACCCAAGACCCUUCCUAGUCAAAGGGCCACAAAAUUGUUAUAAACCACACAUUUUUAGUUUUUACAUAUGUUUUUCUUCCCUUCACAUUAGAGACUUUAGUGACCUUACUUUAAUUGGCUUUGUGCUCUUUUCCUCCAACUCUCGCCACCCUCCUCAUGUUAUACCUCAUACUUAAUCUCGGAUUCUUCAUUUUUGGUUUGAGAGAAUGUGGGGUGUAUCAUUUCACAUUCUUGCUCGACAUUUUUAGGGAUGUCAAGACUGCUCUUGCCUUCGUUCUUAUUUGUCGCGGUCCAAAACCCGAAUACUAGUAAAAAAUCAUAUGGAUUUUGAAAAUUCACAGGGAACGCUCUAAUAACGCUUGAAAAAUCACCUAAUGCGUUGCAACAUCAAAUUCAAAAUUUAAGCUUACCAAGUUUACGUUCCAAUUAACAAUUAUUCGACCUUACUGCGAAAUUACUAAUAUAAGCAACAAGUCACUUAUUAUUAGUCGUCUAGGUGGUUAAACAAUCAAGUUCAAUUAAUUCCUAAGGUUGAAUUGCCGAUUUGUAAUGCAUAAAGUAAAUAAAACAAUAAAAAUAUAACUUACGAUAUGAUGAUGGAGAAAUCCUAACGUGGAUAAAACUCCGGAACCAAGCCAGUGACUUCCACUAUUCCAAUUCAGCAAGUGCAAGUUCCCAAAUUCCGUACCCAAUCAGAUCCGCUGUUCUAAUCUCACGAUCUACUGCCGUAGAUGCAACUAGCCUCUUACUAGAUUUCCCGAUCUACCUUCUGCAGCCCAAUCUGCUGUCUACUACAGCCUCCUGGUUCUUAGCUGAUUGUAUCACCAAGUGAAAUUUCAAGAACCGUCUGUUCUUGUCCAAUUCACUGCGCUUGUCGUUCACCUCUCUCAAUCCCCAAUGAGAGAGUCCCUUCCUUACAAAAUUAAGGAAGCACCGGUGUUUUGUCUUCAAGACCUUUGAUUUUUUCUACUGAAACAAUGGUUGUCGGAUCACAAGAGUGAUAUAGAUGGAACCAUCAAUUAAUUUAGCCUUGGAUCACUUCGAUAAUAAAAUGGAUGUUAUGAAGAUGAAAGCUCAAUGUUGCAACCACGGCCGCCGACUUUAUUUAUUUAAGAGUUCAAUUCCAGCUUCCUUAAAUUUAGUCGCAAAUUUGCCCAACUUGUGUGAGAACAAGAUUCAAUUCCCAGAUUUUUUAACUCUCUAGAUCACAAGAUGCUAGCACCAAAGUAUGUAUAUAAACAAUAUAAUUCAGCCCCCAGUCGGCAGUCCACUUGUCCUUCAAUUCUCUCAAAAUUGUUGCCAAUAAUGUUAUGUUUGUAUAUAUAUAAAUUCAACAGCUCGUCAGCCCUUCAAUUCUGUAAUUUAACCCCCCCAAUAUGUGUAUAUAUAUCUUAGAAUUCAGCAAAUGCAGCCUCCAAAAUUAGUCGUUUAUAUUUGUAUGUUUUGCUCCAGUUUCCUCUUCUUUCGGCCCAAAAAGAUAGCCUCCAUUUUGGUACGAAUAUAUAUGUUGAAAUUCAGUAGCUUGCCUCAAUUCUUGACCAUUCAAAGUAGCUCCAAGUGCUAUAUAUUGUGUUUGCAAAUUAUUCCGAAGGCCGCCUCAAAUUCCUUGUUCCUAAUUUUGUCUCCUCAAUAGCAACCGCCCAAUUUGAUUCACAAAAUUGUCUUUGCAUGCAUGUGAAUAUAGACAAUUAAAUUCAGUAGCUUGCCAGCCCUUUUCUGCCUCAAUUUUCGUGUAUAUUUAUGGCACAAUUUCAGUACCACCACUUUUUUUAAUUCCUCCAAAGAGCAGCCAGCUGUUCUUAAUUCUUCCAAGCUGCUGUCGGUGUAUGUAUGUGUGUGUGUGUGUGUGUAUUGGCUGCUCUCCCUUUUCAGUUCACCUGCAUGUCUAUAUAAAUAGACUUUGACUUAUGGGCCAUAAUUUUCCAAGCUCAAACCCUAGCCCAACUCAAGUUGCACUUCAUGCCUUGACUUUUAGACAUGUUUAAUUAAGUCCUAUUUUGUUCAUAGAAUGCUAAUUACAAUUAAAAACCAAACAAUCUCCCUCUUUGGCAUUCUGUGACAAUUAUACAAAUUCAAGUCAAGGGAUUACAAUCAAUUAAAACAACCUAAACUACCCAAAAUUCGAAUCACCGAGUCUUGCAUUCCUUGUUGUACCUAUUUCCUGAAAUCUAAAAACUCACAUACCCAGUGUACAAGAACGUGAUAUAGAAAAUAUAAAAACUAAAGCACUUAAUCACAAUUCAACAUGCUAGUUUGAGACGUGACAUUGAUACUAAUCAAAAUACCAACCGAAACACCAAUAUUACUAAACAUCAAAACUCAACAGCAAUGGAUAUGAUAUGGAAUGCAAUGCAAUGCAACGCUCUCCCUUAUUGCAAACUCUCAUAAAUGUUAUGCAGUAAAUCAAUGUAUCUAUGUCUUCUCCUCAGUUAUACUUUUCUCUCCCCUUUUUGUCACAAAUGCUGAAAGGUAUUGUGUCAAGUACAAUCUGAGCAAUAACACAUAAUAACUGAAAAACGUAGAUGAUAGCAUACAAAAGUCAAAUCAAUAAGUUAUAGACCUCCCCACAUACUCAUUUUAGAUCAGAAUGGAGUAAAAAGUGUACAAAUCCAAUGCAAGCAGGACUCCAAACCUUAAAUUUGUGAGAAAAGCCAUGCUAAUCAUUGCCAAUAAGUGUAUUCUCCUACUAAUGAAAGUCUAACCAUGUAACGUGUAGUAGGAUCUAUACUUAAUUAAUUUUUACUUAUCUCCCUCUACUAUGAGCUUUUAUAUUUUUCAGAUUUUCAUAUUAUUCCAGCUCUUCAUAUUUUUCUCAUUUUUCUAGCUCAUUAAUUUUUCAUCUUAAGUGCAGGUUCUUCUCCAUUAGGCAACUAAGAUGACCCUGUACCGAGUUUUAGGCCGGUUAACCCAAGUCAGUUGACCAUAGGCACCAGGUUUUAAGUGACCCCGCAGGCUUAAUUGCUCGAAUCAAAUAGGCCCAAUUGCUCGAAUCAAAUAGGCCCCGAAGAAAAACAUAAAAAUAUGAGCUUUCAUAUAAUGCGGGAAUUAUUUUUGGGUUUAGGUCUACUAAAUAUAGGUUAAUUGAUGUCCAAAGUCACCCUAUUAAUAUGUGACAGCCAUCCCAAAUCUCACACACACAGUAGAGUCCCACUAACAAAUUCAUAGUAAGUGCAGUACAGGUGGUACAUGAAGACACCUAUACUAAGUACUUCAUGAUGAUCUAAUCAAGCAAUGGAAAUAAUGCUACAACUUAUCCAUUUUAGCUCAUACACUGUCACAACAUACAAGUUCAGAAUUAUAUAUCAUGCUGUAGAAAUUUCCAUUUUUUUUAAUUUUUGUUUUGAAUAUUUUUUAACAUGAAUGCGCCACACAGUUGUGUCACUUGAAUUUUUUUUUUUUAAUUUUAUAUGAUGAGACUAAAAACAUAUGAAAAAGACAAAUGUAAACAAAAUAAACAUGCAAUGAAAUGAAUGCAAAAAGGAACAUUCAGGUGAGCUGAACAUGAAUGUUCCUAUAAAACUAGUCAAGGAGGUACAUAAAUACCAACAGCCUUCCUAAGUAACUCAAACCUCAUACCAUCUAAAGAUUUAGUGAAAAAAUCUACAAGCUGAUUUUCUGUAGCAAUGUGUUUAAGGGAUACCACAUUGGACUCAACAAGUUCACGAAUGAAGUGAUGACGAAUAUCAAUAUGUUUAGUCCUAGAGUGUUGAACAUGAUUUUUGGAGACGUUGAUAGCGUUGGUGUUAUCACAAAACACGGUCAUGGUGCCCUAAUUUAUCCUAUAAUCACUCCACAUUUGCUUUAUUCAAAGCAAUUGAGUGUAGCAGUUACCAGCUGCAAUGUAUUCUGCCUCGGCUGUAGACAGAGAAACUGAGUUUUGUUUCUUACUCAUCCGUGACACAAGAUUAGAACCAACAUAGAAGCAUCCACCCGAGGUACUCUUCCUAUUAUCGGCAUUUCCAGCCAAAUCAGCAUCAGAAUAGACUACGAGUUCAAGAUUUGACUCUCUGGAAUAUAAAAUCCCAUGAUUUACAGUCCCUUUUACAUACUUAAUGAUACCUCUCACUGCACUCAAAUGGGAUUCCUUAGGAUCUACCUGAAAUCUCGCACAUGCUCCAACACUGAAAGCUAUGUCAAGUCUACUGGCUGUAAGGUAGAGUAAGCUACCUAUCAUACUCCUAUACAAUGUCUGAUCAAUACUUCUGCUCAUAGGAUCAUGACCUAACUUAGCACUCGUGCUCAUAGGUGUCCUUGUGUGUUUUUACUGUCAGUCCAAAUCACUUAACUAGGUCUUUGCCAUACUUUGAUUGAGAGAUAAACAACCCAUAGUCAGUUUGCUUUAGUUGAAGGCCAAAGAAGUAACUUAGCUAUCCAACCAUGCUUAUUUCAAAUUCUUGUUUCAUACAUUCAACAAAUUCAUAAGCAAGAGAGUCAAUGGAAAAGCCAAACACAAUAUCAUCGACAUAGAUCUAUGCUAUAGUUAUGGUUUCUUCAAUAUGUCUAAUGAAUAGAGUUCUAUCUACACCACCUCGUGAAAAACCAUGGUCAAUGAGAUAUAAAGUGAGUGUAUCAUACCAAGCUAUAGGAGCUUGUUUCAGACCAUACAAGGCUUUAUUCAAUUUGUAGACAUAAUGGGGAAACUUAGAAUCGAUGAAUCCUUUGGGCUGUUCAACAUAUGCCUUUCCUUGAAGUAUUUCAUUCAAGAAGGCACUCUUGAUAUCCAUUUGAUACAGUUUGAACCCUAAAGAAUGAUGUGAAUGGACUCAAGACGUGCAACAGGGGCAAAUUUCUCAUCAAAAUCUACCCUUUCAUCCUGAGUAUACCCAUAAGCAACUAGCCUAGCCUUAUUUCUCAUUAUGGUACCCUAGUCAUCGAUUUUGUUCUUGAAAAUCCACUUAGUAUCUAUCAAAUUGCAAUCUUCAGGUCUAGGCACUAGAUACCAAACAUUGUUUCGAACAAAUUGAUUAAGCUCCUCAUGCAUUGCAUUCACCCAAAAUUCAUCUCUAAGAGCUUCCUCAACUUUCUUAGGCUCAAUCUGGGAUACAUAGCUUGUAUAGGUUAGGUUAUUCAGAACUCUCUUUCUUUACCUCAUACCUUCAUCUAGAUCCCCAAUGAUGUUGACCUUAGGAUGGUUAGAUUUGACCCUGGAUGAUGGUUCUCUAGGAAACUUAGUUUGUUUACUAGGUGAAGGAUCCUUAAUAGAAAUGUCUAUGCCGUUGGGGGACCGUGGAGAUUUUGGAAUUGAUUGUUCUUUAUCCUCAGUUGUGGGUCCUUGAUCAUCACUUAGAUAAGCUAAAUCUACCACAUUUUCAACACUCUCACCCUUAGAGAAAGCAUCAUCAUCAACAACAUUUAUAGACUCCAUGACACUCUGAGUACGCAAGUUGUAUACUCGAUAGGCUAUACUGUUCCUAGAAUAUCCUAGAAAAACCCCUUCAUCACUUUUGUAAUCAAACUUACCUAAGUUUUCUCUAUCCCUCAUAAUGAAACACUUGUUGCCAAACACAUGAAAGUAUUUAACAGUAGGCUUCUUACCCUUCUAGAUCUCAUAAGGAGUCCUAUCAGUUUUUAGUCUCAGGUAUACUCUGUUCACUAUGUGGCAAGCAGUGUUAAUAGCUUCACACCAGAAAUGGAUUGCUAGAUCCUUGUCGUGAAGCAUGGCUCUAGCCAUUUCCUGAAGCACUCUAUUUUUCCUCUUGACAACCCUAUUUUAUUGUGGACUGAUUGGUGAGGAGAACGCAUGCUAAAUCCCCUCUUCCAAACAUAAGUUUUCAAGAUUAGAGUUUUCAAACUCUUUUCCAUGAUCACUUUAAACCCUAGAAAUGGAAAGAUUUUGUUCAAUUCUGAGUCUUUUACACAAGGAUUUAACCAGAUCACAAGUCUCAGAUUUUUCUCUUUGUAGCUCAAUCCAGGUGUAUCUAGAAAAGUCGUCUACCACAACAAGAAUAUAACGUUUACCUCAUAGGCUCUCAAUCCUAGAAGGUCCCAUUAAAUCCAUAUGGAGAAGUUCUAAGGGUCUGUUUGUCAAGAUUUUGGAUGUUUGUUUAUGGUUUAUCCUAAAUUGUUUUCCUUGUUGACACGGCUUGUACACAGCAUUUUCAUUUUGUUCAAUUUUAGGUAAACCAUCAACAAUUUUCUUUUUGACCAAUUUUGACAUGUUUUUAUAGUUAAUAUGGCCGAAUUUUUGAUGCCAAAGUUCAGUCAUAUUAAUUUUAGCACUACUGCACACAUAGUUAGAGUUUGGGAAAACUCCAUAACAGUUAUCAGACGUUCUAACACCUUCAAGGACAACACGACCUGAAAAGUCAUAAAUAGCACAUCUCUUUUGAACAAAACUCACUUCAUAGUCAGCAUCACAAAUUUGACUAAUGCUCAAUAGAUUGGACUUAAGACCCUCUACAUAAAGCACAUUAGAUAUAGUAGGAAGUCCAGAUAUGUUGAUGGUGCCUUUAUCAUGGAUAGGUGUCGUAGCUCUGUCUCCAAAGUUAACUACACCAAUGUUGUAGUCAUCAACGGUCAAAAAUAAGGCCUUAUUACCACAUACGUGUCUAGAACAAGCACUAUCAAGAUACUACAUAUAUGUAUUUUGAGCCUUCUAUGCAACAUGAGCUACAAAACAAUUUAAAUUCUCAUAAUACCUACCCACAUCAGAUUUCUUGGCCCAAACUUUUCUAGAGGUUGAGGUGAUCCUAGUCAAUUUUAUCACCAUCUCAGUUUAAGUGACUAACCUGAUUUGAAAGGAAGUUUACUUGACUAGGGAUAUCCUGACUUCUAUUCCUAUUUGCUAGCUUAUGACACCUAGGUCUCGUGUGUCCUAAAGCACCACAAUGAUGACAAUUGGGUUUGAACCUAGGCUCAAAUGCAUGUGAUUUGUUGGUGCUGAAAUUUUGGUGUGGAAAUCUUACGGGCUCUAGUGAUGUUCAGUUCAGUGACACUCUUAUUUUUGGAUUCACGAUUGAUUGAAAUACUAGAAUUGUUGGAAGCAGGCAUGAAUGUGGUCUUGGAUGAACUACUCACAUUGCUAUCACUCUUUUCAAAUCCUAGACCUUGCCUAUUUCCAGCUGGUUUGUUCAUUCCUAACAGGUCGUCUAGUUUCUUAGUCCUACUCAUAAAAGACUAUAGUUGAGUAAUAGAUUUCUCUAACUCACAAGUUAGUGUCUUAACCUUGUUCUCUAACUUCUCAUUGACACACUUCAACUUACUAUGGUUUUUAGAUGAGACCUGAAGAUCACUAGUGAGUCUCUUUUUCUAUCUCUUUAGCUCGUCUACCUUUUAAAAUAGGGCCUUAUUUACAUUUUUUAAUCUUGAGGCUCUCCUUAAACAGAAGUUGAUAAGCCUCAUGUAUAUCCAUCUCAUCCUCAAUAUCGUCAUUAAACUUCUCACUCUCUACAUCCUCCUCAACCUUCUCGCUGUCCUUAUCUGACUCACUCUUAACUGUAGACACAAAAGCUAUAUACCCCUUUUCAUCUUCACUGUUAGAGGAAUCACUUUAAUCACUUGAGCUUGAAUCAUCACCAGUCAAUGACAAAGCUAAUGGCUUACUCCUUCCUUUCUUCAGAUUUUUCUUAAAGCUAGGACAUUCAUUCCUAUAGUGCCCAAAUCCUUGACACUCAUGGCACCUAACAACUUGAGAUUUCUUACUAAAAUUCCUAGCAGUUGGUUUAUCACUUCUCUUUUUGAAAUUUACUGGGGGCUUCUCUCUUUUUGUCUUGGGGCCAUCUCUUGCCCUUUAAAGCUUUCUGGAACUUCUUUACGAAAUAAGCUAUUUCCUCAUCUCUAAGGGUUUCUAUAUCAGAUGACUCAGACUCUUCUUCUCUAACCCUGUUUAGCGCAAUGGACUUGUUUUUCUUAGGUUGUGAGAUGGUGAGUUCAUAGGUUUGAAGGGAUCCUACAAGUUCUUCUAUCUUAACUGUGUCCAGAUCCUUACUCUCUUCAAUAGCUGUAACUUUAGGUCUAAAUCUCUCGGGCAAAGACCUAAGAAUCUUUCUCACAAUUUUUUACUCGAGAAUCUUUUCACCUAGGUUGAAACUAGAGUUUACGAUGUCAUUUAAUUUUGCAUAAAACUCAUCAAACGAUUCAUCAUCCUUCAUCCUGAUUUCUUCAAACCUAGAGGUUAGCAUUUGCAAUUUUCAAUUUUUUACGAUUUUAGUUCCCUCAUGCGUAGUCUCUAGAAUGUCCCAUACCUCUUUAGCAGUUUCACACAUUGACACUCUCCUAAAUUCUUCGGGAGACACGGCCAUAAACAAGGCAUGAAGUCCUUUGCUAUUCCAAUUGCAAUCAGCUAAUUCUUCCUUAGUCUAAAGUAAAGUAUCAGUUAGAUUGACAACAUUUGACACAGUUGUAGAAGGAGGUUUCCAACCAUUUUAUACACUCACCCAAACAUGUUCAUCUAAAGAUUUAAGAAAAGCACGCAUCCUACCUUCCAGUAGGCAUAGUUGCUUCCGUCAAAAUACGGAGGCACAGAUAGUGAUCGACUCAUCUAGACAACAAUGGGUUAGGACUCGAGUUUUGGCUCUGAUACCACUUGAAAAUUCAUGGGGAACGCUCUAGUAGCGCUUAAAAAGUCACCUAACGCGUUGCAACGUCAAAUUCAAAUUUUAAGCUUACCAAGUUUACCUUCCAAUUAACAAUUAUUCGACCUUACUGUGGAAGUACUAAUAUAAGCAACAAGUCACUUAUUAUUAGUCGUCUAGGUGGUUAAACAGUUCAAUUAAUUCCUAAGGUUGAACUGUCGAUUUGUAAUGCACAAAGUAAAUAAAACAGUAAAAACACAACUCACGAUAUGAUGACGGAGAAAUCCUAACGUGGAUAAAACUCCGGGACCAAGCCAGUGACUUCCACUAUUCCAAUUCAACAAGUACAAGUUCUUAAACUCCGUACCCAAUUAGGCCCGCUGUUCUAGUCUCACGAUCUAUGUCGUAGAUGCAACUAGCCUCCUGCUAGAUUUCCUGAUCUACCUCCUGCAACCCAAUCUGCUGUCCACUACGACCUCCUAGUUCUCAGCUGAUUGUAUCACCAAGUGAAAUUUCAAGAACCGCCUGUUCUUGUCCAAUUCACUACGCUUGUGGUCCACUUCUCUCAAUCCCCAAUGAGAAAAUCCCAUCCUUACAAGAUUAAGGAAGCACCGGUGUUUUGUCUUCAAGACCUUUGAUGUUUUCCACCGAAACAAUGGUUGCUAAAUCACAAGAGUGAUAUAGAAGGAACUAUCAAUUAAUUUCAUCUUGGAUCACUUCGAUAAUAAAAUGGAUGUUAUGAAGAUGAAAGCUCAAUUUUGCAACCAUGGCCGCCGACUUUAUUGAUUGAAGAGUUCAAUUCCAGCUUCCUUAAAUUCAGCCACAAAUCUGCCCGAACUUGUGUGAGAACAAGAUUCAAUUCCCAGCUUUUUAACUCUCUAGAUCACAAGAUGCUAGCACCAAAGUAUGUAUAUAAACAAUAUAAUUCAGCCCCCAGCCGGCAGUCCACUUUUCCCUCAAUUCUCUCAAAAUUGUCACCAAUAAUGUUGUGUGUGUAUAUAUAUAAAUUCAGUAGCUCGUCAGCCCUUCAAUUCUCUAAUUUAAGCUGCCAAUAUAUAUCUUACGAUUCGGCAAAUGCAGCCUCCAAAAUCAGCCGUUUAUAUUUGUAUAUUUUGCUCUAGUUUCCUCUUCUUUUGGCCCAAAAAGACAGCCUCCAUUUAGGUGCGAUUCAAAGUAGCUCCAAGUGCUAUCUAUUAUGUUUGCAAAUUAUUCCCAAGGCUGCCUCAAAUUCCUUGUUCCCAGUUUUGUCUCCUCAACAGCAACCGCCCAAUUUGAUUCACAAAAUUGUCUUUGCAUGCAUGUGAAUAUAGACAAUUAAAUUCAGCAGCUUGCCAGCCCUUUUCUGCCUCAAUUUUCGUGUCUAUUUAUGGCACAAUUUCAGCACCACCACUUUUUUUAAUUCCUCCAAAGUAGCUGCCUUUUUGUGAUAGUAUACGUGUAUAUAUCUUAGCAGCCGACCGUUCUUAAUUCUUCCAAGCUGCCGUCGACGUAUAUAUGUAUAUAUUUUGGCUGCUCUACCUUUUCAGUUCAUCUGCGUGUCUAUAUAAAUAGACUUUGACUUAUGGACCAUAAUUUUUCAUGCUCAAACGCUAGCCCAACUCAAGUAUACAAUAUUGCACUUCACGCCUCGACUUUUAGACAUGUUUAAUUAAGUCCUAUUUUGUUCAUAGAAUGCCAAUUACAAUUAAAAACCUAACAGAUUAGAUGUCCAAGCUGCCUCCUUUGCCCAUGGCCUGUGCUGAGAGUCAAUCUCCAUGUUAUCUUGUUUUUUCUUUGUUGGAAGAGCUGAAUUGUGGUUUCGCACUUGAGAUAAGUGGAUUAUUUUUUAAGAGAGUAUCAUGUAGUAUCUGUGUUAUCGCUAAUCACCUUCUAUAGAUGAAUUAACAAACAAUUUCAACAGGAAAAAUAGUGUGUUAUACCUUCUAUAGAUAUGUUAACAUACAAAUUCAGCAAGAGCUAUUGUGUGCCGAUGGAUUACUAACGUUUCUUGUCGAAUUAUCGAUGUGAAACCUUUGAGAUGGGUAAUAUGUAAUUAAUGCGAAACCAUUUCAAUUGAUUAUUGACGAGCGCCAAAGCUUUUUGAUUUAUUGGUGAUGACAUCUAUGGGUAAUAUGUAACAAAUAUGAAGGUGCCUUAAUUAAUUGGUGAACUCUUUAAAAUCUCUUUAUUUUAUUUUUCAGUUUAAUUAAUUAAACAAGAAAAAGUCACAUUAGUUAUCAGAUAAUGGAAUUCUACUUUUUAUCAAUAUCAAAUGCAACUAAAAUUUUGAAACAUGAAUAAAACGCAUUAAAUUAAAGUACAAUAUUACUUUUGCUAGUCAAAUUAAGGGCCACAAAAUUAUUAAAGACCACACACUUUUAGUUUUGCCACAAGUUUUUCUUCCCGUCACAUAAAAGACUUUAGUGACCUUGUUUUAGUUGACUUUCAGGCUCAUUUUCUACAACUCUCGCAACCCUCUUCAUCUUCUACCUCAUACUCCAUCUCGGAUUCUUCAUUGUUGAUUUGAGAAAAUGUAGGGUGUAUCGUUUGACGUUUUAGUCAUGCACCAGUUUUAACAAUUCUGGAAGAAUUGAAGGUUUUGUGAUCCACGGCAAUACAUCUAAGCAAUGCUUAGUGUGUGUCCCAAUGCACCAUGGAAAGGUGGUUGCUUAUGCUUCAAGAUAAUUAAAGCAAUGAUGAGUGCAAUUUAGACACUUAUUUAGACUAUUUUAUUAAACUUUUACGUCGUCAAAUAAUUUAUUUGUAUCUAACUUAGAUUAAUUUUCAUUUUGUUUUUAGUGACAAACCCGUUUGAAGCAAUUGGGAAGGAUGAAGAACAAAUUGGCUAUUUGACGAGAAAUUUGAAGAUCAAAUUGCACACUUUGAAAGUGGAGGACAUGAAGAAAAUAAUAAAUUAAAUGGGCCUAAGUUUUGAACUUAAAUUUGGAUUCAUAUUUAUUAACCAAUUGGAAUCCUGUUUUACCCGAGAAAGUGAGCUUGUCCAAUUAAUUUCACCAAGUUUAAUUGGGUUGCAAAAAUACAAAAAGGGUGCCUGUUUUAGUGUAUAUAUACCCACAGAAACACGUGAAAAGAAAAAAAAAAAAAAAACUGUCAAGCAAGGAGAGACUAACCUAUAGAGAACAAAAACCGGCAUAUAUACAAGCUACUGCCGGCAGGGAACGAGAAAAAGAAGAUCAAUUGGAAUUCCACCUCAAUUAGGGGACUUUAGGUGGCUGAAAGAUAAAGAUAUAUACAGCUUACGCACAAGAAAAGAGGGGAAUUGCUGGGAAGUUAAUUUGGGGCUGACUUUGAUUCGUUUGCCGAACAAUUCACGCACCCAAGCAGCCAGCUGAUGGAAAUUAGGCAGCUGCAUUGGAGUUUCUGGAAAGAAUACUGGGCGGCUACUGUUGGAAAAAUAAGGUGGCAGCUUAGGAAAUUAUUGAGAGAUACACACAAUUAAAAGGCAGUUGUUGUAAUGUCCCAAAAAUUCAUAAAAUAGAAUUUAAGUUAUGUGUGCUAUAUUUUAAUAUUUCAAAAAAGUUAGGGACUAAAAUGUAUAUAGCAAAUUUCAAUUUCAUUUGGGUUAAAAUGUAGAUAUUGACGGAGUAAUAAUUUGUAUAUGAAUAUUGGGUUCGUUGGAUAGAUCGUAAUUAAUCAUGCAUGUUAGGCUCAAGAAAAAGUUGAUUUGGAUAAUUUAAGCCUAAGAUAUUGACAUUUAAAGAAAUUAAUGUUUUAUAGUAUUUUAAUUAAUUUAAUGGGUAUUUGUCUUUGAGCCUUCCACUUGCUUAGUGUUAAAUCCAUCCUAAUCACAAAUAAUAUAUAUUAUAACUUUCCACCACCAGCCACGUUUCACGUUCAUAAGAAAUGUUUAACUGUCUUCGUAAAUUAUUUGGAUAAGUUUAUCAUUUGAGGCCUUUAUCCAAGUUCCUUGUGGCACACGUUUUCACCACUCUAGAAUUCUAUUUGCACCAAAAUACUCCACACAGCAUAUGUAAAUGUAGGACGUCAGUUUCAAAUUGGGGAUUGUUUCCAGCAUAAAUAAUGAACAAAAAGGGUCCCGAAAGACAGUUUUCACUCUAAGGCAGCCAAGAAAAAAAUUACAAGAUUUGGAACGUAAUUUUGGAUUUCUUCUUUCAAGAAUUUAUUCAAUCUUACGAAGUAGGAUUACGAUGUGCAAGUGGUUCGUCUCGUUUAAAUUAUUUCUUCAUGUUGAUAAAUGUUAUACUCAUGAAAAUUAUGAUAUGAUUAUGAUAUUUUGAAAUGGCAACCCGGUACCAAAGAGAUGAUAUGAUAUGAUAUGACAUGAGCUCUUACCAAUUCUAAAGAUAUGAUAUGACGGUAUGAUAUUUUUGACGCGUGAUUUAAUACUUUUAAUCGGGAUUGCAUGAUUACUCGUAUCCUACUGAGUAUUUCCAUGUACUCACAAUUUUUCCUACUCCUCACAGAUUAGAACGGGUUGUUGGUUGGCGGGCGGUGCGGUGGAAUUGUGAUGCCAGAAAUUAUGGAAUUCAAGAUAAAUAAAUUCUGAGUAACAUGAUUAGGAAGUUUUAUUUAUUUAUUUUUCUUUGCGUUAUUUCAGUUUUAUUUUCAUGUUAAAUUUGAAAUUUAAUGUUUGAAACAUGGUUCAGUUAAUAAUGUUUUCCAUAGAAUGUUUGACAUCAUUUAUUUAAUUAUGAAAUAAAUGUUUUUGGUAACGAUUCCAAAUCUUUAAAUUUUGGGUCGUUACAGUUGCUUGGAGAUUGAUUUACACACUAAUUAGGGGACAAAGGUGACGAUUGAAUUGGGCAUAAAUUUGAGAAAUAAACACGCAAAUUGAAGGGAAUUUUGAAGAAACAGCACGGCCACGACAGAUUCACUUUGAGAAAAUUAAUAAUGCUCCGUCAAUUGGUGAUCUCCUUCCACUUUUAUGUGUUUAAUUCCAACGAUAUGUUAGGCUAGAUCUUUUUAUGUAUUGGAUGGAUGACAAAAUUGUUUAAUUCUAAGUUUUAAUUCAAGACCUAUGUUUUUAUGUUAAUUCUUGCAUUGUGAUUUCAUUAAUAUUCAUAAUUAGAUUAUUUUAAUAUUUGCGCACCAUUAGGACAAUAAGUUGCUUAUUCGUAGUGUUGGAAAACUCACGGUAGGUAGAACACUGUUGAUGGAACAUACGGGCAAUAAAUGUUAGGAAUAAUAUUUGUGGCCUGUGCAAUCUUAUGUGAUAAUCCUAAAUGUCAAUGCAUGUUUGUCAUAUAAAUUCGGACUAGGAAUAGAAUCGUCUUGUGGUAACCAUAAGUUUAUUAUAUUUUGGGAAAGAAUAAUAAAUAAAAGUGGAAUUCUCGAUCGUCGCAGUUGCAUGAAUUAAGAUAAUUAUUAUUGGUUGGGAAUUAGAACUAAGAAUUGAUCAAUGGCGUCGGAAAUCCAAUAUGUUCACACACUUGAUUGUUUUUAAAAACCAAAUUUCAUUGAUUUCAUAAGUUUUAGUUAUUAAAAAAAAUAGUUAGUUAUUCAUCAAUCGUCUUUCGAUUAUAAACAUGAAUUUAAAUAUAUUAAAUAUACUAGAAUUAAUCCUUAUUCCCUGUGGGACGAUAACUCUCUCAUCACAAUUAUUACUUGUACAACGAACUUGUACGCUUGCGGAAUUUUGACGAUCAAGUUUUUGGCACUGUUGCUGGGGAAUAACGGUGUUAAUUUUAGUUAUUAGAUAUUUUAGAUUCGUUUUUAUUUUUAUUUUUUUAUUUUUAUUUUAUUUUUAGUUGCUGUUUUUAGGCUACAUUAAACUUUUUAGGAUACUUCAAUUUAUGCAAAAUCUUGACUAGCCAAAUCUCUUUCUGAUAGACCACGAAAUUGAAAGGAUAUUCAGAAAUCGUAGAAGAGUUCAAUGUCAAGCAAGGAGAAUGGUUGAUAACUAAAAUCAACUGUAGAAUCAAGUUCAGCUUCACGAGCCAAUACUACAGCCAAAUCAAUAGAGAGCCAUCCAGAAUGAAGCUCCUGUCUUAGUUGGAGAUUACGUCAAUCCAAUUCCCACACCAGUGCAACCUGCUGUGGUAUAUCUUUCCUUCGAACAACCUAAUUUUCACCUUAGACCAGAUGUCAUCAAUCUGUUUCAUAAUCACCAAGACAUCCGGUUCUUUGGAAAAGCCACGGAAAAUCCUCAUGAGCAUAUUUCUGCUUUUCUCAUUUUAUAUGAAGUGAUCAGUCAUGAAGGGAUAUCAACAGAUACAUUCCGAAUGAGAUUAUUUCCUCAUACCUUGAAAGAUGCUGUUAGAGAAUGGUUUCUAAGUUUACCACCAGGGAGCAUUCAAUCAUGGGGCGAUAUGGUUCAAAAAUUCACGAUGAAAUUCUUUCCACCUUCUCAAGUUAACCAAAUUAGGAAUGACGUCCACACCUUCAAGCAAAAAGAUCUCGAGAGCUAUCCUGAGGCAUGGGAGAGGUUCAAGAAUUUUUCCAAAAAAUGCCCCAGCCUUGACAUUCCCAAGCAGGCUCAGCAUUAUCUUUUCUACCACGGUCUAAAACAAGAGUUCAGAAAUAUGAUAGAUGCUUCAGCAGGAGGAUCAUUGAUGAAACUUGAUGUGGAUGAGGCAUAUGACCUGUAUGAAAAAAUAGCUAAAAAUCAAUCGAUGUGGCCAACUAAUAGGGAAGCUCCAAGGAAAACAUCAGGGUUACACAACGUGGAUACAGUGACAACACUGACCGUGCAAAUGGAAAUUCUUACAAUGAAAAUGGACAAUCUAUCUAAGUCAGUCAACAUGGUACACCAAUCGCCACCUGUUUGCAAAGGUUGUAGAGCGAAUCAUGCUAGUAUACACUGUCCUUUGGCGUCUACACAUGUUAAUCAAUUCGAAGAAGUAAGUUACGCGCAAAACUUUCAGAGACAACAAAAUAAUCCUUUCUCCAACACAUUUAAUCCGGGUUGGAGUAACCAUCCAAAUUUUCCUUGGUCCAAUAAUCAAGUACAAGAACAAGGAGAAAACAAUCAAAAUAAACCACCAAGGUUCCAAUGGUAACAACAGCAAGGGAGAAAGCCAUCGUUGGAAGAUUUGUUGGCUCAAUACAUUACUAAAACUAAGACCAAUUUUCAGAACCAACAAGCUUCGAUCAAGAAUUUGGAACAACAGAUGGGACAAAUUGUAGCCGCACUAUAAGGUAGAGCUCAAGGGACAUUGCCUAGCAAUACUGAGACAAAUCCUAAGGAGCAGGUCAAAGCAAUCACUAUACGUAGUGGCAUCCAGUUACCAGAAAUAUAUGUAAAGCGGCCAGCAACUGUCAUAGAAAAGGUACCUACCAUAGGUGAGGAACAAGUCGAUGAAUCAGACAAAGCCACAAAGGAAAAUCAAGUUGAGUCAUCAGAUAGUCCACAGGUGAAGGCAACUAUUCCUAUUAAAGCAUAUGUUCCUCCAAUCCCAUUUCCACAAAGAUUGCAAAAACAUAAGCUCGAUAAGCAAUUCCAAAAAUUUUUGGAUGUGUUCAAGAAACUGCAUAUGAACAUACCAUUUGCUGAAGCUUUAGCUCAAAUGCCCAGCUAUGACAAGUUCAUGAAAGAUAUUCUAUCAAACAAGAGGAAGCUAGAGGACAAUGAAACUCUCAUGCUUAUUGAGGAGUAUAGCGCAAUUCUCCAACAUAAGUUACCAUCGAAGUUAAAAGAUCCAGGGAGUUUUACUAUUCCUUGUAACGUUGGUAAUUUAUAUAUAGAUAAAGCAUUGUGUGAUAUAGGAGCUAGCAUUAAUUUAAUGCCUUUAUCUCUUUUUCGGAAACUAGGUUUAGGGGAAGCAAAAUCAACAACAGUUUCACUGCAAUUGGCUGACAGGUUGAUCAAGUACCCUCGUGGUAUUUGUGAAGAUAUUUUGGUGAAGGUUGACAAGUUUAUCUUCCCAGCGGACUUUAUUAUUUUGGAUAUGGAUGAAGAUAGGGAUGUCACCCUCAUAUUGGGUCGCCCAUUUUUGGCUACGGGAAGGGCUCUGAUAGAUGUGCAAAAGGGUCAGUUGAUAUUGAGAUUAAAUGAAGAAGAACUGACAAUCAACGUAUUCAGAGUUUUAAGAUUUCAGAGCGAACCGGAUUCUUGCAUGCAGAUUGAUGUAAUAAAAGAAGCGGUGUCAGAGACAUUCAAACUAGAUCACCCUUAUGAUCCACUUGAGGCAUGUUUAGUGCAUUCUCAAGAGUUACCACCCAAAAAAGAAGAAGCAGAAGAAUGUGCACAUUAUUUGGCAGGCAUACUACCAUUCUUCAAGCAACCACAUUUGGAGCUCGGUGAAAGGCCCAUAACACCUUUACCAUCUAUACAACAAGCUCCAACUCUUGAACUCAAACAACUACCCACUCAUCUUCGUUAUGCAUACUUGGGGAAAAAGAAUUCACUUCUAGUAAUUAUCUCAAACAAUCUUACAGAAGUGGAGGAGGAUCAGUUGCUGAGGGUGCUUCGAGAGCACAAGACAGCAAUAGAAUGGACUAUAUCAGAUAUAAAGGGGAUCAGCUCUUUGCUUUGCAUGCAUACUGAUGGAAGAUUAUUACAAAGCUUCAAUUGAGCAUCAACGCAGAUUAAAUCCGACUAUGCAUGAAGUGGUAAGAAAAGAAGUAUUAAAGCUUUUGGAUGCAUGGAUCAUCUAUCCCAUAUCAGAUAGUCAUUGGGUCAGUCCAGUACAGGUCAUACCGAAAAAUGGAGGGAUCACAAUGGUUCCAAAUGAAAACAAUGAGCUCAUCCCGACACGCACAGUCAUGGGUUGGAGAGUUUGUAUUAACUAUCGCAAACUCAACAACGCCACAAGGAAUGAUCAUUUUUCCCUUCCUUUCAUUGAUCAAAUGCUAGAGAGACUUGUUGGACAUUCUUAUUACUACUUCUUGGAUGGUUAUUCAGGGUACAACCAGAUUCCUAUAGCGCUAGAUGACCAAGAGAAGACGACAUUUACAUGUCCUUAUGGCACUUUUGCUUAUAGGAGGAUGUCCUUCGGUCUUUGCAACGCUCCUGCCACCUUUCAGCGUUGUAUGAUGUCUAUUUUCUCGGACAUGGUGGGAAAUAUCAUUGAGGUGUUUAUGGAUGAUUUCUCAGUAUUUGGAAAAUCAUUUAAGAAGUGCCUUGAACAUUUGGAAAAAGUGUUACAGCGGUGUGAAGACAAAAACCUUGUAUUAAAUUGGGGAAAAUGUCAUUUCAUGGUUCAAGAAGGGAUUUUGUUAGGGCAUCUGAUUUCAUCACGAGGUAUUGAGGUGGAUAAAGCUAAGAUACAAGUCAUCAAAAAACUAGCACCGCCAGUAACAAUGAAGGGAGUAAGAAGUUUCUUGGGUCACGCUGGGUUCUACCGUCGCUUCAUCAAAGACUUUUCCAAAAUCUCAAAGCCAUUAUGUAAUCUAUUGGAAAAAGUGGCUCCAUUUCACUUUUCUGAGGAGUGCUUGACUGCUAUCAACACUUUAAAGGAAAAAUUGGUCUCUACUCCAAUGUUGUCUCCUCCAGACUGGGAUUAUCCGUUUGAGCUUAUGUGUGAUGUCAGCGAUCAUGCUGUGGGAGCAGUGUUAGGUCAACGCAAGGGGAAGAUUUUUCAUGUUAUCCACUAUGACAGUAAGACUUUAGAUGAGGCUCAAAUGAAUUAUGCUACUACAGAGAAAAAGCUUUUGGCAGUGGUAUUCGUCGUUUACAAAUUCAAGUCAUAUUUGAUUGGUUCAAAAGUGAUUCUCUAUACAGAUCAUUCAGCAUUAAAAUAUCUAAUGAGCAAGAAGAAUGCAAAGCCGAGGCUUAUUUGAUGGAUACUCCUAUUGCAAGAGUUUGAUUUGGAGAUCAAAGAUAAAAAGGGAAGUGAAAAUGUUGUGGCAGAUCACCUUUCUUGCCUUGAAUCACAUGAGUCAAAUCCUAUGGUGGAGAUCAACAAAGUUUUUCCUGAUGGAAUGCUUUUUCAGAUUAUCACUACGCCAUGGUAUGCUAACUAUGUAAAUUAUUUGGCUCGCUCCAUCAUCCCGCCGGACUACUCAAGUCAUCAGAAUUAGAAAUUCUUUAGUGACUUAAACACUACUUUUGGGAUGAUCCAAUUCUUUACAAAAAGGGUCUAGAUUAGAUCAUACGCCGUUGUGUACCAGAAGUAGAGCAGCAUCAAGUAUUAGAAUCGUGUCACUCUUCACCAUAUUGGGGCCACUUUUCAGCAACCAAGACAGUAGCAAAGGUACUACAAUCUGGUUUUUAUUGGUCUACAUUGUUCAAGGACGCCCAUUAUAUGGUGAAACAUUGUGAUAAGUACCAAAGCACUGGAAAUGUCUCAAGGAGGAGCGAGAUGCCUUUGAACAGUAUUGGUUGCCACAAUGGUCAUCUACAUUGUAUUUCAUUCGAAUCACGUGCAGAUGUUUUUACAAAUGUAAAAAUAUUUUGAAGUUAAAAACUCUUUAUUUCGUACAUUAAGAAAAAUUAUUUCAAGUAAUUUGAAUGGAUAAGUGCUUUUGUUAGUGGACAUUCAUAGUGAUAGAUUACAAAUUAUAUAAAUAAUUUAUUUUCCUCCAUUUUUCAUCAUGUAAAUGUUUUAUAAAAAUUAUUUUUUAUAGGCUUAAAACUCUUUAAAUUCCCACUUAAAUACUCAAUUUAAUGAGACUACUGAUGGUAUAAUUCUCUUAUUUAGUUUUUCACUAAAAAUAGAGGUUACAAGAAGAGGAGUAUCACUUUUUUAUCCCACACUUCCGUAAAUUCGAAUUUGAUUUAUUUUUCUCUCAAAAAUCUCUUUUUUAAUUAAGAUAAGCUCAAAAGAUUAGCAAGGGUGUAAAGGAGAAAGGCUUCAACACAUCUUGUGAUGUAUAUUGGAAUUUUUGAAGCUAUGAACAAAGAGGUUUAUGAAUGGCCAUAAUCAGUUUGUACGAUACCAAGAGAUUCUUCAAAAUUAUGAAUUUGUUGUUAUUCAUCUAUGUGAAAUGUUAAAUUCUUUUCAAUCACUUUGUAUAUAUAUGCAUAUAAGUUUAUGAUCAAAUGGGUUCAUCAAGUGAUAUAAGUCCUCCUAAACUUAAAGGUCACGCCUAUGUUGACAAAUGUUUCAGAUUAAAGGAUAGUCAAGCAAGUGGAAUUCUGUGGAUUGUGGAGGAACGAAGGGAGAAAUAUUCUUCAUUUGUAUAAUUAAUUACAUCUGAAGAAUUUAUAGUCUUACUAGUUAUGCAACUUAUGUUUAAUGUCUAAAAGAUGACAGUUUAUCUAUACCUUUUAGAAGACUUCUUAGUUCUUUUUCUUGAUGUGAACAUUGAAAUUUUAGUUGGUUUAAAUAUCCAUGAAAUUAAAGUUGCUAGUGGGAUUCAAAAGCCCUAUGAAUUCUCUAUCUGUUGGCUUUGGAAUCAAGUCAAUAGAAGGUCAGUAGGAUAAAAUAUGCCCUCUUCCGUGUGUUGUGUUCAAUGUACCCAAGAGCCUUUUUUUUUUUUUUUUCAUAUAUUUGAGUUCCAUUUGAGAGCAUAAAUGAUGUUAGAAAAUUCUGAAAUUUUACUUUGUUAUACUUGAAUGAGUUUAGAAAAUUCUAUAAAAAUUUCAUAGAAUUAUGCAUCUGAAAAAUGGCCCAACUAAACUUGAUCAUUGGAUAGCGCAUUGCUAGAUUUAACUCCGUUAAUGUACCCUAAACUUCAUUUUAAUCCUAUAUUAUAAUUUCAUUAUCUAAAAAAAGAAAGUUGUCUACCUUAAAUCAUCUGUUUCCAACAAUUUUUGAAACUUGUAAUCAAAAGUAGGGGUAAACUACAAACUAGAAAGGAAAUUAAGGGGAAAAAAUUUAAAUUAACCCAAAUUUUAAAAAAAAAAAAAAGCAUGUUUUUUUGUAGCAAUUUCAAAUUUCAAGAUUUGAUUAGUUACAUUAAUGGACUCCUAACUUUUCUUUUUUCUUUUUUUUUUUGUUAAUUAUACAUUCUCUAAAAAAUUAUAUUUUAUGAAAUUUUUUCAAAAAAAAAAUAAAAUUACAUCAAAAAAUCCUUUCUAAAAAAUUAGAAGUCAAUGAAAAAUAUAUGCGGAUGUGUUAAAUAGAAUCUCAUAAUCUUUGACCAUUCUAGAAUUAUGAAAAUAUUAAGGGAUUAUGUGUAUCUAUUAAUCAACAGCAUGGAUCACUUUUAAGAGAGUAUCGUGCAGUAUCCAUGUUAUGUCUAAUUUACCUUCUAUUGAUGAGUUAAAAAACAAAUCCGGCAAGAGAAAUUGUAUGUUAAGGGACUCCUAAAUUUUUUACUUUUUUUUUUUAAAUUAUACAUUCUAUAAAAAAAUUACAACCAACGAAAAUUAUUCAAAAAUAAAUUUUCAUCAGACACAUCCUUUGUAAAAAGUAGAAGUUAAUGAAAAAUUAUAUACAAAUAUGUUAAAUAGAAUCUCAUAAUCUUUGACUCACUCUAGCAUUACAAAAAUAUUUUGUGGAUUACGUGUAUCUAUUGAUCAACGACGUGGAUCAUUUUUUAAGAGAUUACCAUGUUGUAUUUGUGUUAUGUUUAAUUUAUCUUCUAUAGAUGAAUUAACAACCAAAUUCGACAAGUGAAAUUGUGUGUUAAGACUCCUAACUUUACUUUUUUUAAUUAUACAUUUUUUCAAAAAAUUAAGUUUUGUGAAAUUUAUUUUAAAAAAAUAUACAUAAAAUAAAUCCUUUUAAAAGUACAUGUUAAUGAAAAAGAAUAUAUGCAGACGUGUUAAACAGAAUCUCGUAAUCUUCAACCCACUCUAGAAUAACGAAAAUAUUUAGUGGAUGAUGUGUGUUCAUUGAUCAAUGGCGUGAAUCGAUUUUUAAGAUAAUACCGUGCAGUAUCCGUGUUAUGUCUAAUUUACCUUCAAUAGAUAAAUAAACAAACGAAUUCAGCAAAAGAAAUUACGUGUUAAUGGACUCCUAACUUUCUUUCUUUUUUAAAUUGUACAUUCUCUAAAAAUUAAGUUUUACGAAAUUUAUUCUACAAAAAUUUAAAUCAAACAGAUAUUUUGCACAAAGUAUAAGUUAAUGGAAAAAAAUAUAUGCAGAUGUGUUAAAAAGAAUCUCAUAAUCUUUGACCCACUCAAGAAUUACAAAAGUAUUUAGUGAAUUACGUGUAAUUAUUGAUCAAUGGCGUGGAUCACUUUUUAAGAGAGUACCGUGCGGUAUCCGUGGUAUUUCUAAUUCAAAUUCUAUAGAUGAAUUAACAAACAAAAUCUACAAGAGAAAUUGUGUUAAUGGACUCCUAACUUUUCUUUUUUCUUUUUUAAUUAUACAUUCCCUAAAAAAUUAUGUUUUAUGAAAUUUAUUCUAACCGUCAUUGCAGCAAAAAAAAAAAAUUAAAAAUUAAAAAAAUAAUAAUAAUAAUAAAUAAAUUACACCUUUGAUCUUAAUAUUGAAGUCUAUACUCAAUGUAGAGUAGCAGUCUACAUAGACAAAGCUUGAUAUUUUUUAUCCAAAGACCAUAAAAUUGGAUCGAGUUUUUGCCAAACUCUGAUCAGUGAAUCCAUCAGGAAGGAUUAAGCCCAAAUCCUACUAACCAUUCCGAUCAAAACAAAACAUAGAUAGGAAGGAAAAAAAAAGGCUUAAAAAAUGUCGGAGUACAAGAUAAGGACACAAUACAACAAGAUAUGGUCACAAUGCUGCCCCUGUUGAACUUAAGUGGUGAUGAUAGACCCUCGUCUUUAAUGCACGGAAGUUUUUUCGUGUUAUUUUAAAAAAUGUGGAAUCAUCUGAACCAUUUUGUUUGCUGUUCUUGUUUCUGCAUAUUGUGAAGAACUUAUUAGUAAUGGAACUAACCAAUGGGGUUACAUAUAAUAUAACAAUGAAGGAGAUUAGUCCUCACCUUUCUUCCUAUACAAUAUCCUGUUUCCACAUAAGAACAAAAUUUAUGGGGAUUCUUUAACUUUAAGAGCGUAGGUCAAAUCUCUCUCGUUGUUUAUGUCUAUCCUGAUGGUCUAAUCAUGGAAAUUAAAGACAUAGGAUUAUAAUAAACAAAUAGGAAUAGAGAAAGAAAGGGUGUCAAAAGAGAAGAUUCAUAUGCUUGAGGAGGUCGUCGAUCCUUGGCUUCCCAGUAAACCUUUGCUACUUUUUCUAGCUCUUUCAAACUAGUGAGAAAUCGGGUUGUUUAGGUCAUCGGGUUGAUUAGGUCAAACGAGUAACAAGAGGUCCAAACAUUGUUGUUUCAUUUGAGAGAGGGAAAAAAAAAUAUUCAUGUUCAGACUCACAAAAAAUAAAAAAUUCAAAUAUGACAAAAUUGAGGCACUCGUCUUGAUUCAAUGAGGCAUCUGCCUCAGAGAAAUAGCACAAAAAUUAGUAGCCUGAGGCAUUACAGGUGCACCUCACUCUGAGGCAUGCCUCAUGGCCAUCUUCUGAAAUCAUGCUCCCAGUGGAAUCGAGUUAGAGUCUACCAAAAACAUCUUUAUGUGAUUAUUGUCAUGGCAGUAAAAGUCACAAACUUCCGUUUGAAUUUCAAAUUUAAAAGGUUCAUAUCCUUUACACUUGUUAUUUACUUAUGUUUGCUGCGCAACAAAGGUAACUAAAUAUUCAAAACAUCAAAAAAAUGCAGUAAACAAGAGUUCAGUAUUACCCUUACUAGUCAAAGUAAGGGCCACAAAAUUAUUAAAAACCACACAUUUUCAGUUUUUACAUGAGUUUUUCUUCCCGUCACAUUAGAGACUUUAGUGACCAUGAUUUAAUUGGCUUUCAGGCUCUUUUCCUCCCACUCCCGCCACCCUCUUCAUUUUCUGCCUCAUUCACGAUCUCAGAUUCUUCAUUGUUGAUUUGAGAGAAUGUGAGGUGUGUCAUUUCACAUUCUAGCCAGAAAGUUUUAGGGACGUUAAGACUUCUCUCACCUCUCCUCUUGCCCCAUCGAGGUCCAAAACCUGUAUAGUAGUAAAAUUCAUAUGGAUUUGAUGUCCAAGCUGCCUUCUUGACCCAUGGCCAGCGUUGAGAGUCAGCCAUCACCUUUUCUUGUUUCUUCUUUGCUUGAAGAGCCGAGUUGUAGUUCCACAUUUGAGAUAAUUGGAGCGUUUAUUAACACAAUAUCCGUGUUAUGUCUAAUAUGCCUUCUACAGAUAUAUUAACAAACAAAUUCGGCAAGAGAAAUUAUGUGUUAAUGGACUCCUAACUAUUCUUUUCAUUUUUUAUAUUACACAUUCUCUAAAAAGUUAAGUUUUAGGAAAUUGAUUCGAAAAAAUAUAUAUACAUAAAAUAAAUCCUUUGUAAAAAGUAGAAGUUAAUGAAAAAAAUAUAUACAUAUGUGUCAAAUAGAAUCUCGUAAAUUUUGAUCAGCUCUAAAAUUACGAAAAUAUUUAGUGAACUAAGGUGUGUAUUUAUCAACGGCAUAGAUCACUUUUUAAAAAAGUACCGUGCGAUAGCCAUGUUAUGUUUAAUUUACCUUCUAUAAAUAAAUUAACAAAUAAAUGCAGCAAGAGAGAUUGUGUUAAUGGACUCUUUAUUUUUCUUUCUUUUUUUUAGUUAUACCUAAAUUAACAAAAAAUUCGGCAAGAGAAAUUGAGCGUUAAUGGACUCUUAAUUUUUCUUUUAUGUUUUUAGUUAUACAUUCUCUAAAAAAAUUGUGUUUUACGAAAUUUGUUUUAAAAAAAUUUAUACCAAAGAAAUAUUUUGUAAAAUGUAGAAGUUGAUGAAAAAAUAUACACAGAUGCAUUAAAUAGAAUCAGGUAAUCUUUGGCCCACUCUAGAAUUAAGAAAAUAUUUAGUGAAUUACAUGUAUUUAUUGAUCAACAGCGUAGAUCACUUUUAAGAGAGUACCGUGCGAUAUCCGUGUCAUAUCUAAUUUACCUUCUAUAGAUGAGUUAACACACAAAUUCUUUUUUUUUAAUUAAUUAUACAUUCUCUAAAAAAUUAAGUUCUACGAAAUUUAUUUAAACAAAAUUUACAUCAAACAGAUCCUUCGUAAAAAGUAGAAGUUAAUGAAAAAAAUAUAUAUACAGAUGUGUUAAAUAGAAUUUCAGAAUUUUUUAUCCACUCUAGAAUCAUGAAAACAUAUAGUGGAUUAAGUGCAUCUAUUGAUCAACGGCGUGGAUCAUUUUUACGCGAGUACCGUGCAGCAUCCAUGAUAUGUCUAAUUUACCUUUUGUAGAUGAAUUAAUGAACAGAUUCUGAUAGAGAAAUUGUGUUAAUGGACUCCACACUUUUCUUUUUUUCUUUUUUAAUUAUACAUUCUCCAAAAAAUUACGUUUUAUGAAAUUGAUUCUAAAAAAUAUACAUAAAAUAAAUCCUUUGUUAAGAAAUAGAAGUUAAUGAAUAUAUAUAUAUAUAGUGUUAAGUAGAAUCUCGUAAUCUUUGCUCCACUCGAGAAUUGCUAAAAUAUUUAGCAGAAUACGUGUAUGUAUUGAUCAAUUGCGUAGAUCACUUUUUAAUAGUAUCAUGCAGUAUCUACAUUAUAUCUAAUUUACCUACUAUAGAUGAAUUAUGAACAAAUUUAGCGAGAGAAUUGUGUAUUACUGGACUCCUAACUUUUCUUCUUUUUUUUUCUUUUAGUUAUACAUUCUUUAAAAAUCUCGUUUUACGAAAUUGAUUCUAAAAGAAUAUACAUAAAAUAAAUCCUUUGUAAAAUGUAGAAAUUAAUAAUAUGAAUUACAAAAACAUUUAGUAGAUUAUGUGUAUCUAUUUAUCAACGGCGUGAAUCAUUUUUCAAGAAAUUGUCGAACUGUAUUUCUGUUAUGUCUAAUUUAUCUCGUCUAAUUAAGAAAUAAAUUUGGCAGGAGAAUUUGUGUAUUAAUGGACUCGUAAAUCUUCUUUCCUUUUUAAUUGUACAUUCUCUAACUAUAUUUUAUGAAACUUAUUUAAAAAAAAUUACAUCGAACAAAAUUUUGUAAAAAGUAGAAGUUAACGAAAAAACAUAUGAAGUAUUAAAUAGAAUCUCAUAAUCUUAGACUGAAUCUAGAAUUACGAAAUUAUUUUGUGAAUUACGUGUAUUUAUUGAUCAAUGGCGUGGUUCACUUUUUGAAAGAAUAUCAUGCAAUAUUUGUAUUAUGUCUAAUUUAUCUUUUAUAAAUGAAUUAACAGACAAAUUCGAGAGAAAAUGUGUUUUAAGGGACUCCUAACUUUAAAAAAUAAAUUAAUUAAUUAUGCAUUCUCUAAAAAUUACGUUCUACGAAAUUUAUUAAAACAAAAUUUACAUCAAACAAAUCGUUCGUAAAAAAUAGAAGUUAAUGAAAAAAAUAUAUACAAAUGUUUUAAAUAGAAUUACGUGUAUCCAUUGAUCAACGGUGUGGAUCAUUUUUUUAAGAGAGUACCAUGCGGUAUCCAUGUUAUGUCUAAUUUACCUUUUAUAAAUGAAUUAAUGAAUAGAUUCUGGAAGAGAAACUGUGUGUUAAUGGACUCUCACUUUUCUUUUUUUCUUUUUUAAUUAUACAUUCUCUAAAAAAUUACGUUGUAUGAAAUUUAUUCUGAAAAAAAAUACAUAAAAUAAAUCAUUUGUUAAGAAGUAGAAGUUAAUGAAAAAAAUAUAAACACGUUUGCUAAAUAGAAUCUCGUAAUCUUAGACUGAAUCUAGAAUUACGAAAAUAUUUAGUGAAUUACAUGUAUUUAUUGAUUAAUAGUGUGGAUCACUUUUUAAGAGAGUAUCCUGCGAUAUCCGUGUUAUGCCUAACUUACCUUCUAUAGAUGAAUUAAGAAGAAUAUAAACAGAUGUAUUAAAAUUGAAUCUUGUAAUUUUUUAUCUACUCUAGAAUUACGAAAGCAUUUAGUGGAUUACACGUAUCUAUCAAUCAACGUGGUGGAUCACUUUUUAAGAGAGUACUGUGUGGUAUCCAUGUUAUGAAUUAGCGAACAACUUUGGUUAAAAAAAAAAGUGUGUUAAUUAAGAGAUUAUAUUAAGAAAUUGUGUUAGUUCACAUAUUAGUUAGCUAGACAUUCUUCUGUAUAAAAUUAAUGAAAUAUUAUGCAGAGUUUGUUUUUCCUUGAUGGAAGUAUUGGGUCGUUAUAAAGUUUCUUUCUAAUUAUCACUCAUACAAUUUCAUAAGGAUUAUCUUCACGAGAGAGGUAGUAAAACGAGUGGACCUAACCCCAAGGAUUCUACUCCACGAGGUUUGACAAAAUGUCCCUACCAUAUUACGAUAAUACGAUAUAUAAAGACCGUCGUCAUUUCAAAAAAAAAAUAUUACUCCUUGGAUCUUAAUAUUGAAGUCUAUACUCAAUAUAAAGUAGUGGUCUACAUAGACAAGCUUUUGAUCGAGUUUGAUAUUUUUUAUCCAAAAAUUAUACAAUUGGAUCAAGUUUCUGUGACACUCUCAUCAAUGAAUCUAUCAGGAAGGAUUAAGCCCAAAUCCUACUAACCAUUCCGAUCAACACAAAACAUAGGAGAAGUUCAAAAAAAAAAAAAAAAAAGGAAAAAAAAAAAAAAAAGAAAAAAAAAAAAAAAAAAAAAAAAAGGAAAGAAAGAAAGAAAAGAAAAAGAAAAUGCCAGAGUACAAGAUAAGGACACAAUGCAACAAGAUAUGGUCAUAAUGCUGCCCCGGUUGAACUUAAGAUGGUGAUGAUAGAAAAAAUAUGCACUAAUUUGUCUGUCGUUCUUGUUUCUACAUAUCGUAAAGAACUUAUUAGUAAUGGAACUAACAAUUGGGAGUACAUAUAAUAUAACAAUGAAGGAGAUUAGUCCUCACCUUUCUCCACAUACAAUAUCAUGUUUCCACGUAAGAACAAAAUUUUGUGGGCAUUCUUUAAUUUUAAGAGCGUAGGCCAAAUCUCUCUUGAUGCUUAUAUCCAUCUUGACGGUCUAGUAAUGGCAAUUAAAGACAUGGGAUUAUAAUAAACAGAUAAAAAUCUAGAAAAGAAAGGUGUCAAAAGAGGAGAUUCAUAUAUUCGAGGAGGUAGUCGAUCCUUGGUUUCCCAGUACACCUUUGCUGCUUUUUCUAGCUCUUUCAAAGCUUUCCAGUUAUCGCUUGCCCUGAAAUCAGUGACGGAUUCGGAUUACAUCUAGGCAAGUAUAGAUCAAAUGCACUACAUGUUUUACAGAUUCCUUCUUUUCAAGAAUACAGACGUGUUGUAUCUUUCGAAAACGAGAACAACUAGUGGUCUACGAUGGAAAGCAAAGCUCUCCCACUUAAGACAAUUGAUCUCCUUCACUAAAGCAUCAUCGAUCUUUCCCUCUCAGUCAAUUUCAGAGCCAUCUUCGCCAACGACAUUUUUUAUAGGAUAUUACUUCAAAUACUCUGAUGCUCUGACCCCUCCCCGGGCCGACAUCAGCAUCCAGAGGCCAAUUGGGAUUAUCCUCCUCUACCAACAUCUAUUUCCUCUUCAAUCAUCACAUUUCUCUUCAUCCCUGUCAUCAUCCUCGUCACCACUGUUGCUAUUGGAAUCAACAUCAUUGUAAAAUUUAUCUUUCAGAAUUCUGCUGCUGGAUUGAUUCAAAAAUCCGUUCAAGCGAAUCACACACAAAAAUCUUCAACUGCUUGGGCUUCGUAGGGAUCACUUAAAGGAACUUCCUUCCAGAUUUUUCAUCGUCAUCUUGAGGAAAUUCAAUUUUCUCCCGCUGAGCUCUUCCUUUUGGUUUCAAACUAGGACUCUGACUAUAAUUCUUGUCGGGCUUUGGAUCAGAAUUCUCUGAACUGGAAGUGCACACCAAUCGUUUUCCAGUGUAUUUGGUUGUCAAAGUCAAUGGAAACAGGAGGAAAUUUGAAAGGCAACAAGAAUUUGUUGUUUCACGGAAAGAUAACAUCGACAAAGAAUGUGUUGGUCACGGACAAACAAAUCGACAUUUUAACUUGAGCUUGCUUCGUAAAAAUAGUAAAGAAAAUGCUCAAAACAACAAGAACACAAGAUUUGUCGGCCAAAGGCUUUGAAGGUGCAACGACAACUUCUAACGCCUAAUCCCCAUUGAGCAUCCCUAAGGAUAUUGCUCGAAUUCACUAUAAAGCCCCAAAAUUGGACAAAGAUCGAAUACAGUACAAAAAUAGCAGAGAGCUCAACGAAACCAUAAUUACCUCAAACUCUCUAUUACAACAAUCACUCACAAAGAAUUGUGUUCCCAUACCUUCUCUCGAACACAAUAAUCUCACAAAGAAAUCACUCAAGAUCAUCCAGUUGAUGACCAAAAUAUGAACACACAGAGAGAGUUUUCACGAAGACGGAAGAGGGAGAGUCAAAACCAACUACAACCCUAAAAGGCAUACAAGUGCCUUUUAUAUGAGAUAAGCCCAAGAGACGGAUCCAAUGGUGCAAAUCAUUCCAGGUUGUUUGGAUUGUGAUGCCAAAUCAAUCAAUUGGGCUCUGAUGAAAAGGGCCCGGCCCAAUAGCUAGUAUUAUAUUUCCAUUGCCCGAUAAUUCAAUGGUAGAGGCCCAUCUACCCGAGCCCAAACAUGAGGCCACGUGUGCUGCUCUGAGCCCUUGGAUCACCCAGCUGAUCUAGGGUGAUUUGUUCUUCAAUAUAAGGGACCUUUGGUGGUGCCCUAGUUGACCGAGCGUGAUAUUUUUCUGGUGACUCUUGAACUCUCUAGAAUGAGUCAUUUUCUCUGCCUCUUCUCUCCUUCGUCUUCUUCGUGUUUUUCUUUCCAAGAUCUCUGUAAUUUGGAACUUGAUUCAUUCUGUGUGAACAGUAAAUCUAAGUGAUUCUUUUGAAAGGAGUUAGUGGAGUCAUUGAAGGAGGUUUUCUUUGUGGCUCGUCGAAGUAGUUGCGUCCCGGUUCCUUUUGUGGGGUUUAGGUUUGAUUCUUGGUGUCUCUACUAUUGUACAGAAGGGUACAAUGUUAAUUUCUGAGCCCUGACAAUUGAUUGAACAAUAUACCUUUGGUUUGGUCCUGUUCUAGGUCGAAUUUUUUCUCUAUGUGAGAUCUGAAAAUACUUUGUGUAUUUCUUGAGUUCUAUUAUAACAGUGGUAUCAGAGCCUUCAAGGCUUCCUUCAACCGUGAUCUGGAUGUGAAAAAUUCAUUUUCACAGUCCAAUCCUUUUUUUAGAUCUGACUCUUUUUCGCUGUUUUUUUUUAAAUCACUUCAGUACUUUAUGUGUACUAACCAUUGAUCUAUUGUGGAGUUCUUGUUUCCCAAAACGCAGGUCCUGUUUUUCGCGAACUAUUGGUUCGCCCCUUGAGUAACCCAUACUGUUCGUGAGGCUUUUUUUUUCUUGGUCACUAGCUUGAGUGAUCGAUAUUGAAUGAUCACUCCUCUGGUUUGCGACUAUUUUUCCCUUUAUUAACGUUUAAUCCAUUCUUCCUAGCCAUAUAUGUUUUACAUAAUUUUUUUGAUUAUUGUUAGUCAGUGAAUUACUGGGUUAAUAUUUCUGAAACGUACUUAUUGUGAUUACUCUAAAUUGGUGAAUUACUAAGUUCUUAUUUCUGAAGUAUUACAUACGUUGAUUUAAUCUGAUACUCAUAUAAUCCUUUUCCUGCUUCCUGUUCUGAUGACCUAAAUUGUGCCUUGACCUAAGGACAUGAUCCUUACGAAAUCCUGGUGAAUUUGGGCAUUUGGAACUUGAAGUUUGUUGCAUUGAGUACAUUGCGAUUUCUUGUUAUUUUUUGAACACUGUGUGUGUUAAUGUUUUCUUGAUUCUUGAAGCUUCUUGGUACAUAAUAACCUCUGUGAUCUUGUGUAUUAUCACAUUUUAUUCUGCACCACCUCUUUUCUGUUAAACGUUGAACUUCAAAUAAUUUUCUUGUGUUGGUUAAACAUUCCAAAUGACAACAACUACGUUUGAACUUGGAGUUUUUAAUGGAAAAGGGGAUUUCCCCAUUUGGCAACAAAAAUGAAAGGAGUUCUUGUUCAACAGAAAGUUGCAAGAGCCAUUACUGGUGAUUUUCCUGAUACUAUGACUGAAGCACAAAAAACUGAAUGUGAUGAACUUGCCUAUACCUCUAUUAUAUUGCAUCUAUCUGAUCAAGUUUUGAGAAAAGUUGGGAAACAUGAUAGUGCUAGAGAUUUGUGAGAAAAACUAGAAGAACUUUAUUUAGUUAAGUCCCUACCUAAUAAACUGUUUCUCUUAGAAAGAUUUUUUAGUUUUAAGAUUGACAUCACUAAAGACUUAGAAGAUAACUUUGACAUUUUUAAUAAAUUGGUUCAAGCUAUUACCAAUGCUGGAGACAAAGUCUCUGAUGAAUACAAGGUUGUGAUUCUUCUAAAUUCAUUACCUGAAAUGUAUAACGAUGUCAAAAGUGCCAUUAAAUAUGGUAGGGAUUCUUUGACUCCUGAAGUUGUUAUUAACUCUUUAAGGAGCAAGGAUCUGGAACUUAAAACUGAGAAGCAUGGAAGAGAAUUUGAGAAUUUAUUUGUUAGAGGGAGGUCACUUAAUAGGCAAAACCAUAGUCAGGAUAAUCAGAGUUAUCAAAGAAAUAAUAAUAACAAGAAGAAAGGGAGAGAAAGACCUAGGUCAAAGUCUAGGACUGGGACUGGGAAUAGGAAAUGUUAUGGAUGUGGGAAAUCAGGUCACUUUAUUAAGGAUUGCUUUAAGAAAAAGAAUGAACAGAGGGAUAACAAAGUAGAUGAGGGAAAUGUAGUUGAAUCCCUAGAUGAUAAAACUGUGGAUGUCUAUGUUGUUACUGAACCUGUUACUGAUCAGCAUACUGUAAAUUUUUCUGAAAAUAUAGACCAGAAUCAAGAAUGGAUUCUUGACUCUGGUUGCACUUUCCAUAUGACUUCUAAAAGGUCUUGUUUAGAAAAUUUUAAGGAAAUGAAUGGAAGUGAGGUAGUAAUGGGUAAUAAUGCAGCCUGUAAAGUUUUAGGAAUUGACAGUGUGACUUUAAAAUUUGAAAAUGGAUAUAUCUUUACCCUAGAGAGAGUAAGGUAUGUUCCUGACUUAAAUAGAAAUUUAAUUUCUAUGGGUGAUCUAGAUGACAUUGGUCUCCAAGCUAAACUUGGAAAUGGUUUGUUAAAAGUUUUUAAAGGCUCUCUUGUAAUAUUCAAGGGUGCCAAAAGAAAUGGUAUAUAUGUCACUAGAGCUGAAAUAGUUUCAAGUCAUACUGCUGAGUCCUUAACUGCUGGAGUUGAUGCCACCUUAAAAUUGCACAAUAGGCUGGCACAUGUUAGUGAAAGAGGUCUGCAUAUUUUGAAUAAAAUGGGUGUUUUUGGAAAAGAUAAUGUUUCAAAAAUUCCUUUUUGUGAUUAUUGUAUACUUGGUAAACAACAUAGACUUCACUUUAAUACGGGUAAGCAUGAAACUACUUCUGUUCUGGAGUAUGUACAUGCUGAUUUGUGGGGACCCUCAUCUACUAUUACCCAAGGAGGAAACAAAUAUUUUCUGUCCUUGAUUGAUGAUUUUUCAAGAAAAGUUUGGAUUUUUCUGUUAAAACAAAAAUCAGAUACUUUUGAAAAAAUUUAAAUUUGGAAAACCUUGAUUGAAAAUCAAACUGGGAAGAAAAUCAAGGUAUUAAGAACUGAUAAUGGUCUAGAAUUUUGUAGUGUUGUUUUUGAUCAAUUAUGUAAGGAUAGUGGGAUCCUUAGGCAUAAAACAGUUCCUUAUACCCCUCAGCAAAAUGGAAUUACUGAGAGGAUGAAUAGGACUAUUCUAGACAAAGUAAGAUGCAUGAUGAUCAGUUCUGGAGUUCCUAAAGUACUGUGGGGUGAAGCUGCUAUGACUGCAGUUUAUAUCAUAAAUAGAACCCCAAGUAGUAGGGCUGAGCAAAUCUCUCGAACCGAACCCGAAGCGAACCGAACCCAACGGUUCUUGUUAAAUUGUCAAAUUAAAUACCCGAACGGGUAUCUGAAUUGAGAAUCGACGGGUACGGUUCGGUUCUCGGUUCUAGACCAAGAACCGAAGAACCGAAUCUUUCUAAUUUUUUUUAUAUUAAAUAAAUCAAAUUAUUUUAAUUUUAAUUUUUUCUAAACAAAUUAACAAAUUAACAAUUUGUAAAUCCAAAUUUUUGGCCCAAGAAUUUGUUUAAUUUCUAAUUUUUAAAUUUUUGGCCCAAUUACUCAUUUUAUUGUUUUAUUUCUUAGCCCAAAAAGAUCCAAUCCACUAAAUAACUCUAAACACCUACACUAAAGUGUAUAACGUUGUGUCGACUCUCGUACUCACUCUCUCAGCCCCGCUAAUAUUCCAAAACCUAUACAAUCGUCAGCCGACACUGUGACCUCCACCGAUCGAAGCUUUGACCAUAGCGAUCAUUUGAACAAUGUAGUUUACUAGUCUCUAACAUUCCAAAACCAUUGAAUGUAUCAUUAGUUGUAUUUAUAUAAUGUUGUUAUAAAUGUUAAAAAAUUUAAUUAUAGUACAGAACCGAACCGAACCGAACCGAACUAAACCGAACGGAACCGAACCUGAACGUUUCCAUAAUUAUAUUUGGACCCUACGGUUCCAUUUACUAAAUACCCGAAAAUUUUGGUUCGAUUCGGUUCUAACCGAUUCUCUUUAGAACCGAACCGAACCAACCUGCACCCACCCCUACCAAGUAGUGCCAUAGAUGGCAGAACACCUGAGGAAAUAUAGUCUGGAAAAAUACCAGAUUAUAGUCAUCUAAAAACCUUUGGUUGUGCAGCCUUUUCCCAUCAAAAUAGUGGUAAACUUGAACCUAGAUCCCAAAAAUGUGUUUUUAUGGGAUACCCUGAAGGAGUUAAAGGGUAUAGAUUGUGGGAUAGGAGUGUGAAGGGGUUUAGAAUGAUCACAAGUAGGAAUGUGACCUUCAAUGAGUGUGAUAUGCCUUGCAUGACUAAUAAACAUCAUAUUAGUGCUUCUAGUAGUGAGGAAGAAGAGAUGACUAGGCUGCAGGUGGAGCAUUUGUCACCUCCUGAACAUACUGAUAAUGUUCAGGAAGAGACUGGUGAAGUUUUUGAUGAAAAUAUAGAAGGUGAAGGUGAUGUUCAAGAAGUUGGUGAAGAAGAAAAUUCAUUAGAUGGUUACCAGUUAGCUAGGGAUAGGGUUAGAAGAGAAAUAAGGGAACCCAUUAAAAUGAGAGACUACCUAUCUCUAGCUUUACUGACUUGUCAAGAUCUGGCCUUUAAGGAACCAAAAACAUAUGAGGAGGCUAUGAGUUGUCAGUCUUCAAAAGACUGGCAAUUGGCUAUGGAAGAGGAAAUGAACUCUUUAAGGAAAAAUGAAACCUGGAUUUUGGUUCCUAAACCUAAAGAUAAAUCCUUAGUUGAUUGUAAAUGGAUCUAUAUAAUUAAUGAAGGAAAUAUAGCAAAUCAGCCCCUAAGAUUAAGGCCAGAUUAGUGGCAAAAGGGUUUACUCAAAAACCCGGUAUUAAUUAUAAUGAAAUUUUCUCACCUGUAGUUAAAUAUACUACCAUACGUGUUAUGCUUGCAUGAGUUGCUCAUUAUGAUCUUGAACUUGAACAAAUGGACGUAAAAACUGCCUUUUUGCAUGGAGACUUGGAUGAAAUUAUCUAUAUGAGACAACCACCUGGAUAUGUAGAUAACAAGAAACCUGAGCAUGUGUGCUUGUUAAAGAGAUCAUUGUAUGGACUUAAACAAUCGCCUAGACAAUGGUAUAAACGCUUUGAUAACUUUGUGUCAUCUGUAGGUUUUCUUAGAAGCUCUUUUGAUCAUUGUCUAUAUUUGAAAAAAGAUAAAUCUGAAUCUGUGAUUUUUUUACCUACUUCUUUAUGUGGAUGAUAUGUUGUUAAUUGGACAGCAUCUUAGUGAUAUUAAUGAUAUUAGGAGAUCUUUAUGCUCUGAAUUUGAAAUGAAAGACUUGGGACAUGCUAGAAGAAUUUUAGGUAUGGAUAUUAAGAGAAAUAGAUCCAAACAGGUUCUUUUUCUAUCACAAUCUGCCUAUGUUGAAAAAGUCAUAUCAAAAUUUUCCAUGCAUGAAUCAAAAACUGUCACUUUAGCACUUGCAAGUCAUUUUAAAUUGAGUAAAGAUCAAUGUCCAGUUGAUGAAUUUGAUGUGAAAUCCAUGCAAAAGGUCCCCUAUGCUAAUGCUGUGGGGUCUGUAAUGUACACUAUAGUGUGUACCAGACCUGAUGUAGCUCAUACGAUUAGUACCCUAAGUAGAUUUAUGGCCAAUCCUGGCUUGAACAUUGGACAGCCUUAAAAUGGUUACUUAGGUAUCUAAAAGGAACAUCUAACUUAGGUUUAUGUUUUAAUCCUAGUAAAGAAGAUGUUAUAUUAAAGGGGUUUGUAGAUUCAGAUUAUGCUGGGGACAGGGACAAUAGAAAAUCAACCACAUCUUACAUGUUUACUUUGUGUGGCACUUGUGUGAGUUGGAAAUCACAAUUACAGCCUAUUGUUGCACUUUCAACCACUGAAGCAGAAUAUGUGGCUGCUACUGAAACCAUAAAAGAAGCACUAUGGCUCAAAGGUUUGUUAUGUGAAAUUAAUAUUUUGUCACAACCUGUUGUAGUUUACUCAGAUAGUCAAAGUGCAAUUUAUCUGUGUAAAAAUCCUGUAUUUCAUGAAAGGACCAAGCAUAUAGAUGUUAGAAUGCAUUUUAUAAGAGACAUAAUUCAUAAAGAAUCUGUUGUACUUGAAAAGAUUCCAACAGAAUUUAAUCCUGCUGAUAUGGGGACCAAGGUACUGUCUCUUAAUAAGUUUAGGUCCUCUUUGAAAAUGCUGAAAAUUGAUACUGGGUAACCUUUGUUGUAAUGCAGGUACUCUAAACCUCUUGGUGCAAUGAUCUGUGGAACUUAAAGAAGAAAAUGAAUUUGUUUCAUAUCUUUGUAGUAUGCAUGUUGGUCAUUAGCAUCAAGGUGGAGAUUGUUUGGAUUGUAAUGCCAAAUCAAUCAAUUGGGCUAUGAUGAAAAGGGCCCGGCCCAAUAGCUGGUAUUAUAUUUCCAUUGCCCGAUAAUUUAAUGGUAGAGGCCCAUCUACCCGAGCCCAAACAUGAGGCCACGUGUGCUGCUCUGAGCCCUUGGAUCACCCAGCUGAUCUAGGGUGAUUUGUUCUUCAAUAUAAGGGACCUUUGGUGGUGCCCUAGUUGACCGAGCGUGAUAUUUUUCUGGUGACUCUUGAACUCUCUAGAAUGAGUCAUUUUCUCUGCCUCUUCUCUCCUUCGUCUUCUUCGUGUUUUUCUUUCCAAGAUCUCUGUAAUUUGGAACUUGAUUCAUUCUGUGUGAACAGUAAAUCUAAGUGAUUCUUUUGAAAGGAGUUAGUGGAGUCAUUGAAGGAGGUUUUCUUUGUGGCUCGUCGAAGUAGUUGCGUCCCGGUUCCUUUUGUGGGGUUUAGGUUUGAUUCUUGGUGUCUCUACUAUUGUACAGAAGGGUACAAUGUUAAUUUCUGAGCCCUGACAAUUGAUUGAACAAUAUACCUUUGGUUUGGUCCUGUUCUAGGUCGAAUUUUUUCUCUAUGUGAGAUCUGAAAAUACUUUGUGUAUUUCUUGAGUUCUAUUGUAACAUAGGUGUCAAGCAUCCAAUGAAGAGGUGAAUUUAAUCAAGUAUGAAAAUACAUUAUUAUCUAUUCUAGAACCAUCUUAUCAAUAAUGGACCGAUUUUGGACUUCAAAUCUUACUGAAUCAGUUUGAGUUGAGCUCACAAAAAUGAAGCAACCCAUCUUCAUACAGUGAUCACCAAAAUUAUUAUGGACCAAGCUACAAGAAUAUAAGGAUGAUAUAGGGGAUGACCGAACACACACACAUGGGAGGGUCGGCAUUCUUUAAUUCACGCGGACCCAUGCACAAUGUGAUGGUUGUUUAACCGAGCUGUCACCAAAAUUCGGGCAAAGUGACUUUUUCCAAUUAUUAUAUAACACCAAAAGGAACGGCUUUUUAUUCCUCACUUGGAAUAAGUCAACCUAAAAUCUUCCUGAAAACACUCUGGUCAAAUCUCAAGACAACCUGUUGAAGUCGCUCAGUAACUUUCCUUCUUUCUUCCGUCCAAGAGACGAGGGAACACGUAAAUCACUGAAAUUGGGAGCAAUUACGUGGACUCCUUUCACUGAACAGAAAUUAAGAAUGAAAUUGCAGCAAUUAUACGAAAAUGAAGCAAAAACUACAGGGCCAGACUAAAAUCAUUACGCCACACAGUAAUUUCACUUAAUGAACAGCCAGCAAGAAAGGAAGAACAAUCAAGAAUGUGAAAAACCGAAACCUAACACAUUUAAUGGAGUCCACUAAGUUUGUUAUUAGUUUCAAGAUUUACUAGUAAAUGUUAACGAGAAAUUAAACAGUCGUUGAGUAGACAAAAAAUCAAACACCUGGCAUGCAACUAUCAACGGAAUCAUAAAUGACAAAUCCUAACAUGGAAAAUUCAAGAUAAUCAAACUUCUCUUAGCAUGCAUACGCGUGUGCUCACAUUCGAUUUAUACACAGAUAAACGCACACAGGGAGGAGAGAAAAUCUACAUUUAGAAGUCAAAGAGCACAAAUAGAAACGGAGUUUUAAUUUUUCAAUUGUAUCGGGUGUCCAAAAUUAAGAAGAAUUUUAAAAGAUUAUAACGCUCUCUUAAUGUUAUAAAAACACUUAAAAUUUCUGAAAUAGAGGCUUUCUAAGAAAUAACAAAAGGAUCAUGCUGCAUGUACAAACUUUUUAUACAAACUCCCUUAUUCACUAAUCACAGUGGGGGUGGGGAUCGCAAAUCGACAUUUUUUAAAUUCAUGUGAAAUCCGUUAAUUUUGUGAGAGCUAGUACAUCAUUUUGUCAACAAGAUUUUGUACAAAUAUCUUUAUCCUACCAAAAAAGGCUCUCUGAGUGUAUUUCCCCAAAUAUGGAAAGAAUGGCAUUUUAGGAUCUUUUCUUACGAUUUUUCUUUUCUUUCUUUCUUUCUUUCCCCAUUCAUUUCUUGAAACUUGGAAUUUUAUGGCAUUUUAGGAUUUUUUUUUACGUUUUUUUUUUUUUUUUUUUUUUUUUUUCCCCUUUUUUUUUUUUUUUUGUUUCACUUUUUCAUCCAAGAUUUAUGGGGACAAAAUUGUCCAAGUACUCGUCAAUUUAUAACCAUUAUUUUUUUCACAUGUUUCAAACACAUACUCUUGCUUAGUUGUUUGAAGUCUAGUGAUACACUCAAUGUGAGAGUGUAAAAAAUUCCAGUUAUCACUUGCCCUUUAACAAUCGGUGCCGAAUACUCAAGUAAUUAACAUAUGCAAGAUUGAAAUACAUUCCAUUAUCUUUGGAACUAUAACUUGCAUGUUGUAACACUCAAAACAAUAAUACAAUCUCGACGUUGUCAUCUAUGACAUUUUUUAUCGAGUGUUGCUCAAAAUACUUAAGAUGCUCUUAUCCCAACUUGACAUCAGAAUCCAAACGCCAAUUGGGCUUCUCCUCCUCUACCAACAUCUCAUUUCCACUUCAACCAUCACCUUUCUCUUCGUCCCUUCAUCAUCCUCUAAAUUUUCCUGCCACCAACGAGGGCUGACCCAAGAUUAUAGUUCACUGGAGACGAGACAAAAUUGUGUAAAAAAUAAUUGUGAAAAUUAUGAUCCAAAAUUAUGGGGAUUUUUUUUUUAAAAUGUCAAAAAUUAAGGGUUCAAUGGUGGCAAUUGCACCCAGUUGGACCCUUAACGGGACCGCCCUGCAUUCCAGGAUUUUUGUGGAACUUCGCUUUUCUUGAACCGAGUUCUUCACUUUGGCGUUAGGUUUUUUCCAUCAAAUUUCCUUAAAAUGGCAGUGUGUACAAAUAGUUAUCUAUUUAUUCCAAUUUCAUGAUAAUAGGAAGGUAUUUUACGAAAAAGGGGUAAAUUUGUCAAAAUACACCAGUCAUUUUUUAAGCAAUUGAUUUAUAUGCAAUAAACUGUUUAGUUAAGCAAAGACAAUAUGACCGAGAUGGGUAACAUGUAAUUAACGUGAAAGUGUUUCAAUUGAUUAUUGACUAAUGUUAAAGCGUCAUAAUUUAUUAUUGAUGAUAUCUACGACCCAAGAUGGGUAAUAUGUUAUAAACAUGAAAGUGCCUUAAUUAAUUAGCGGCAACUAUUAAAAAUUGAUUUUUCAUAACUUUUAGGGUCCGUUUGAUUGUAAGAAUGAAAUUUGGAUGGAAAGAAAAUGAAUUUUAGGCAAUUGAAUUGCUUGAAACUUGUUUUAUCAGGAAUUGUCAAUUAAAUAUGUUUGAUUGGUAUAAUUUUUCACCUUAAAAAUAUUUAAAUUUUGGAUCUUUUGGUGUUCAUUUGGCAUUGUUUUCCAUAAAAAUUGUCAAUUAAAGGGAUAGAAAUUGUUAAAAUUGUAAAUAUAAUUUUUUUUCCAUUGUCGAAAAUUAAAAAAAAAAACUGAAAAACCCAAUUCCCACCCAAACCAUGAUAAUUGGUUUUUCACAAAACCAAGGAAAAUCAUUCACGUGGGGCAGGGCGGGGCGGGCGGGGAGGAAAACGAAUUGUCGGGGAAAUUUUUGCAAUCAAACAACAAAAAAUAUGAAAAAUGAAAAAUUAACCAAAUCAAACAGACUCUUAGUCUAAUUAAUGAAAUAACAAAAAAGUCACAUGGGACCUACCAUACAUCAAGGGCCACAUGGCGGGGCCGUCAUGUGGCCUGGACAAGUAGCUUUUCCAAGUCACAUUAGCUAUAAUUAAUCGACUUUUUACAUUUUUAAUCAAUAUCCGAAGUACCUAAAUAUUCGAAACAUCAAAAAAAAAAAUUGCAUUAAACCAAAGUAUAAUAUUAAAAGGGUCAAAAAGUUAUUAAAAACCACACAUUUUUAGUUCUUACACAAGGUUUCCCCCCAUCACAUCAGGGACUUUAGUGACCUGGCUUUAAUUGCGUGGGCGGAUUCAGUAGUGGGCUGCACUUGGCUGCAGCCCACUGUCUUCCAACCCGGAUACCAAAAAAAGGUUUGAAUUGUAAUUAUUCAGCCACAUUAGCCCACUAACAAAUAAAUUCAGUGGGCUAGCCCACUCUAAAAAAAAAUUAUUUAAUUUGUAGCCCACUAACCUAUAUAAAUUUAGGCCCAAAAUAAUACCCAUUUCAUUAGUAAUUACCGUGUAAUCAAAUAAUUAAUCCCCAAUUCCCAAACAUUUUCCAUUCCCGUCAUUUGCAAAAUCAACUCACAGAAGUCCCAAAAAUAAAAAAUUAAAAUCCCUAUCUUCACUUUGCCAGUUUGCCCCUACCCGUAGCCGCCGGCGUAACGGAAUUGUCAAUUGUCGACUGGCCCAACUCACUUCCGGCCCGUAAGUGACGGACUUGCACAGUCGCACUGAUUCGUCGCCUCAAGCCUGGCUACCGACGACUUGGGUUAGGUUUUAGGGUAAGUAAUUUACUAAUUAGUUUCUUAGAAUUUGAAAAUCUUUCCGGCCCGUUAGUGGCGGACUUGCACAGUUGCACUGAUUCGCCGCCUCAAGCCUGGCUACCGACGACUAGGGUUAGGUUUUAGGGUAAGUAAUUUGCUAAUUAGUUUCUUAGAAUUUGAAAAUCUUUCAAUAUCUUUUCAAUUAAUUAUACUUGGUUUGUUGUAUUGAAAAUCUUUCAAUAUCUUUUCCAUUCCCGUCAUUUGCAGAAGAAAUAAUUAAAUUUGUUCAAGAUGUUGGUCAUUGGAAACUUGGAAUAAUUUAAUUAUACUUGGUAUUUUGGGUUAUUGCCUUAUUGGAUAGUUACUACUUAUUAUGUUUCUUGUUCAAUUGUUUGUCUUUUAAUUAUGUGGGAACAAGAACAGACGAGCAGGGAACUGAAAUUUUACUCACUUGAUGGAAUGAAUGAAUGAUGGUGCUUAUAGUCGAUCAUUUGAGGCUUUCAAGCAGUCGAUAGGAAUAUUUAAGAAGAUGAUUUGAGCAUAUACCUGUGAAGCUGUGACUCCUGAAAUUUCAAGCACAGUUCCACCCUUUAUUUCUUUAUUAUGUAGAGAGACUUCUCUUGACCAUAGUUUUUUGAGUUCUCUGAUUGGCCAUUGCACUAACUGCUUCCCUUUUUUGUCGAGCAAUACGGUUCUUGGAAUUGACUGCCAAAAAUCCAAGUAUCAGGAAAUACAGUCUACAUUCAUAUUUUCAUCAAACUCUUGCCUUGUGAAAUAUUCAUAAAUGGGUGGCCACGAUUUAUAAGAUGUUAAUAUUCGAAAAAAAUCAAGAAGCAAUAAAUUGCCAAAAAUGAGGAGAGCACAGAAAAGAUUAGACAUAGAUUACCUGAACUCCAGACCAUCCUUUCUCGAUAUAAAAUGUUUUGGAAGCAUAGAACAUACCAUAAUCAUAUCUAAGCUGCUUAAUACUAUCCAUGAAAUCAACAUCAACAUUAUAUCUAUCCGUUUUCAAAUCAUAAUUUCCUAUUACAUAGUAGUCAUGAUCACUAAAACUCGCCUUUAUGACAUGUUUAGUUUUUCGACCAUUGAAAGAUGAGUGGAGCCCAGUUCUACGAUGAGUACUAACCGGAUAAUCAAGACACUCCCACAUUCCUGUUUUGAUUGACGAAUGAAGAGGACUUCGACUCUUGUUGAAAUGGAAUGAUUGCCCCCCCCCCCCCCUAAAUUGUACUCACUUGAUGGAUUUUUUUUGUUUAAUUGUAGGUGAAGUAUUUUGAUUCUUUGAAGUACUGUGCUAUUUGUUAAGAAGAGGGUCCAGAGGUUGCUGAACUAGUUGAGAAUGUUUAAGGUUGGUUCUCUGACUUUGGAUAAAAAAAUCUCAUUUCAUAGCAAACGGUAAAUUGGUUUUAUGAUUAUGGUUUUAUAAAUUUAUAUUUAUGCCUUUAUGGGAUAUUGAAGCAUUUUAAUUUUUAUACUUUUAGAUUUAAUAUGGAAGAAGAUCGACCUUCUACCAAGAAAUAACAAAUCUCUGGAUUCUCCAAUUCCUACGGUGCCUAUUCCUCCAAUUUCAUGCCCUGGAGUUGAACGGCCUUCAUCUUCCAAUCUUAAUUUUGAACCAUCUGAUUCUAUUGAAUGGACCCUGAAAAAAGAAAGCAAAUAUAUGAAUAUCCAUUUAAUGAAUACGAUCAAAUUAGGCGGGCCUAUCUAAAUGUUGGACCUUAUCAACCAAAACUUUUGGAGUAUAGAGCAAAGGAUGUAAAAAGCAAAAACGUCGAUUUCAGAAACGUUGGUAUAAUCAAUUUCCUUGGUUGGAAUAUUCGCCUUCCACACAUAAGGCAUAUUAUUUUUACUGCUUCCUUUUUCUCAAUGAUAGUACUCUACCUAAUAUUUCAUCAUUGGUUACUGUUGGAUUUGAUAGUUAGAAGAGGGUUAACCAAGGAAGUAAAUGUGCAUUUCUUAUUCAUGUUGGUACAACAUCGUCAUCAUUUCAUAAUAGAUGUAAGAGAAGAGCUUAAGAUUUAAUGAAACCAACUCAACAUAUUGACAAGGUAAUGCAUUUUGUAUCAAAUGAGGAAAAACAGGAAAAUUGUUUGCGUCUAAAGACCACUAUUAUGAGUGUUAAGUGGUUAGCUCUUCAAGGUUGUUCCUUUAGAGGCCAUGACGAAUCUCCAUCUUCACUGAAUAGUGGGAAUUUUAUUGAAUUAGUGGAUGCAUUUGCAAAAAUCAAUAUUGAAGUAGGAAAAGUUGUGUUGAGUAAUACUCCCAAAAAUACUACAUACACGUCUCCAGACAUUCAAAAAGAAAUUUUGAGCAUUAUAGCCAAUAGAGUGGGACAAGGAAUUCGUACGAAAAUUGGGGAUGCAAAGUUUAGUAUUCUUGUUGAUGAAGCACGAGAUGAAUUUUCACGAGAACAAAUGGCUAUUAUCCUGAGGUUUGUAAACAGUAAUGGAAUUUUGACAAAGUUUUUUUUCUGCAAUUAAAAGUGUCAGUGACACUACCUUAUUAAAUUUUAAGAAUCAGAUUUCUGAUGUUAUUAUUCAUUUCAACCUUCAAGUGCAAAACAUGAAAGGCCAAGGGUAUGAUGGUGCUAAUAAUAUGCGUGGUUCUUGGAAUGGACUACAGGCAUUACUUUUUAAAGAUUGUCCAUAUGCGUUUACAACUCACAUUGGUUUUUGCAGGUAAGGAUGUCUCAGUUAUUAAUUCAUUUUUUUCUCAUUUGGACAAUGUUAUUAAUAUGAUUACAUCAUCUCCUAAGCGCAUCAAUGAGUUGAAAAGUGCCCUAAGAAAAUAAAUUGAGUAUUUGUUAGAAAUUGGAGAACGAGAGUCCAGAAGUUGUGCUAAUCAGAUUGGUAAUUUGCAACGAUCCAAAAGUACUCGUUGGUAUUCUCAUUACAGCUCUGUAAAGAGUUUGAUUGAUAUGUAUACUGCAACUUGCAAGGUGCUUGAGUAUCUUAGUGAUCGUUCUCCAAGUACAAGAUCUCGGUCCGAAAUUGGUGGUGUAUACAAAACCAUAACAACAUUUGAAUUUGUAUUUAUCUUACAUUUAAUGCAUAGAAUAUUAGCAAUUGCGGAUGUUCUUUGUCAGUCCCUUCAAAAGAAAACUCAAGACAUCUUAACUGCUAUGAAAUUUGUCUAUACUACAAAAACUAUCUUUCAAAUAUUGAGAAGAGAUGGCUGGGAAGAAUUUCUUGAAGAGGUGAAAUGUUUUUGCUCCAAAAAUGAUAUACAUGUACCUGACUUUGAUGGCUCGUAUAUGGUUGGUCAUUCUCGUGGUCGUGAGUAUCCUACCACUGAACAUCAUUAUCACUUUGAUAUUUUCAAUGCAGCCAUUGACUUUCAAAUGAUGGAGUUAGAUACAAGAUUUAACGAGACAUCAAUAGAGCUCCUUUCUCUCAGUACAACUUUGGAUUCAAAAAAUUCUUUUGAAUCAUUAAAUAUGGAUAAUAUUUGCAAGCUUGCAGAGAAGUUUUAUCUUGAAGAUUUUAAAUAGUAAGAUAUUUAUUGUUUGAAAGUUGAGUUGCAACAUUAUCAAAAUGAUGUGAUUUCUGAACCUCGAUUUCAAGUACUUACACUUUCUGAUUUAUGUCGGGAAUUGGUUGCAAGUAGAUGGUCGGAGAGUUACGUCAUUUUGACUAAAUUGAUUUGUUUAGUACUGACACUAUCUGUUUUAACGGCGAUUGUGGAGCGAGCAUUUUCAUCAAUGAAACAUGUGAAGACGAAAAUUCGUAACAAAAUGGAUGAUGGUUCUCUUGCUGAUUGUUUAACACUAAACAUUGAACGAGAAUUUAGUAUGAAUUUAGAUCUAGAUUCUAUUAUAGAUGAAUUUUAUGCUGUAAAACAUCGCCGAGUAUAACUUCAACAGGUAAUUUAUAUUUUAAAUUUUUCUUAUUAUAUAUAAAUUUUAUUCGUACAUUAAAUUUUUUAAAUUUUUAGCCUAUCGUAACAGUAAUUCUUGACUCUGCCCUUAUUUAAUUGGCUUUCGAGCUCUUUUCCUCCUACUCUCAUCACCCUCCUUGUCUUCCUCAUACUCGAUCUCGAAUUUCUCUUUGUCAAUUUCAGAGAAUGUGGAUGAUAUCGUUUCACAUUCUUGCUCUACUAGAGUACUACUACUAACUCGAUUGUUCUCGCCUCUUUUCUUGCCCCAACGCGGUCCAAAACCUGAAUAGUAGUAAAAUUCAUUCGAAUUUGACGUUGAAGCUGCCUUCUCGCCCAGUGGCUUGAGCGGAGAGUCAGCCACCACUUUAUCUUGUUUCUUUGCUGCUGGAAGAGACAAGUUGCAGUUUCGCACUUGAGAUAAGUGGUGCUUGCACAAAGAGUUCCCUUCGGCCGCCUCCCUCUUGCAUUUCCAUGCUUUCCCAUCAGUCUUGACACAAUAUACAAUCUGCAUUUCCUUCUUUAACCCGGGAUUCUCAGGCCCUUCCUCCGAGUCCUCAUGGGCAGAGCUUCUCAGAUUGCCGCCAUCGCCUUCGCCAUUGGAAUUAUCCCAUUUUACAGCUUUGAUCUCUCCAGUCAGUUCAUUCUCCGCGGCAAUUUUCAGUGAUGCAGCACUAUUGAUAAUAAUCCAAAUAAACAUUUGACUCCAAAUUUUAAAAAAUCAAUAAUGCUGAUUGAAGAACCCUAAUUAUUUUCAGCGUCAAUAAAGAGCUGGAAAUUGUAAGAUAAUCCGAAUUAAACACAAAAUAAAAGGAUCACCUAUGAAAAGCUGCAUUAGGUUCUCCCAAGCUUCCAUUUCCCGCUAAAUUAUCAGUUCCAUUGACCUGCAUAGAAAUUAUUCUACGUCGAAAAAAUAGUAACAAGCAAGCUAUAAUAAACAAAUACAGUGAAAAUACACAAAAGAAUUCAAAUUCCGAAGACCAAAUACACGACAAAAACCCUUUCAUUCAUAUUUUUUAAUGAACCCGACUGGUGGGGUUUUCAGAAAACCCUAGAAGAAAAAAGAAUAAAAGCAAAAACGAAAGUAAAUUUGACAAGAAUAAAAAUGGUUUCCAACAGAUCUGUAUACAGAAUUAAAGUCCUGUCAUUACAGAUAAAACUUCACUAACCUUGAACGACGGUGGAGGAGGUGGUGGCGGAGGAUAUGAUGAUGGAGAAAAGCUCAUCACGUCCCAAGGGGAUUGAUUCAAUUUGCAAAUAUGGGUUUGAAGAACAUUUCCAGAUUUCAGUGAAGAAGCUGCAUACAUCAAUGGACAAAUUUUAGCGUUCUUCCGUAUUCUCAUGGUGGUUCGGUGGCCUUCUGGGGGAGUUUUUUGGUGGAUGGUCGGGGCAGAAACUCACAAGGGCGGAGAGGCUCUGUGAGAGUGGGCAAAGGGUAUUCUUUUUAUAUUUUUUUCUCUCUCUCUCUCUGAAUGUGUGUGUAUAUUCUCAGUUGUAUGUAUAUUAUAUAUUUAUUGCUUACAGAACAGUACAUAUCUUCAGACAACCACUUAUGGCCCACAGGGUAAUAGUGUUAAAGAGUGUGUUCUGUAAACCCACUCUAGUUAAUUUUAAAGUCCCAAAUUUUAUAGUGUUAAGUUAAUGAAAAAAAAUCUACAGAUGUAUUUAUAGUGUUAGCCGUGAAAUCCUGAAUUUUAUGUGUGGAAAUUACAGAGAUGGAGCGUUUACAAAAGCUCAAUUCAUAAUUAAGAGUUACAGGCUUUUUUUUUCAAAAAUCAUAUUAUAAUUUAAAUAUUAAAUAUUAAUAAUAUUAUUAUUAAAUUAAAUUAAUUUAUCAACUCAACUCUACUCUACCCUACCCAUCCUACCUCAACUCUCACUUCCACAAAACCUAACUUACAGUUUCAAAAGCUAUUCAGUAUUCAUUUCUACUUCAACUCCAUGGCGCAACCACUCCCAAGAUGCUUCACCCUAGCAACUCUCAUUACACUACCGAGAGACCACCACAACGGCAUCAUCGUCGCAUUGCGCUGAGGUGGCGUCACUCUUCCCUAUCGACGAUGUCAUCAUAGCAACGAUGAGUUAUCCUUCUCUCUACCUUUUCUUCACUCGCAGCAAUCUCUCUUUCCCCCGAUUUUUACAGCAGCCACGAGUACCGCAACAACAACACCGUGCUACUGUUCACAACAGCAUUGCCCUGCCAUUCACAAUAGUUCCAAGCGGUUUCAAGGGCGUUGCCGUUAGAGACGCUGAUUUUACAGCAACGGUUCCAGACGGUGCACCUUUUCAGCGAGACACCAUUGCCGCGAGACAGCACAGCGUCAUUUUGAAAAUGGAAGUAAUGCUUUCAGAUCCAACGACACUGAUUUGAACAUCGUAGCGGGGUUUAAAGCGCCGCUGUAGGGUACUGAUCUGCACACCUCUGUGUAGUGUUUGUCGCAACGAUCUCCGUGGUUUUGGGGUUGAUCGAUCUGAAAAUAGAAGCGAGGCUGAUUUGAGUGUCGCAGCAGCAUCUACAACACCACUAUGAGGCCCUGAUCUGUGCGGUGUUUACCAAGGUGGUGAUGGUUGCGGUGGUGGUGGUGGUUAAAGCUAUGGCGGUGGUGUCGAUGACGACGGUGCUGGAGAUGUCAGGGAUGCUAGUGUAGUCAUGGUGAUGCUGAUGGCGAGGACAAUCGUGGCGAGUGAAGGUGUUUGUAACCAACCAAUAAAUUGGUUAAUUUUUUUAUCAAUAAAUCAUAUCUAAUCUAAAAAUGUGAUCGUGACUCACAAUUUAUUAUGUUGUGACAGAGAUAUAACUUGUGACCAAUUAAUUUGAUAAUGAUCAUAAAGUAAACUGUUACUUAUAAAAUUUGUGAUUUGUAACCAAUAAUAAUAUAUAACCAAUAACUUGUGACCAAUAAUAAUAUGUGACUUAUAAAUUUGAAUCUUGACUUAUAAAUUUUGUGUUUUUUGACAUAUAAAUUUUUUUAUUUGUGAUCGAUGAAUUAUAAAAAAAAAUUUAUUUAUAACCGUGAAAUAAUUUGUGGCCUAUAAAAAUUUUUAUUCGUAAUCGAGAAAUAAUAUAUAUAUAUAAUUAUUUCAUAAAUAAAAAUAUAAUUAAUAUCUAAUUUUUGAAGUUUAAACCAUGUUUCUUAGUUUUGAUAUGAGUCAUACUUGAUUUCUUAUAAUGAAAUUUUUCCAUUUUAUAUUCUUAAAUUGAUUGGUGUAGUCCAUUAAGAAACAAGCAAUGGAGGCUUAGACCAUUUAAAAUGAUGAAAGCCCAUAAUAUAAGUUAUUUAAGGCUCUGUUUGAGCCAUAUUCUUCAAAAAAAAUCUUAAACGGUAAUUUUAUAUCAUCUUACUUACACAUUCUUUAAUAAAAUAAUAUUACACGUAAAUUCAAAAGUUUUCCUUAUUUUUUAACAACACAUUCUAUAUCAAUCUGCUAUUCCAAAAUACAUUUUUUUAAAAUAAUGUGACUCAAACACAAUUGAAUGCCCAAAGAUUUAAGACAUUACAUUUAAAUAAAUUUGAUUACAAGAAUUUAACGAAAAACUAGGUUGCCACAGUGGUUAUCUAUUUCACAUACGAAACCCAAGUUUGAAUCACCAUGCAAAUAUUUUUAUAAAAUAUAAAAUAUUUUGAGUCAAAACUCCUCAUUUUAUACAUUAAGGAUAACUAUAUCAAAUUAAGUGGAUUGAAUAAUUAUUCUUGUUAGUGGACAUUCAUAGAGACAGGUUACAAAUAACAUAAAUAAUUCAUUUUCAUCAAUUUUUCAUCAUGUAAUGUUUUCUAAAAAAAAAUUAUAAGAAUUAUUUUUUUAUAAGCUUAAAACUCUUUAAAUUCUUACUUAAAGACUCAAUUUAACAAGAUUAAUGAUGGUAGUACUCUUCUAUUUAGUUUUUCACUAAAAAGGGAAGUUACAAGAAGAAGAAUGCCACUUUUUUAUCGUACCUCUUCUCAAAUCUGAAUUUGCCUUUAUUUUUCUUUCAAGAAUUUCUUUUUAGUUAAGUUAAGCUCAAAAAGAAUUGCAAGGGUGUGAAAGAAAAAUACUUCAACACAUUUUGUUCCUUUGUAUGUGUAUGUGUGUGUGAGAUCAGAAGGGUACACCAAGUGAUAUAAGUCCUAUUGAGUUUAAAGCUCACACCUUCUAUAUUGAAAACUUUUUCAGAAAUAAGGAUGGCCAAGAAAGUGGAUUGCAAAAGAUCCAAAUGAAGAAUGUGCUUCAUUUGUGUAAGUAGUUAUAUUUGAAGAAUUUAUAAUUCUUACUAGUUAUGCAACUUAUGUUUGAUUUUUAAAAGAUGUUAGUUUAUCUUUACUUUUUUUAAGACUUCUUAGUUCUUUUUUCUUGAUGUGACUGUUGAAAUUUUAAUCAGUUUAAAUAUGCAUGUAAUUAAAGUUGCUAAAGAAGUUAAGAUUAAACCUUAACUUGUAAAAAAUAAAUAUCAGCUUACUCCAUGAAUUUUAUUGAUGUCAUCUCGUAUAGAAUUAUUUGAGUUUUUUGACAAAACUAAUGUGGUUUGACCGCCCUAUGAGUCCUCUCUCUGUUGGUUUUGGAAUCAAGUCAAUUGAAAGUCGAUGAGAUAAGAUAUGCCCUUUUCCAUGUAUCGUGUUCGUGUACCAGAGAACAAUUUUUUUUUUCAUAUGUUUGAUUGUCCAUUUGAGUGCCUAAAUGAUGUUAGAAAAUUUUGAAAUUUUACUAUGUUGUGCUUGAAUGAGUUUAGAAUAUACUGUAAAAUUAGAGAAAUUGGAUAAGGAUUUGAAUUCUCCUUGGUUCUCUACAUCAUCAAUCACCCACAUCCUCAACCCAGGUAUGAAAAUUUUAUUGAACAUUUUCAUGAAAUUUUAAAGUUAUGUUUUCAUAAAUUUUUAUUUUUAGUUGUGAAAAAAUAUGUAUAUUGGACUAUGAUAACAAUGGGUGAUAAAUGGCUAGAAGAAGAAGAUGCAACUUAGUCAGCAUCUUAGAAAUGGCGAUUAGAACGUAUUUGGAUUUUGAAGUUGAGGAUUCCUUAGAUCUGGUGGAUCACGUACAUAGUGUUAAUGAGCAUUAGGUAGCAACUAAGAAUGCACGCUAUCAGAUUAGCAAUCAACAAGCCAUUCGGCUUCUCUUGAAUACAUUAGCAACUCAUGAAGAGUGUAUUGGCAAGCUUUUAUUUAAAGAAAUGGGUUCAGUAAUUCCAUUGAGGAAUCCUCAUACCAUAGGUAUAAAGAUUUUUGUAAUGCUCUUUUAGAUUAUUGAGAGACCUACCUCGGGAAAGUAACCUUACAUUUUAGUUUAGAUUCAAGAGUGAUGAUAGACGAUGAUGUAAUUCAACCAUUAAGGAUUAUAAGGUAAAUCAACCAAUCGGGGAUCAUCAAGGAAAUGGUAGAAGAGGACCCCGAAGAGUAUCCAGUUGAAGAUUGAGAAAGGGAUGUAGAAGUCUUAUAGAUAGGCAAAUAAAAUAAAUAAAUAAAAAUAAUAUCAAUCAUUAUAGUUUUCUUUGCAAUUUCAAUUAAGUCCAGUGACAUGUAAACUUUAAGUUUAGGCGUUUUAGAUUAUAAAUGGAUUUGUGCACUUAAAAAAAAAAAAAAAUCAUUCUUGAGUUGGCAGCAUGCAUGUCUAAAGGAUGAAAAGCUUAUUUUCGUGUUUAAAAGAAAUGGCACAACCAAACCAGAAUGAUUUGAUAAGAGAUUUGUUGUAAGCGGUGCAAGGGCUUGGAAGGCAAGCCCUGCAAGCAAACCAUUUAGUUGCCCAACUCAAACAUUGAUUUUGGAAAUUUUCAGAAGCAUAGUGAUCCGUUAACAGCCGAGGAAUGGCUACGGAAGUUGGGACAAUUUUUCUAGCUUAUAGAUGACAAUGAUACACAAAAGUACGGUGCACGGAGUUUAUAUUCACUGAAGCAGCAAAUCAUUGGUGGGAGUCAAUGUUUCGAACUAGGACCAAAGCUAAGCAAGAGGCUUUGACUUGGAAUCAAUUUGAAGAAAUUACUAGAAGUUCUUUUCCCGAGCAUUAAGGGACUUUAAAGAACAGAUUUCUUACAGCUAAGGCAAGGAAGCAUGACUCUGGCUGAUUGUAAGAAAAAGUUCGACCAGGUAACUAAGUAUGCUCUACAUUUGGUGACUACUGAAUUUAGAUAAAUAAAGGGAUUUUAGCAAAGGCUUCAUCAGGACAUUCACAAAAUCCUCAUGUCUCACCGUUUUACUACCUAUAGCAAAAUGUUGGAAAGAGCUCAUGCUUUCUGGUAUCAAACGGCUAGUACUAAAAAGUAUGGAAUAAAGACAAGUUCAGACUAUCAUGGUAAAGGCUGCUAACAAAAUAAGUUUGUGGCUAGUAAAAGGAAGUGGAACAACUAGGAUAAGAGAAAGAAAAAUGGCAGAAUAAGAAUGUGACGACCCAACCUCUGUACACAAGUCAUCAGCUUACAUACUGUCCGCUCUAGGAGAGUUAAAGCCCAUCUUAUCCCUCAAUAAUUUCUUUAGCGUCUCAAAGAUUUGAACACAUGACCUUCCUUUAAGAGAGACUUAAAUUAUGAGACCUCCUAGGGGACACGACAACUUUGGUGGCUAUGGCUUCAGGGGCAAGAGAAAUGGUGGUGGUUGUGGCAGUUGCUUCGAUGGCGGCAGCUUCUACCCUAGUCACGACGAAGGUCCACUUGAUGAAGUCAUUGAGGUUUCAUCAUUUGCUCAUGCUUAUGAGGCAGAUGUUGUAACAAAGCUCACAAGUAAAAAAUUACCAUACUUUGACGCACCAAUUUACCUUCAAAACAAGACACAGAACGAUAAAGUUGAUGAAAUAUUUGGCCUCAUUAAUGAAUCUAAUUUGUGAUUAAAAUGAUGGAAUAAAUUGUGGCCAUGUCGUAUUCAGCAGGCGAGAAGUUCUACAUUGACCCGACUAAGUUUUUGCUGCUUUCAAGAUUUCUUCCACAGCCAAAAGGACAAGCGCAAACUGGUGGUAGAGGGGGAGAAAAAAGGUGGUGAGAGAGGUGGACGUGGCGGUGGCUACUUUCACGGAAGGGGUGCUCCAAGGAGAAGAGAUGGUUCUCGAGGCGGUGGUCGUGGUGGAGGUUUCAGGGGUAGAGGGAGAUCAUAGAAUGACUGUAUUUGUGCUUUUCUUCUUUUAGUUGUCAAUCCAAGGUGCUUCCCAAUCAAACAGAACAAAAAAAAUGACGAAUUUUUGUCUUAAUGUAAUUUUGUUAUUUUCAAUUGGGCUGCUGUAAAAUUAUAUUACUCUAGUUCGGAUUUUAUUGCAUUAUUAUAUACUUUUGUUAAAUUUAAAAAUAAUAAUAAUGAUAACUUAAAUUGAAUCCUAGCACUGAUUGGACAAAACCACGUAAAAGUAGUUUAGGAUAAACAAAAGAGUUAUGCAGACAAUCAAAGAAAACAAUUGAAAUUUGAAGUUAGUGAAAAUGUCUUUGUGAAAGUGACACCUAUGAAGGAUGUAUUAAGAUAUGGUAAGAAGGCAAGUUGAGACCGUAAUAUAUGGUACCUUUCAAAAUUCUUGAUAAGGUUGAUAACGUAGCGUAUCUGUUACCUCUACCUUCCGAACUAUCUAUUGUACAUAAUGUAUUUCACAUGUCUAUGAUAAGAAAAUAUGUGCAGGAUCCAAGUCACAUGGUAAAUUAUUAAAUAUUAGAUGUUCAAAAAGAUCGAUUUUACGAAGAAGUUCGAAUUGCUGUUUUGGAUAGAAAGGUACAACAAUUAAGGCCUAAAAAAAUUCUAUUGGUCAAGGUUCAAUGAUGACAUCACGGGAUAGAGGUGGUUACUUGGGAAACGGAAGUAAAAAUUAAAGCCAAGUAUUUGACAUUGUUUGUUUAAUUUAAGUAACUUAAAGGACGAAAUUUUUUAAGGUGUAAAUGAUGUAAAUCUCGAAUUUUAUAUUCUUAAACUGGUUGAUGUGAUUUAUUUAAGAAACGAGCUACGGUGGUUUGACCCAUUUAACGUAAUGAAAGCCUAAGACAUAAGUUAGUUAAGACUCCAAAGAUUUAAGACAUUCAGUUUAAAUAAAUUAGAUUACAAAAGUUAAAUGAAUAAUUGGAUUGUCACAAUGGUCAUCGGUACGAUAUUGCUCAUAGGAAACUUAGGUUUGAAUCACCAUAUAAAUGUUUUUAUAAAUAUUUUGGAGUUAAAAACUCCUCAUUCUACACAUUAAGAAUAAUUAUAUCAAAUUAAUUGGUUGGACUAAGUGUUUUUGUUAGUGGGCAUUAAUAGAGAUAGGUUAUAAAUCAUAUAAAUUAUUCAUUUUCCUCCAUUUUUUAUCAUAUAAAUGUUUUAUUAAAAAAACUAUAAGAAUGAAUUUUGUGUGAGCUUAAUACUCAUUAAAUUUCAGCUUAAUACUCAUUAAAUUUCUACUUAAAGACUCAACCACUGUAUGACAAUAAUUAUUUUGAGAAAAUUGAGUUUUGAAUAGUAAGUUUUUGGAUAAUAAGUGAUUAAAAAGCAGGAAAAAAAUUUGAUUUACAUGAAAAAUAUUUUAUUAUAUAAAUGUGUAAUUGAAAACGAGUAUGAGAAUUAAAGAAUUUGAAGUAAUGGUUGUCAAACAAGGUCUCAAUUUAACCAUGUUAAUGAUGAUAUAACUCUCCCAUUUAGUUUUUCACUAAAAGGGAUGUUACAAGAAGAAGAAUGUCAUUUUUUUAUCCUGCAUCUCCUCAAAUCCGAAUUUGUCUUUAUUUUAGUUAAGUUAAUCUCUAAUGAACAAUAAAGGUGUGAAAGAGAAAUGCUUUUAGACAUUUUAUUCCUUCAUAUUUCAAGAAAUUCAAAUUAGGUGGUGCUAAGUAUCUACCCAUUUUGUCCAUUAUACUCUCACACACACUAGUAAUGUAUAUUAGAAUUUUUGAAGUUAUGAACAAAGAAGUUUAUAUAUGGCCAUAACUGAUUUCCACAAACCAAAGGAAUUCUUUGGAAUCAUGAAUUUGCCUACAUUCAUCUACAUGAAAUGUUAAAUUCUUUUCUAUCACUUUAUAUAUGUAUCUUCGUGUGUGCAUGCGUGUGUGUAAUCUAAAGGGUUCUACUGAGCUUAUAGUCCACACCUUCUAUGUUGAAAAAUUUUUAAGAUUAAAUGAUGGUUGAGGAAGUGGGAUUCACGUAGAUUGUGGAGGAUCUGAUGGAGAAAUGUGCUUCAUUUGCAUAAUUAAGCAAAUUUGAAAAAUUUGUAGUUCAAACUAGUUAUACAACUUAUAUUUAAUUUCUAAAAGAUGGUAGUUUAUAUUUACCUUUUUAAAAGACUUCUUAGUUCUUUUUCUUGAUGUAAACACUAAAAUUUUAAUUGGUUUAAGUAUGUAUACAAUUAGAGUUGCUAAAGAAGUUAAGAUUAAACCUUAGACAUUUAAACAAUAAAUUGCAUGAAAUUUGUCGCACCGUCUUGGACAAAACUUUUUGAGUUUUUGGACAAAACUAGUAGGAUUUGAAAGCCCUAUAAAUCCUUUGUAUGUUGGCUUUAGAAUCAAGUCAAUUGAAGGUCGAUAGGGCAAGUUAUGUCCCUUUUCUAAUUGUGUUGUGUUUAGUGUACCCGAAAAUAGUUUUUCAUAUGUUUGAGGGCUUAAACGAUGUUAGAAAAUUUUAAAAUUUUACUAUGCUAUACUUGAAUGAGUUUUUAAAAAUAUUGUAAAGAUUUCAUAGAAUUAUGAAUUUGAAAAAUGCAACCAAGCUUGAUCAUUGGGUAGCGCAUUGCUCGAUUUAACUCCGCUAAUAUACACUAACCUUCAUUUUAGUGCUCCGUUUUAAUUUCAUUAUUUAAAAAUCAAAGUUAUCUACCUUAAAUCAUUUGUUUCCAAUAAUUUUCGAAACUUGUAAUAAAACAUAAUGGUAAACUACAAAAUAAAAAGGAAAUUAAUAAAAAUUUUAGUGGAUUACACGUAUCUAUUCACCAACGGCGUGGAUCACCUUUUAAGAGAGUACUGUGCGGUAUUCAUGUUAUGUUUAAAUUACAAUCUAAAAAUAAAUUAACAAACAAAUUCGACAAGAGAAAUUGUGUUUUAAGAGACUUCUAACUUUUCUUUUCUUUUCUUUUUUAAUUGUACAUUCUCUUAAAAAUUACGUUUUACAAAAUUUACUCAAAAGAAUUUAUAUCAAAUGAAUCCUAUGUAAAAGGUAGAAGUUAAUGAAAAUAUAUAUAUGCAGAUGUGUUAAAUAGAAUCUCGUAAUCUUUAAUCCACUCUUAAAUUAUGAAAAUAUUUAGUGGAUUACAUGUAUCUAUUGAUCAACGGCAUCGAUCAUCUUUUAAGAGAGUAACGUGCAAUAUCCGUGUUAUGUCUAUUUUACCUUCUAUUAUGACUAGCCUUUGCCCGUGCAAUGUAAGGGUUGGAUUAUUUUGAACGUAAUGCUAGUAUGUUAAAUAUAUUCGGUUAUAGUGUGUCACUUUCGUCAUUUACAUUGAUAGAUGAUAAAAGAAUCAUUUAUCAUACUCUAUUAACAUAUAUAGAUUUCUUUAUAAUUAGAAUUGAUAAUAUGUAAUUGUCUAGCUAUUUAGAAAUCAAAUGUAUAAAUAUCAAACCAUGAGCAUUUAUGGUAUGGAAUUCAAUUCUUUCUUCCACGUUGACUUUUUCUCUGGAUACAAAGGCUCCAGUUUCAAAUGCUAGCCGAACAUCUAAGCUACAUGACAAAAGUUAAUGAGAUUUGUUUUUUUUUUUUUUAAGUAUGAAGGACUCUUUUAAAAUGUUAGUUGGGUUACAAUAUUUGAAAUAGUAGCAUAAAUAUUUGUCAUGGCAUUUGAAAUAGUCACUAAAGUUUUGUUAUAUGGCAUUCAAAAUAGUCAUUGCCACUCAAAUAUGAAGAAAAACUAACAGACCAAGUCAAGAUACUUAGCAAACACCAAACAUGAUAUCUCUACGCACAAGAUAUUAAGACUAAUAACCCAACAGAUUUUUAACUAUCCUCCUAACUAUAGAUGUUAAACUGCAAGAUUUUACUUAGUCAAUUCACCAGAUAGAAAAUAAUUAAAUUAAUAUCAUUUGGUACACAAGCAAAUUUCAAUUUAUAAGUUAUCUUAGAAACUUCCAACAAAGGUUUACUUACAUGGUGAAAGAGCAAGAGAGGUAAAAUAUUGCAUUCUUCUGGUCACGCUUUAUAAGACACUGAUAUGAACAUUCUCGAGGCCCUGGCUGCAAAAUAAAAGAAAGUUAAAGCAUCAGUUAGCAUAAUUUCUAAAGUUCUUAGUUCGGCAUAGAUAAGGUUUAAAGAAUCACGCAUUGUUAAACAAUAAUAAACACGCUGAAUGCAAAUAACAUAGAAAACUAAAAAAACAAUCAGUAACCACCAAAUCUUUUUUGCCCAAAUCGCAUAUCCAAUGCUUUCAGUUAAUCAACUAAUGCAGAUUGUCUUCUCACUUCAUACUGUAGUUUCCUUCUCAAGAUCUCUCCUUCGACCCUCUGAGUUUCAAUAUCUCAGAUUAUAAGAAUCAGUGUGGUAGGGUUUUCUUUUUUCAUAGAGAAAUGAAAGCGAGAGAGAGCAAAACCCACUUUUAAGUGACAUUUUGUGAACCGGUUAAUGAAUAGUACAAACCAAACAAGUGUGAAAACUCAAGUGACAAGAAGAAUAGUGACCCCAACCCCAUCUUUUAAGAGUUUUUUAUUUUUAUUUUUAUUUUUAUUUUUAAAUUAAAUAUUAUAUUAUCUAGAAUGUAAAAAAUUGCUUAUAAGUAAAAUAACACUUCGAGUUAUUUAAAAGUAAUAAAAAAAUUUAUAAUUGUAAAAGCUACUUUUAUAUAUAUAUAUAUUCAUCAUUCUCUUAUAAUUGCAAAAGCAACUUAUAAGUACAAAUAUAUUAACUUAACAUGUUUUAAGUAUAAAUAUUUAGAUAUAUUUAAUUUAUUAAAUUAAAUAUUAAUAAAAAAAAUUACACUAUCUAGAAUGUAAAAAGUUACAUAUAAAUAAAUAAAUAAUCAUUUCAAGUUAUUUAAAAGUAAUAAAAAAUUAUAAUGAUAAAAACUACUUAUAGAUUUAAAAAAUAUUAAUUUCAACAUUUUUAAGUAAAAAUUUAGAUAUAUUUAAUUUUUUAAAUUAAAUAUUAAUAAAAAUUUACUAUAAAAAAAAAAAAAACAUAACACUCCGUGCAUGGAGUGGUUAUGCCGCAUGGAGUGUUAAAAUGUUUGUUUUUUUUAAGUAAUUUUUUAAUAAUAUUUAAUUUAAAAAAUAAAUAUAUCUAAUAUUUACUUAAAAUGUUGAAGUUUAUAUUUUUUUUAUCUAUAUAAGUAACUUUUACAAUUAUAAAUUUUUCAAUUACUUUUAAAUAACUUGAAGUGAUUUUUUUACUUAUAAGUAACUUUUUACAUUCUAGAUAGUGUAAUCUUUUUAUUACUAUUUAAUUUAAAAAAAUAUAUCUAAAUAUUUAUACUUAAAAAUUUUUAAGUUAACAUUUUUUUAUUUUUAAGUUGUUUUUGCAAUUAUAAGAAAACAAGGGAUUUGUAUUUUUUUACCUAUAAAUAGCUUUUAUAAUUAUAAGUUUUUUUUUUACUUUUAAAUAACUUGAAGUGUUUUUUUUUUUUUUUUACAUAUAAGUAAUUUUUUACAUUCGAGAUAGUAUAAUCUUUUUAUUAAUAUUUAAUUUGAAAACUAAAUAUAUCUAAAUAUUUAUACUUAAAAAAUUCUAAGUUAAUAUUUUUUUUAGUUAUAAGUGGCUUUUACAAUUAUAAGUUCAUUUUACUUUUAAAUAAUUUGAAGUGAUUUUUAGUUAUAAGUAACUUUUUACAUUUUAGAAAUAAAGAAUAACUUUUAUGUAAAAAAUUAAUUAAAAUUGUUAUUACUAAUAAAAUUAUAUGAUAUGGUCACUAGUUGAUUGCGUGAAAAAAAAAAAGAGAAGAAAUAGUUUGUUAGAUUCAAAGCAGGUAUACUGCGAGUAAAAUAAAAAAUGACGUCGUUUCUGCUCCACCAAUUAAAAAAAAAGCUAUAGUGUGACAAAAUAUUAUUUAAAAAAAUAUUGCUACUAAUAAAAUUAUAGGAUAUAGUUGAUAGUUGAUAGCGUGAAAAAAUAGAGAAAGAGUAUUGUGUGUCAAAUUCAAAGGACCAAACCAGUUCAAUGUGAAAACCAAUGUGACAAAAAUGAAAUGCUAAAAAGAUCACUUCAAGUUAUUUAAAAGUGAAAUGAACUUAUAAUUGUAAAAGUUACUUAUAAGUAAAAAAUAUUAACUUAAAAUUUUUUAAGUAUAAAUAUUUAGAUAUAUUUAGUUUUUAAAUUAAAUAUUAAUAAAAAUUUUACACUAUCUAGAAUGUAAAAGUUACUUAUAAGUAAAAAAGCACUUCAACUUAUUUAAAAAUAAUAAAAAAAACUUAUAAUCUUAAAAACUACUUGUAUAUAGGUAAAAAAAUAUUAAUCCCUCAUUUUCUUAUAAUUGCAAAAGCUACUUAUAAGUAUUAAUAAAAAGAUUACACUAUCUAAAAUGUAAAAAGUUACUUAUAAGUAAAAAAAUCACUUUAAAUCAUUUAAAAGUAAUAAAAAAAACUUAUAAUUGUAAAGGAUAAUUAUAGGUUAAAAAAAUCAUCAUUUUAAGUAAAUAUUUAAAUAUAUUUAAUUUUUUAAAAAAAUAAAAAAAUUACUUUAAAUAAAAUUUAAAAAAAUAAUAUGUGGAGUAGAAACACUUCGUGCACGGAGUGGAAAUUCUCACUCCAUGCAUAAAAGUGAGAAACACUGCGCGGAGUGUUUUUCACUCCACAUAUGUUUUGGUUUUUUUUUUUUUUUAAAUAUAUAAAAGUGAUUCCUUAUUUCUAAAAUAUAAAAAGUUACUUUUAACUAAAAAAAUUACUUCAAGUUAUUUAAAGGUAAAACGAACUUAUAAUUGUAAAAGCUACUUAUAAGUAAAAAAAAUAUUAAAUUAAAAUUUUCGAAGUAUAAAUAUUUAGAUAUAUUUAAUUUUUUAAAUUAAAUAUUAAAAAAAAGAUUACACUAUCUAGAAUGUAAAAAGUUACUUAUAAAUAAAAAAAUCACUUCAACUUAUUUAAAAGUAAUAGAAAAAUUGAUAAUUGUAAAAGCUACUUAUAGGUCAAAAAAUAUUAAUUUGUCCUUCUCUUAUAAUUGCAAAAACUACUUAUAAGUAAAAAAAUAUUAACUUAAAAUAUUAUAAGUAUAAAUAUUUAAAUAUAUUUAUUUUUUUAAAUUAAAUAUUAAUAAAAAGAUUACACUAUCUAGAAUAUAAAAAGUUACUUAUAAGUAAAAAAAAUCAUUUCAAAUUAUUUAAAAGUAAAGAAAAAAUUUAGGAUUGUAAAAUCUACUUAUAGGUAAAAUAUAUAUAUAUAUAUAUAUAUAUCAACUUAAACAUUUUUAAUUAAAUAUUUAGACGUGUAAUUUUUUUAAAUUAAAUAUUAAUAAAAAAAUUUACUACAAAUAAAAGUUAAAAAAAGAAAAAAUAUGUGCAUUACUCCGUGAACGAAGCAUUGUUAGCUCCAUGCACGAAGCAUUGCUUAAAGGUUGGUUGAUUUUUCUUUUUCUUUUUCUUUUUUUUUUUAUAUUUUUGCUUUCAUUUUUGGGCUUAUUAUGGGAUAUCAAAUGAAGUCGAAAUAUUAUAUUCUUGAUAUCAUUUUGAAGUACUCACGGCAUAGUAUUACACGUCAUUAACGGUGCGCGAAACGGCCAAUCGUAGCAAAUGUUACGAGACGUCAAAAUAGGUAUUUCCAAACUAUCAUUUCGAGAAUUUCGAUAACAAGUUAAUUUUAAAAAUUCAUCGAUGAUUGUACGGUAGUCGAAUGAAUAAAUCUUCUAUAUUCUUUCGAAGCUCAUUUGGAGAACUAUAUCAUAGAUGUAUCGAAUGAUUUAUAUGAAUAUCGAAAAUAGUUAAAUGUGUAUGUUAAAAAAUGAGCAUAACUAGUCUUUUUCUUAAGAAAAUUAAUUAUUUUAUUAAUGUUUAUUAUUUUUUCUCGACAAUUUUCUCAAAAAGUUACUUCAAUUUAUUUAAAAGUAAAAAAAAAAAACUUCUAAUUAUAUAAGCUACUUAUAAGUAAAAAAUAUUAAAUUAAAUUUUUAAGUAGAUAUGUAGAUAUAUUUAAUUGUUAAAAUAUAUUUUACACUAACACAUUUAUCUAAAUGAAAUUUGCUGAAAAAAUAAAAUAAAUUAAAAAUAAAAAAAUUUAUCUCUCCAAAACAUUGCUCCGUGCACGGAGAACAAUAAAUCUCACAUUCUCUCUUUUAAGAUAAGGAAGGAAUUUUUUAAAAUUAAAUAUUUAUUAAUAAAAAAAUUUUAAAAAAUUAUCACCACUCCGUGCACGGAGUGGAAUCACUUCAUCCAUGGAGUGUUAUCACUCUAUGUGAAAGAAGAAUUUUCUCCUUUUGAAAGUAGAGAUUCUCUCCGUGGAUGGAGAGAUUUUCUUGGUCCAUGGAGAGAUUUUUUGUUUUUUUUAUAUUAAUUUUUUUUCAAUUUUAAUUAAUUAAAUAAUAUUUAUGUAUUAUUUAUUUAAUUUUUAUAACUUUCUUCUAUUUUAUUUGCUUAAUAAAAUAAUCUUCAUACAUUUCUUAUGAUAUAAAGACAUUCAUUAAAUUUGAAUUAAAUAAUAUUUAUUUUUUUCUUUAAAUCGUUUUAAUUUAAUUUAAAAAUUUAUAAUAAUUUUUUUAUUUUUAUCUGCAAUUUUUUUUAUAUAAUCUUUAUAUUUAAUUUCGUUUCUUUAUUAUAUAAUAUAUGGUAUUGCUUUUAAUCAAGUGAAGUAGUGUGUGAAAAUGAAGAAAUAUUGUAGUGGAUAUGACAUCACAGUGAAACGACGUAUAAAAAUAGUGAAAUGGCGUAUGAAAAUAAUGCUACAGCGCCAUUGAAUAGAAUAAUUUACUGCUGUCAAAUCGACUUCAAACCGUUUCGUAGGAAAAUCUAUGUGACAAAAAUGAACAGUAAACAUCACAUUCUCUCUUUUAAGAUAAGAAGGAAAUUAACAAAUAAAUUGGGUAAGAGAAACUGUGUGUUAAUGGGCUCCUAAAUUUUAUUAUUUUUUUCUUUUUUCAAUUAUACAUUUUCUAAAAAAUUACGUAUUGUGAAAUUUAUUCUUAGAAAAAUAUACAUAAAAUAAAUCAUUUUAAAAAGUUGAAGUUAAUGAAAAAAAUAUACAGAGGUGUUAAAUAGAAUCUCGUAAUCUUUGACCUACUCUAGAAUUACAAUAAUAUUUAUUGGAUUAUGUGUAUCUAUUGAUUAUCGAAGUUUAUCACUUUUUAUGCGGUAUUUUUGCUAUGUCUAAUAUACCUUCUAUAGAUGAAUUAAUUAACAAAUUCAGCAAGAGAAAUUGUGUGUUAAUGGACUCCUAAUAUUUCUUCUUCUUUAAAAAAAAUUAUACAUUCUAUAAAAAAUUACGUUUUAUGUAAUUUAUUCUAAAAUAUUUAGUGAAUUACAUGUAUCUAUUGACCAAUGGCAUAGAUCAUUUUUCGAGGACCGUGCGACACUCAUGUUAUGUUUAAAUUACCUUUUAUAGAUGAAUUAACAAACAAACUUAGCAAAGAGAAAUUGUGCAUUUUUUUGUAUAGACUUGAGAAUCAGGCAGGACUAUUCUCUUACGUACUAUUUGUUUCAGGAGGAUAUCUAACCCUCUUACUCCUCACGACUUUUUGUCGAGUUUUCCAGGACUCAAACCCUUGACUUUUCCCUUAAGAAUGACUUAAGUUGAAUCCUAGUAUCAAUUGAGUCGAUAAGAUGGGCAUUGUCUUUUAAAUGGACAGUAUGUAUGAUAUAACGGUUUAAGCACAGAGAUCAGAUCUUUACAUAUACAUAUGAAAUUUAUUCUAAAAAAAUUUAUAUCAAACAAACCAAUUGUAAAUAGUAGAAUAAAAAAAAAAUAUAUAUAUAUAUAUAUAUAUAUACAGAUGUUUUAAAUAGAAUCUCAUAAUUUUUUACCCACUCCAAAAUUAUGAAAAUAUUUAGUGGAUACAUGCACCUAUUGAUCAAUGGUGCAGGUCACUUUUUAAGAGAGUACCGUGUGGUAUCUAUGUUAUGUGUAAUUUAUUUUCUAUAGAUGAAUUAAUAAACAACCUUCAUAAUAGAAAUUGUGUGUUAAUUAAGAUAAUAUAAUAAGAAAUUGUGUUAGUUUAUACAUUGGUUCUUUAUAAAAUUAAAGAAAUAUUAUGCGGAGUUCAUUUUUCCUAAAUUGAAGUAUUGUUUCAUUAUAAAGGUUCUUUCUCAUUUUCAGUUGUACAAUUUCUUUAGGAUUAUCUUCACAAAAAGGUCGUAAAAAGAGUGGACCUAACCCCAAGGAUUCUACUUUAUGAGGUUUGACAAAAUGUCCCUACCAUAUUUCAAUUUUUAAUAUGAUGUAUAAAGACUGUCAUCACAAAAAGUAUUACACCUUUGAUCUUAAAAUUGAAGUCUAUAAGUAGUGGUCUACAUAGACACGCUUCUGAUCGAGUUCAUAUUUUUUAUCCAAAAACCAUACAACUGCAUCGAGUUUUUGCCACUCUCGGAUCAGUGAAUCCAUCAGGAAGGAUUAAGCCCAAAUCCUACUAACCAUUCCGAUCAAAACAAAACAUAGAACAAAUUCACCAAAAAAUAAAACUUAAAAUGCCAGAGUACAAGUUAAGGACACAACGACACAAGAUAUGGUUACAAUGCUGCUGCCGUUUGAACUCAAGACGGAGAUGAUAGAGCCUCAUCUUUAAUGCACGAAGGUUUUUUUGCGUUAUAGAAAAAAUGUGCAAUCAUCUGCUGUUCUUGUUUCUGCAUAUUGUGAAGAACUUGUUAGUAAUGGAGCUAACAAAUGAGAGUAUAUAUUAUAUAACAAUUGAAGAGUUUAGUCUUCGCCUUUCUCCCUAUACAAUAUCCUGUUUCCACGUAAGAACAAAAUUUGUGGGCAUUCUUUAACUUUAAGAGCUUAGGCCAAAUCUCUCUCGAUAUUUAUAUCUAUCUUGACAGUCUAGUAAUGGAAAUUAAAGACAGGAUUAUACUAAACAGAUUACGGAUAGGAAUAGAGAAAAAAAGGUGUCAAAAGAGGAUAUUCAUAUACCCGAGGAGGUAGUCGAUCCUUGGCUUCCCAGUACACCUUUGUUGCUUUUUCUAGUUCUUUCAAAGCUUUCCAGUUAUGGCUUGCCCUGAAAUCAGUGAUGGAUUUGAAUUACAUCUAGGCAAGUAUAGAUUAAAUGCACUACAUCAUGUUUUCCAGAUUCCUUCUUUUCAAGAACUGUUACAGACCUGUUGUAUCUUUCGAAAACGAGAACAAUUAG
rnacentral:lncRNA from 1 species